UUUUUUUUUUUUUUUUUUUUUGUCUUGGGGGGCGGGGGGUGGGGUGGGUUGUAUAUAUAUAUAUAUAUAUAUAUAUAUAUAUAUAUAUUCGGUUGACUGGGUUAUGUAAUGCGGAUUUCCGUCUCCCAUCUGGGUUAUGAAAUUUGUUCUAGUGUAUUUUUAUCUGUCGUUUUAUUAUCCCCAUACAGUAUUAAUUAUUUUUUUCACAAUUUUACCCUUUUAUCUCUCUUUUUCAACACAGGGUUCUUAAUUACUACUCCUAGUUUGGUGGGAGUUAGUUUGCAUUGCUUUUGGCCUAGUAAAACAGCACCAUUUAGUACUCUAGUGAGAGAAAACAUGGGUGAAUUAGACAAUUAAUGAGGGUACAAAAGGAAAGUAGUGUACAGAUUUAAGCAAUGAAAAACUUUUCUUAAUUGGUGUGUAAAACCUUAAACGUCAGUUAUAAAAAAAAGGAAGGGAGUAUUAGGUUGUGUUUGGAUUGCAUUUUCUGUGAUUUUUUAUGGAAAAAUUACUGUAGCGAUUUGAUGUAUUGUGAGGAAAAAAGAUAAUAGAAAAAUGUGAUCACGAAAAAUGACGUAAUUUUUCGACGGAAACUGGCAAUCCAAACAAGUUCUAAUUACUACUGCUACUACUUACGUUAUGUCCGAGAAGGGGCCUUGAAGACAACACCAGCAAGUAGUGAAGUGGGAAAAGGCGCAAAAGUCUCUGUCAAAUAGAGAUAGAUAAAACAAAAACGUUGCUUUCAAUAAUAUCUUGGACCGUAAAUACCAAUAUGGUCCAGGUCUAACCCACGUGAUGUUGCUGAGUAUUAAAAAUCCUAAGUCUCCUUCUUCGAUUUUUUUUUUUUUAAUAUCACAUUUUAGCAAACCUUUUUUUUUUUUUUUUGGUUUGGGUCAAAAGGAAUGCAAAGGCCGUCACCGAAAAACAAGUAAGUAAUUCCACAAGGAGAAAUAAUUUUCCGAAGGAAACUCUGAAAAGCCUUGGCCUCUCAGUCUCUUUCCGAAACACACGACGGUUUUGCUUGCAAAUUUCUGUUUCGGGCCUGCCUCACACGCACAGCUAAUUCACCCAUUCUAUUCUCUAUGCAUCCCUUUUUGACAAUUGUCAAUGCCAAGUACUUCAUUUAUUUAGUACUACAAAGUACUUGUCUUUUCAAACUCAAUCGUGCCAGCGAGAGAACCUCGUUUUAAGGUUGUAGGCAAAGUUUUUUGCUGGAUUUGUUUGCAUUGACGAUUAUUUGGGGGAAAAAUUACUAUAAUAACUGUUGAUAUCGCUUGUGAUGUGAUGUGAUACCUAAGUAUAUGUGAAGUGAGAAGAUAGUUAACAAAAUUUUAAAUAAAAAAAUGACAAAACCGUGUUUGAGGAACAUCUAAAUUCUACAUUACUCCUUUUGAAACAAAUGUUGGAAAAAAAGUUUUAGGAAAAUUACGUUUCUCCAACUAUAUUUUUAUUACACAAACACCAUUUUCCAAAAAAAAAAAAAAAAGGAAAAGUUGUCAGAGUGAAAAUUCCCUGAAAAGCAACCCUCCAAAUGGAAUUUAUUUUUGGAAAAGCAAUUGACGUAAAUCGUGUGGUACAGAGCCUCUGUUUUUUCAUCUAAACAAUUACUUAUGUGGUAUGAACAGAUUUACAUUAUUGUUCUCAGCUCAGAUUUUGUCAUUACCCAUUAAAAAGUGAAAAUUGUCACGGUCAUAAGUAUAGAACGGGCUAAUUUCCCCUUGUAUUGUUGAAGAAAACAAAGAUCAAGAAAGUGUGGUCUUGACACGGGUUAUUAGGAUUUCAAUUUAGAAUGCUCACACAUUCCAAUCAUUGUUCCUGCGUCUCUCCAUAUUAGUAUUGCCUUUUGUCGACUAAAACGUUGUUGGAUGAAGUUCCGACAUCAUCGUGGAUUCCGCGUUGUCGUCGAGCUGCAUGCACCAUUAUAUUUGUUCUGUAAAUCUGUUAGAAUGAAAUGGACCGCUGCUUUUGCAUCAAAAUCAGUCGCACUGGAACUUCCAGCAAAUUCUGUCCAAUUUAAAGCACAUCCAUCGAGUUGAGCAGUACCACGACGGAGCAGCGCUUGAAAUAUGGUUGUGGUGGUCUAUGGCAGUCGAGUUUCCUAUGAUUGCCUUCUACGUAUCUCAGAUUUGAGACAAAUAUGUUUCCGCAUUAAUUGUCUGAAGAUUUCCAGCCAACCGAAUUACUCUAGAAUUCAGAUCUUAAGUCACUUUCACGCAUUGCGAAUUAUUUUUUGUUUGAGAUGGAUCCCCAAGACCAAGAUUGUUCAUCGCCUUAUAGUAUUCCUUUUGCUUGGCUAAGCAUUUCUCUACUCAAAUCCUGCAAAUUGAUCAUCGGCAGUUUUCUUUCAUCUUUUCUUUUGAACCCAUGCCACGUAUUUCAACCCCCUGUUGAUUGGUUUUUUUUUUUUAUCGCAACGAUAACAUUUGUAUAAUCUACUCUAAGGAAAAGAGGAGAAGCUGACGAAAUUUUUCGGUCAACCAUCAUUAAGUGGCAAGGUGAAUCCUUGACCUUCCAUCCCCUAUUGAUUGGUUGCUUCCUCAAUUGUUGUCUAACUGCCUUUUUUUCAACUCCAGUAAAUGACUUUUUGUUGAAAUAAUUAAAUCCAAUCCCAGAUUAACCUCUAAAAGUCGGAACCCUUGAAGUCAACCCAAGGACUUAACUACCCAAUCCAAACCCCCCGGAAUCGAUGUGGGACUACUAAACUAGGACUGUAGAGCGCCUGCUGCUAAGUGUUGUCUAGCUGCCUUUGACAUCAUCAAAUUCCUCUACCAACGUCAAACCUCAAAAGAAGCACUCGGGCCACUUUUGAAUGGGCUACUAUUGUAGUAGCAGUGUGAGAGACGAACGGGAGCAUUGUACGGGCUCGAAAGAUGGCAUAGAUAUGCUACCUCUGAUUUGUAGGCCUUUUAAUCCACUAGAAAUGGGCUCAACGAAGUCCAAGAAAAUGUACCAACCGUUGAUCUCAUCAGGGUCAAGAGCCUCAUGCUACGUCACCGUUUCAUCUUCUUUCGGUGGAAACUGGAAAGUUCUCCCGCCACAUAAAAAUUUCCUGCCAUCGUUGCCCCGAUCCCCAUCCCGCGCUUCGGUCUCUCUCUCUAAAGCCUAAAGCCAUGGCGACGACGAUAUCUCCUCCGCCGCAAACACUAAUAUUAAAACGAUCGUCAAUUUCCACUUCCGUUUGUUUUCCGUCAUCUCAAAGGCUAGUGUCAGCACCCCAGACUUGUUCAGUUUCAGUUAACUCUGUCAGUUCAAUCCAUUUCCCAAAAUCCAAAAGGCUAAAUCGUUCUCCGGCUAGAGCUCAAGCCUCCUCGGUUGCUUCUUUUUCCCAGAAUGUCGGGGAUUUGCUGGGUGAUGUCAGCAUCUUCACCGCCACCGGCGAGCCCGUCAAGUUCAAAGACCUCUGGGAUCAAAAACAGGUAAUUCACCCACACUUAAAUUUAUACUGGUGGAGUAGUUUUUUACGCUUUUUUUAAAAUUUUGAGAAUUACAACAUUAGCUAUGCGCUUUUAUCAGAUGAUGAUCAUUGACCGUUAGUUCCUAAUUUUACCGCCAGCGCUUCUUUUUUUUUUUUUUUUUAUAAAUAAUUUUAACUAAAAUCACACUGCCCUAUUAUUUAACCCAUGAUAUCCUGAUUUUAUUUUUUUAAUUGGUAAUUGUCUUUUAGUCUAAUUCUCGAUCAGGGGAUUUUUGCUAAAUCUUCCUUUUUUGUUUCUAGGGAAUGGCAGUUGUUGCUCUGUUAAGGCAUUUUGGGUGUCCUUGCUGGUAAGCACGGAGCCAUGCAAGCAAAUGCUAUUUUCUGUGAUGGUUGCCUGCUUGAUCUUCACACUGGUGCUUUUUAAUGGCUUUCUUUGUUCACAAUCAUUUAGCUGGGAACUUGCUUCAGUACUUAAAGAAUCAAAAGAGAGAUUCGACUCUGCUGGCGUGAAGCUAAUUGCUGUUGGUGUUGGUGCGCCCAGCAAAGCUCGCAUUCUUGCUGAGAGGGUUUGUCUCUUGCAUUUCAUAGCCGCCUUUUUUUUUUUUUUUUGGUUAACAUGAACUUCAAAAGAUUUCUCUUAACAUUUAUUACUUCGAAGAGUCUAAACUAUUUACUAUGUGAAAUAGGAUUGACGUUGGGUUCGAUUAGGAUGUUUAGAUGGUAGCUUGACGUAUAUUUGACAUCCAUGAUCUAAAUUCUGGAUUAUAACUAAGCCUGGUGUCAAGUUACUGCAAAACAAGAAACAAAGAGUGCAGUAAAUCGCACCAGAUUGCACUAUCUGCUCUUAUGAUUUCUUCAAGAAACUCGAGACCUUUUUGCAGUCGUUUUUCAAAAGGAUUUUGGUUUGCCAGUGUUCAAAAUGUUGGAUAUGUCAUAAGCGUGCAGAAAUGAUUCUUGUGAAUAAGCAAUGGAGUUCAUUUUGUCUGCCUGUGCCACAUUUGGUUGUGCACCAUUUCUUGCCUCCUUGGUUAGGAUGUCUGGCUGGAAUGGCAGAAUGGGACUUGCCUCCUGAGUUUCAUGGAAGCUUAUCCACUUAUGGAGGCCUAGUGUAUCAAUGGUUAUUCCUAACCGUACCUGUCCAUGGUUUUCAGUCUGUUUUAGGUCAUAUUUGGGCAAUUAAACUUGCAAUUUGGCAAGGCUGCCAGCAAUAUAACUGCUGAUUGAUUAAGAUUGUGAGGCUGAGUUAUUCUAUAAAGAUGAGAUUCUACACUGGAUUUCUUUAAUGUGUAAUAUGCUGGCAUGGGGUUUGUAUCAUUUUAAAGUAUAGUUGAGUAUAUAUGAAAAGGAUCCAACGAUCCAUUUCUUCAGCAUCAUUUUGCUCUGAGAAAGAUUGUUUUGUCGAUUAUUUCCACAAUUUGAUUUCAAGUAGUUUUUCAUGCUAUUGUUUGAGCUGAUGCUUCUGGUAAUGUUCUUGUAUGGCCAGUUACCAUUUCCAAUUGAUUGCCUCUAUGCUGACCCUGACCGUAAGGUAAUAGCUUGUGUGUUCUCAGUUAUUGCCAGUUCAAUUUCUUCCGUUUGCCAUCCUAACUCUGAUGCUUUGUAUCUCAGGCAUAUGAUGUCUUGGGCUUGUAUUACGGUGUCGGUCGAACAUUUUUCAACCCCGCAAGUGUAAUAUUUUCUGUUGUCUUAUUAUCGUUAGUAUUUUUGGUAAAAUGGGUUUAUCAUCAAAACUAGCGUUUUUGGUAAAUUCUUUUUGGACCCUGACCUAACAGGCUAAAGUUUUUUCAAGAUUUGAGACUCUACGAAAUGCUGUAAAGAACUACACUAUUGAAGCCACCCCAGAUGAUAGAAGUGGAGUCUUGCAACAGGUUUGAGCUCGUAACCUUUAGGGUCCCAGAUCAAUGUUACUCUUCUCUCAACAUUUUGAUUUUCUCUUGAUUAGGGAGGGAUGUUUGUAUUCAGAGGAAAAGAAUUGCUAUAUGCUCGGAAGGAUGAAGGGACCGGUGACCAUGCUCCCUUAGAUGACAUCAUUAAUAUCUGCUGCAAAGUCCCCAUUUCAUGAAGUCUUUCUCUGCUCUCUCUCUUCUAAAAUGGUGCUUUCUGGUGUAUCUGUCAUUAUUAAAGUUAGAUAACCAAUAUCUAACGGCUGUUUUUUAUAAUGCCUUCAGCAUAGCACUUACCAUUUUUUCUGUUGUCUGUUCACUAUAGUGUGAACUGCUCUCCAUCUCGCGCGCAUAUGUAAUCAUGUAAAAUUUUGUGUAUAUCGCCCCCGAGGUAGUCCGAUUGGUUCCGUAGUUUGAUAGUUACUAGCAGGUCUCGUGAUCGAUCCUCGUGUGCUACCUCACUGUGUAUCCUUGGGGCAAGGCUCUACACAAUUUUCGAAAAUUAGUCUGGUCGAAAGGAUGGAAUAUCCUUAAGUGAGAGAAAGAAAGUGUAUGUAUAUCGCUGUUCUGUUCUUGAAAUUACUAACUAAAGACUCUUGAGAAUAAUUUUACAGGCUGGGUAAGCUUAAGUAUGUCCGCAUAGUCUUUUUGCGCUUGCCCGGACUGUUAUUGAUGCACUAAGCUUCACGGUCACUGUUAUAGCUACAACAGAAAAUGGAUAGCUGUAUAUGUGAAGCGAGCUACUUGAAUACGCUCAAGGACGUGCAACUGUGCAAGCAUACUCAUGGGUUCCGGCGGUGGAAAACUAAAAACUGUGAAUAGGAUUAAGACGUGAUAGUUUCUCGGAUCAGAUGAUCCCUUUGUUUUUUUUUUCUUUUUAAAUGUUCAGAAGAAAUGGAUGAUAGUAUUUGAAUUACUAAACAAGUUUGACAUCGUCAUUUAGUCCAAACCACUACAUAAUCCUAACAAGAAGCUAAAUGCAAGCUGAAUGGAUCUUUAGUGAUGCAUUUCCAGACUACCUUUUCAUCUCUUACCCCAAAAAAAAAUGGUAUUGUCCCUUUUUAAAUAACUGGCCCUUGAAUUCUGUGGUUCCAAGUUCAUUGGAAAUAGAUAUCAAGAUAAACUUAAAUAGUGUGAAUCUUUCCAUUCUAAUAAUGUAGAGGAAGUCCAUUUCCUGGUUGCGAAAGAGAAAGCCCUCCUGAAUGGCAAAAUGGAACCAUUUCCAAGGACGUGCAAGCAGAGACAUGAAAGGCACUUGCGCCCAAAAUGGGUGACGGAUGUAGAAUCUUCUUUGAAUGAAAGCAACCCCACCCUGAGAUACAGAGUGGUCUUGUUGGCAAAAUUUUGCUAUUCCACUCGCAUUCAGAUUGUAGAGGACCAGAGGUAUCCUCGGAUUGGAUACUAUUUUAGGUUACCUUUCUUUGCCUGGUGAGAUAAAAAAAAAAAAGAAGUUAUUAAUGCAGCAUCCUUCGCAUAUUUUGGGUUUUGGCUCUUCAUGUAUCUGGAAGAGAGCAAGAAUAAUGACACUCCAAAACUGUAGUUUAAUCACCUGAAGAGUGAAGUCUAUCAUUUCUUACAAGAAAGAUAAAAGUUUUACUGUGAUUCAUCGUAAUUACAAACAUUGAAUUUGAUUAGGAAAGUGAUACUGAGAAUUGAGCCUUUUACAGCUGCAACAGAAUUAUAACAUCCUAAAUUGAACCAAAUAAAGGGUCCUUUUUGGAAAAUCGAAGCUUGACCAUAUCACAUUUAAGCCCACAUCAGAAUGCAGCCUCACGUUCGUUGGAGCUUUUUAUGAAUUUGUGAUGGAAAAUCAAAUGAGGUUGUCCUGUAUGGUCCAUGCAAGUCUAAGGUCCCCCAGAGUUCAUAUCAUACAACUAAAAGAAAGCAAAAAGGAAGACUAAUAGUACUAAGUGUACUGACAGUGCACGCGAAGGUGCUAUGGACGAAUGAAAUUUACGAUUGCCCUUUUUUUUUUCCUUUUUUUUUUUUGGGGUUUUUGGGGUUUCUUUGCAAAAUGCAAAGGUAUUGGUAUGAUGAGCCAAUUGCCAUUUUGGAUCUAGAUGGUAGAUAGAGAGAAUCUUAGGUGAAUGUGACAAGACACACAUGCCGUAGAAGAUGACAUUUCACACACACUCAGUGUAGUGUGAGACAGAGAGGAGAAACUGAGAAAGAGAGAGAGAGAGAGAGCAAAUAAAGAGAAUGAGGUUAAAAGAUUUGCUGUGGUGAGAGAGUUACAAACGAGGGGGACUUUAAUGGUGUAGAGAUAGGUCUCUCUCUGGGAGCUUAAAAGGGCAAGCAGCUGCUAGCCCUUUUGUUCUCAUGCAGAACCGCAGGCCACACCCAUUGGGCUCUGUGGUCGUUCUCAGCUAAGUUGCUAUCCAUCAUCUACUUUUUCUGUUGACUCCUCCUCCUGCCCAAUGCCCAUAGCUGUGAUCUUAUUUAGAUUUUGUGUUCCCACCUGAAUUCUGAAACCAAUCCGCAUCCUCUUUAAAGUGCACUGCCAUGGACUCUGCCUUUAUUUUUUUUUUUCCAAGUUAAAAUCGCUGAUUCCUUCUCUACCAUGAAUUCCCUGACAGCAACAUACGUGUUUCAAAUUUGUUUAUAACCAAGACAAAGUUUGUUCGUUAAAAAAGAAUCAAGAUUUGCCUGGGAUUCAAGUAUAUACUGUUGUCUUUUCUAACAUAUUUCAUUAGCAAAACGAAGCUGAAUUAGCAGAAUUUUGAUGAUAAAGUCACCGUCGGCCAACAGCAUGCAAGUAUAGUUUGCUGGCUAAUAUGGCAAAUAAUAUUUCAUGUAAGUCGGCACGUAGGAUAUGCGCCAGGCCAAGCGGGUAGAGUCGCAUAAUCAGAGAAUUUAGAUGAAAAUCCAUCGAAGCCGGCUGACGUAACGUGACAUUAGUAUAUGCCAUUGCACUAUAGCAUAUGCUCCCUGAAUACGUAAAACAAGAGGCAAUAUUGGCGGAGUAAACAUAGAUCUUCAUCAAUCUCUUCUUAAUUAAAGUUAUAAGAAGCAUAAUGCGGUACAUCAAGAUUGGACACCAUCCCGAAAUAGGAACAAGGAUGAGUGAAGGCAAGGUCGUUCUGGUCACAGGAUGUGCUAAAGGGGGCAUCGGUUAUGAAUAUUGCAAGGCAUUCGCCGAGCAAAAUUGUCGUGUUUUCGCAUCUGACAUCCCCACCCGCAUGCAUGAUAUGUUAGAAUUAGAGUCGGUCGACAAAAUUGAGACACUUGAGCUUGAUGUUUCAUCAGAGGACAGUGUCUCAUCGGCUGUGAAUUCUGUGAUAUCAAAAUGUGGCAGAAUAGACGUAUUGAUCAAUAAUGCAGGAAUAGGAAGUGCUGGCCCUUUAGCUGAGCUGCCGUUGGAGGUAGUGAGAAAAGCGUACGAAGUCAACACUUUGGGGCAAUUAAGGAUGGUUCAACACGUAGUCCCUCAUAUGGCUUCUCAGAGAUGUGGUAGCAUAGUGAAUAUCGGGAGCGUUGUUGGAAAAGUGCCAACCCCGUGGGCUGGCUCCUAUUGUGCUACCAAAGCUGCAGUACAUGCCAUGUCCGACGCUUUGCGGGUCGAGCUGCGGCCAUUUAAUGUCGAUGUGAUCUUGGUGCUUCCGGGUGCUGUAAGAUCAAAUUUUGGUGACACCAACAUGGAGAAAUUGGGAAACUAUGAUUGGAAACUUUAUAAAGAAUUCAAGGAAGCUAUUGCCGAGCGAGCAAGGGCUUCCCAGGGUAGCAAAGCGACAGAUGCAGCCCUUUUUGCUAGACAUGUAGCAAAGAAAGUAUUGAGUCCUAGACCACCAAAGCAGGUUGUGUUCGGUCACAUGACUGGGUUGUUUGCUCUGCUUUCGUGGUCGCCCCUUUGGGCUAGAGAUCUCUUUUUCUCUACUCGAUUCAAGCUAAAUAAGAAAGCCUUCCUGUAAGGGAGUUGCAGUGCUGUAGAUUGUCACAACGUAUGCAUUUGAAAACAUUUUACCGCUGGUUUUUUUUUUUUUUUUUCCACCAAAAACACGGCCAAUGUUCAAGUUCCAGUACAUGUUCUUAAAACUUCCAACAGUGACAUCUAACAACUACAAUGUUAUCCGGACAAGGAAGAGCAAUUCUUUCCUGGUUAACUAGCAGGUUUCCCAGCAUAAAGUGUCGGUACUAUACACAAUCAUACAGUAGUACCAAACAGAAGAUAGGACCAUCUGCAGAUGAAUUGCUCCCCACACCCCAAUCUUCCCCCGCCCAAAAUUUAGAAAACUAAAGCCCGAAUUAAGGGAUAAUGCAUUUCCAAAUAUGCUCCCAGGGGGGAUGGGCAUAAAACAAGGUGGGAUGUCUAUGUGUAGACAGAAAAUUAUAAGGAGGUCUGACUUCUGAGUAGUCAAGGACUAGAGCCGUUUAUCAGACCAAAUUUUCCUGGGAAUAAGGGAUUAUGAGUUGGCCUAUUUGAAGCAGACAAAGAAGAGAAAUGUGGCUCCACCGACCCCUGCUUCCAAAUUUCCAAUUCCCAUCUGCUGGAUGGAGUGACAUUUUUGUUCAGGUAGGGAACGAGCCCCCUUUAUGAGGCCCAGUAGUAUUUUGGGCAAUUUGCUAUCGGCCUGUCGUGGAUGGUUGGAUAUUACUCAUCAUUUCUAUUAUAAGAAAAAGGGUCCAUGACUCUUUGCCGCAGCAGCAUCCUCCAUCUUUAGUACGUUUUACUUAACUCUCCCUUUUAAAAAACGAAUCAUUUCUGCUAGAAAAUCUGUCUCCAUUAGCGUUCUGCAUAAUUAACAUUUAACAUCCGCGAUUAAGAAUGUAAGGUUGAAAUUUCCUGAGGUACAAAGAUCUCGUACCUCCUCCGUACUAAACAUCAGAGAUCAAUGCAACGUGAUACUUUUUCAGAGAUCAAUUAGGAGCUUGAUUUAAUUUGGGAUGUCAUCCUCCUCGUAUUAAGCUUCGUUUCCAAUUAAUGGCCUAAAACACCUGCUGUCACGACAAUUCUUGUUAUUGAUUGUACACUUUAUUAUUAUUAUUAUUAUUAUUCUAACCUUUUAAUAAUGUAUACAAAACUUGGUGUGCCCUUAUACCAGGUGCAAGGGAACAAAGGAAAUUGUAUAAAACCAUAGGGAGAGGGGAGAGGGCGGGGUGGAGUUCUUUAAACUAAACAGUAGAGAAGGUUGGACUGCUGCUUGUGAAAGGAAAUAUGCAGAGAAAGCAGGCAUGCUAGUCAAAAAGAUUUUUUUGUUUCUGCUUCUCGUUUGCAUCUGCGCUGCAGCAGCAAUACCUAAGCAGACAAUAGACGUAUCAAUCCAGGCAACAUCUAGACGGCAUCGUUUAGACUUGUCCAACAGGCUCUGCUUCCUGCGGCGACCAAGUAGUAGCCAGCCAUACAUAGUACUAGAUGCCCAUUAAUCAAAAGAAAAGAAUUCUAAAAGAAAAAAUAACUAAGCUAGUAGGUCCAGUUGCUGCAGAGGGGCUAUGUACUGUACUGGUGAAGUGAUCAGAUCGACAUUUUGUCUUCUGCCCUAUGAAAUCUAGCUAAGCUUCUCUGAUCCUGCGGGAUUGUAAAAAAGCAACACCACCUAAUUGAUUGUUAAAUCAUAUCGUUUUAAUAUGUCCACCCCACCCUCUGCCACUUCCACUCAAUUACCGACGGAUGAAAUAUUUCUCCCCAAGAUGAAUAAGUCAUGAGCCCCUCCCUGUACACAACAUAAUGCAUAUAAAUCUUUUUGAGCUUUGACCAAAGAAACCCUCCUCUCGCCACCCCCCUCCCCAAACAAAAAAAAAAAAAACGUACAAAAAGAGAAAUGCAUACGUAUUCACAAACAAUUACUAUAACUGUUUGUGUACCUUGACACAAUAGUGUUCACUGUGGUGUUGGAACGAUCAGUAAUGGUAUUGAAACAGUAUAAAGUCCAGGCCUAUUUUAACAGAGGUACAUUUUCUUGAUUUAUGCCCUGGACCCUUCUGAUUCGAUCCCUCGGUUUUGCACUUGGGAUAAUAGAGCGUGCUCUGGGGCCAUUAGUUUGAUUGAUGGUCUUUUUGAGGACUUGGUAUUUCUGCUCAAAUAUACCAGUUUAGCGGAGCAGUGUAGUUUUGUGUUUUGCGUGUGAGCAUACCACGGAAAGGAUAAAAGAAAAAGUGGAAGAGGAUUAGAGGAAGGGAAGGGUGGAGCGGAGGACAGGAAAAGUAAAAGAAGAAGUUGUCUUUCUCAAACACAGAUCCCUAUGGAAUGCAGGAUGGAUGCCCAGCAUUGCUUGCUGGAACUCAUUCUUUUUGUUCAAGUUUAAAGGGACUAGCUGUGUUCUCUUUAGAAAUCUUUUCAGUGAGAGAGAGAGAGAAAGAAAAGUAAAAGAAAAAGACCGUAGAUUCAGCUAUUCAGUGGGUUUUUGGGCUUUCUUUAGAUUUUGGCAAGAUUUCGUCUACUUAGUCUCCGCAGCUAGAAAACAAAAUACUACUACUACUUGCAACUUGCAAGCUGCUACUCCUACAUAGUUUCAAUUGGAGGGAGCAAAGAGAUUGAGGAGAUAUGAUUAGUUUAUAUGCUUUCCAAUGAUUGACUCCUCAGUCCUCCCACCAGGCGAAGUGAAACUGGUAAACUACUCUAGCUAAGAGUAAGAAGACUCUCUUCUAAGCGGGAAAAAUGAAGUCCCUAAGUAAUGGUAACACCAGCAACAAUAGUAAUACUAACUGGUUGGGUUUCUCUUUGUCCCCCCAAAUGAACAAAAUGGAUGGUGGUGCUGCUGCUGCUGCUUCUGCUGACCAUCCUUCCCAAACAGCUCUGCCUUGCUCUAAUGCAGUCUCUAGCUCAGUCGCAUUAAGCUUUUCCCAUCCUUCCUCUCAUUUUAACUACCCUGGAAUCUACCGUGGGAUUGAAGGUGACAAUGCUGCUGCGUUCUACUCGCCUGUGACUGUGAUGCCACUCAAGUCUGACGGCUCAUUGUGCAUUAUGGAGGCUAUGAACGUUUCACAACCACAAGGUCUGUCUAGCUCAAAACUAGCUUCUUUUUGUCUUUUUGGUUUUUUUCUUGUUUGAUGCUUUGUAAUACUUGCUUAUUUACCUGUACCCGCGGAAUCUUAUGAGUUUUUAACUUUUACUAUCAAGGUAUGCUUUCAACUCCAAAACUUGAGAACUUCUUUGGUGGAACAACAAUGGGGACCCAUCACUACGAAGCUGGUGAAAGACGAAGUAUGGCUCUCAGCCUAGACAGCAUGUACUACCACCAAAGCUUGAAUCAUGCGCCCAGUAGUCAAGAUUUCUUGAACAAUCUACAAGGGAACUCCAGGCAGCAGGAGCAGCAGAGGCAACAGCAGAUUCAGGUUCAACAGUAUGCGGAGUACUCUCCCUUUAGAUGCCAUGAAUUUUACCAGGCAUCAGAACAGGGAAGCAAAGAAACUCAUCUUGCUGAAACCAAUCUUCAGCUGCCUAUAAUGGCAGAUAAUGAUCUUUCUGGUAUGAAGAAUUGGGUUUCUAGGAAUUACCUUGGCGAUCAUUCACUAGAGCCUAAGAUGACUGGCGGCGGGGUUGCAAAUAGGUGUGAGUCUGGUUCCUUUGGUGCAAUGGGGUAUGGGGAUUUGCAGUCCUUGAGCUUAUCAAUGAGCCCGGGUUCACAAUCAAGUUGUAUUACUGGUUCCCAGCAAAUUUCACCCACAGGGACAGAGUGUGUGGCCAUUGAAACUAAGAAAAGAGGGCCUGAAAAGGUCGAGCAGAAGCAGAUAGUUCACAGAAAGUCCAUUGAUACAUUUGGGCAGAGAACCUCACAGUUUAGAGGCGUAACAAGGUUAGAUCUUUUGACUUGGUUCGUCUAAUAUCUCUUUUUUGUUAUCCAUUAUUUGUCUUAGAAUAGUUAAAUCUUGGUUUGUUAAACAAACUUGCUCUUCUUACAUAAAUAGGAUGCUAGUUUAGCCUGUCCUUAUUCUGCUUGCUCACUUGUUAUCAUGCUUCGUAGUUUAACACUAAUUGUCCUCUGGUCAAACAGUAUUUGGUAUCCUUAAUGUUGGUAGUACUUAUUAGAAUGCCUUUUCCUCUGGAUUGUGAUCAGGCACAGAUGGACUGGUAGAUAUGAAGCACAUCUAUGGGACAACAGCUGCAAGAAAGAAGGUCAAAGCAGAAAAGGAAGGCAAGGUAAGUAACUAACAAGUUAUUUGCUACAAAAUUAGCCACAUUGUACAUAUUGGCAGCUUUCUUAACUUGCUAACUUUGAAUCCUAUCCUUCUCAUGGUAUUACAACGGGGGUUGCUUCUCUGAUGACGUCUUCCAGUUUAUCUAGGUAUAUUUGUUUUCUAAGUCCUUUCGUUGUUUAUUUUUCAAAUGACUGAGCACUAUUGUGUUUAUGUUCCUAGCACCUCAUGUACUCCAUAAUGCUGAACUUAGGUGGCUAUGAUAUGGAAGAAAAAGCUGCAAGGGCUUAUGAUCUGGCAGCACUCAAGUAUUGGGGUCCUUCGACUCAUAUUAAUUUUCCGGUAGGGGUUUGGUUCUGGUAACUUGAACUUAGAUAUCCUAUUAACUCUCCUUAGCCUGAUUUGCUUGGUGAUGCCUUUUCAGUUGGAAAAUUAUCAGCAUGAACUUGAAGAAAUGAAAAGCAUGGCAAGGCAGGAAUAUGUGGCUCACUUGAGAAGGUGGCUCAUCAUCCUUUCUAUCUUAUAGCAUCUGAUUUUUUCUUAAGUCUGACUUUAUCCUCUCCAUGAUAUCUACACUACAAUUUGCAGAAAGAGCAGUGGUUUCUCAAGGGGAGCUUCAAUGUACAGAGGAGUAACAAGGUCUUAGAACUUAGAAACAGAUAUAUACUGCUAUGUUUCUGAUCAUGAUUAGUAUCUGUUGUUUAGCUGAAAUUGUAUUCUUAUAUUUUUCUUUAGCAGACAUCAUCAACAUGGACGAUGGCAAGCUAGGAUUGGCAGAGUGGCAGGCAACAAAGACCUUUACUUGGGGACCUUCAGUGAGUUCUCGGACCUAAACAAUCAUAAUUUUUGUUCAUCCUACUACUAACUUGUACUGGCUUUUCCUAUUGUCGUGCUAGCGUUACAAACAGGUUUAGGUCUUGAAAGAUUUUUUUUUUUUUUUGAAAUAAUUUAUCAAGUACAUGCUGUACAAAAAAAGUAAAUGAAUAAAUUAGACCACAUCUCUAGGAUGCCCAUUUUUUGCUACUUAUUGACCCUUGAGACUUCAGCAUACUGCUGAUAGUGACGCAGAGAUUAAGCCUUGCGGGAUUGUGCGAUACCAGCAAGGAAACAGCUUUUGCGAAAAAACAGUUCACUGGGGUAAACGGCAAUGCUGCCAACACGCCAAGGCCACUUUGGCUUUUGCCCCCGUUUUUUUCCCUCUUCUCGGAUGCUUUUGCAUUUUGUUGAUUAACUUGCCCUUCCUUUUACACAGCAGUUAGAGUUGUACAUAUUAAUAAAUCAUUCUCCUUUAGUUUUAACAACGUAGUGUAGUUGUAUAAUGUUGGGGAAAGCGGAAAGCAGAAAGCUGCCUCACUCAUAAACUGAUUAUUGCAUUUUAAUUAGGUUUCUAAGUUUUACUUGAUAACAUUUCAGGCACCCAAGAGGAAGCUGCUGAGGCCUAUGACAUAGCAGCAAUCAAGUUUCGGGGUGCGAAUGCUGUAACCAACUUUGACAUAUCUAGGUACGAUGUAGAUCGGAUCAUGGCGAGCAGUAACCUUCUUGCAGGCGAACUAGCUCGUAGAAACAACAACCUGGAAUCUAGCAAUGACAUCUCUAUUGGGAACCCUUCCAAUCUCAACUGCAAUGAGGAAGUUAACACCACCUCCAAGGAGAAUAAUGAUAAUGUGUUAGACUGGAAUGUGGCUCUUCAUCAGUUUCCUCUUCAGAAACCGGGUGAUCCCGAACAUUUCAAGACUUCAUCUUUUCCAGUGUCUGUGAAUGAUUUGAUGGGGAUGGAAACGCUUAGCACUACCGCUCAUCAAGAGGCGGCAGGAUCAGGCAAGAUGAUGACUCAUUUCUCAGAACCCUCUUCAUUGGUGACGAGUUUGAGCUGCUCCAGAGAAGGCAGCCCUGAUAAAAGCAACAGUCUACCAAUGCAAUUUACAGUUCCUCCAGCAGCAUCCAAGUUGUUUGCUAGCCCAUCACCCCACACGGCCAACCCUUGGAUCUCUUCAACUCAGAUGAGGCCUCAUGUCUCUGUUUUUGCUUCGUGGACAGAUGCAUCAUGAUACAAUCAGUGUCUAAUUAAAACGGACCCUGCAGGUUUUGACUUUUGCAUGAGCAACAGGCAAGGGAAAUCAUGUGGUUUUUCCCUGUAGUUACUGGCUCUAGCGGGGCCCUGUAAACUCUGUCGAGAAGAAAUUCAACAUUUCCCAACUUGGGCACUAAAUUUAUGUAUCAAAAGCUUGAAAAAAUUGAUGGCGGGAAGCUUUAGAGGAAAUGAUUAGGUAAGGUUUCUAAUCCAUGCGUUGAUUCAUUGACCAAAUGAAUGCACCCCAAUUCAUGAUUAGAUUUUGCUUCUCUGCACCUUUAAGUACAGAAGCAGCUCAAAGUUUCCCAUAGCAGAAAGGUCUAUUACCUGUGUCUUUGACCAUCAAUUGGGCUACUUUUCUUUCUUUCUGGAUGUAGAUCCUCCGGUUAUCUAUUUCAAACCAGUAAUCGUGACCGUAAAAAUUUUUCCUUUUUGUUUUCCAACCUAAGCUUUGUCCAAAGGUGACAAAAAAUGCCAGCCGCCAGCCUUUUUCAUUUUUUUUUUCUUCAAAAAGUUGAGAAAAGGGUGUUAAGAAUGGAUUCUGGCACAUUAUUACUUUGGCGGUAAGUAAAAUGGGCCAUAACUAGUUGAAAUUUCCAUAGUGCUGCAGUUUGUGGUGCUUGAUCUUGUUCAUAUCUCUUUUCUCAUCUUCGCUUUUCAAGAUUUAAUCGGCAUUAGCUAUCAACCGAAAGCAAUCAUCACAAAAGUGAUUUGGCGUCUGGACGUCAAUAAUUGCAUCCUUAAUAUCAAUAAUCCUCACGAGCAAACUCGUUCACUCGUGCACACAGGUAAUGCAAGGAUUUCAUGUACGAAUACUAAUGAUAUGAUGCAAUCAUAUCAUAUUGAAGUCACCAACAACGGCUCGAUUAAGGAUGAAAAUUCAGACGCAUGUUUUGGCAACUGAAUUUCAUCUAUUAAUUACUACGGAGUGAAAUGCAUGCAGUCCCUCAAUUCUAGAUUCUGGCUCUAGGUCAUCCAGUCCGUCCAUUCUUCCUUUCCCCCCCUCCCAACCUUCUCUUCAAAAAAAAAAAUGGAGGAGGAGGGCGAAUCUUGGAUUUUCUGUGUUGAUCAAAUAACAGUCAGGGAAGAGAUUUAUUAUAUGUAUUUCAAUCCAAUUUACCGGGUUCUAUCCCUUUGUUGUAAAUUUGAAAGGGUAGAAUAAUAACAUAUCAUCUUGAUCUGGUACGUACAAUACUGAAGUGGGGAAAAAGGGAAAGGGAAAUAAAGGGAGUGAUGAUGCAGUCAAAAAGGAAAAUUUGUGAGUAGUUGUCUAGCAUGAUGGGAAAGUCUUGGAUCAGAGGUUGUCCCGUCAACAAGAUUAGCAAUUAUGUUGUCUCAGGCUUGUUUUAUCUUUGUCUUACUAAUACACAUUUAUUAUUAUCAUUGUAAUGGGAAAUUGCCACCGAACAUGAGGUGUAAACGUACGUUGUUUAGAAUUGUUUUGUAGUACGUAUUUCUUAGGAUGGGAUCGCUAAUCAGAUAAGCAGCCCAAACUGCAUGCGUGGUUGCUCUCGAGCUGUAAUUAAUUAAUUUAUACGAAAAGCACGUUCUCUUGUCUUAAUAGGAAAUUGUCAAAAGUUUAAUCAUGUCCAUGCAAACUUUUCUUGGAUGAUUUAAACAUUCAAUGCUUGUACAGAAGCAAGUAUCUACAAGCAAACAAGUUUUUUUUUUUUUUUUCUUUUUACUUACUUGGGGGUUAUAAAUAUAGUUGUAAACGAAUUGAAUCUAGAUGAAUAUAUCAUGUUUGAACUCUGUUCAUUAAAUUAUUCGAACAAUACUCAUAUUCAUUCAAUACUAUUCGAGUUCUAAAUUUGUGUUCGUGUUCGAUUCGUUAAACAAAAUUCUAAUUUUAGUUUGAACUUAAGCUUGACUCGUUUAACAUAAAUGUACUAUUCAUGAACAAACUCGAGACACUCGAGUUCAGGUUCUUUCUCAUAAAAUUGAUGCAAUUUGCUUGUCUAUAGUAUUAACUACCAAGAAACAACAUGUUUGAGACUAACAGAGGUUGGAAAGUUUGGAAUAGGAAUUAUGAAUACAAUAUAAACCCUAAAUUUUGUAAAAUGACAAUGAGGCCCAUGUUCGCAAAUGACCGUUUAAAUUCAUGAACUAUCUUGUGUUCGUUUGAUGAUUUAUCGAACCAAAAUAUUCGUUCAAACUCGACACAUAUAAAAAAUUCAAACGAGCCAAACUAAUGAAUAGCGCAGUUGGAUUAACGGCGUUAGUUAUAAAAAGGACAUUCGCUACACUUGACUAUUGAGGUUAUCGUCCUGUUACUUUAACCUCACACAUUCUUCUUACCAAAACAUAUAUAUAAGCCUCACACUUUUGUUCAGAAAUUGCCAGUUUCAUACUUGGAUGGAUGUAGUAUAGACUGCAAUCGAUUCGUACAGAAUAUCCGGAGAAAUUUUAUGACUAAUGAAUCGAAUGCGUUUCUCCUCCUAUAUUUUUUCUAAUCUUUUACAGUUUUAGGAACCCCCUCUAUAAUUUGCAAAAUAGCAGUAAAUUUCCUUUUUUUUUUGCAUAAAACUACUCGUAACUAUUUUCAGUUAGUAAGGUUUCCCAUCGAUAAUGUGGAAGUCAUUGAGGAAAAAAUUUCCAAAAGGAAGAAUAGUCUUUUAAAAGGUUACCCAAAAAAAAAAAUAUAUAUAUAUAUAUAUAUAUAUGUAUAUGUAUAUUGCUAAUCGGAUUAGUCUCAGUAGGAAGUAAUCUAAUAAAAAGGAUAGCUUUAGAAAGGAACGAACAAGAGUGUUGGGUAUUUUCAGGAUUACAGUGGCCCAAGUGACGUAAAUGUCGCCAGUUGUAGCAAAAUGCUUAAUUCGUUGGGCUUCUUUCUACUAUGGGCUUUAAGAUGCCAAAUCCUCUCAGAAUCGUUAACCAUCUGCCCAAAGGAUAGGCCUCUAGAAAGAUCGAUCAAACCGUGAGCAAAGGCUAUCCUUGGAACAUGAGGGAUCCGAGGCACAUCACCUUCCGGAUUCCUUGCGAAUGCCUGGCCCAAUUGCUAAUGAACAGGCCUAAGGGGAAAAGAUAAAAAUGGCAAUUUUCUACUUGCGCCAGUCUGUCCAGUCCCACGGAACCUCAGCAGAGCUGUUAUUUUAGUCAGUUGACCAUUAAAUGCAAAAUUUAUGCUUUUUUUUCCAAUUGAAAAUAAUUUCAAGAAUAUCUCAAGUGUUAUUCAAAACCAACAAUAUCCCGCAAAUUGCUUGCCUGCCAAGAUUCGAUAGUUGAUGGAACGCUUAUGGGCCAAAUUUUUUUUGUUUGUUUGAGCUGUAAAUAGCGAGUACUUAUGUCUUGGUUAUGAACCACGAAUUAUUAUUAAAGAUUAAAAAUGUGAGAUUAGGAGACGAGAGACAAGGCGUUGAGAGAUUGCUAUCAGCAGAGAAUGAAACGAUAAUCUAAAUCUAAUGGCCCAUUGGCUACCAACCAAACAGAUGUUUGAGCAGCAAAGGGAAGGAUUUUGGUAUGAUGCUGGAGGGGGACCCCAGGUGUUUGUAGGAGAACUACCACAAAAAGGUUUAUGUGGUUAGCUAUCCUUUGUAGUCAUUUUCUUCCCUGCUUUAUUCCGUAAAGUUGUCUCAGUUUUGAAUGUCAAGAUCCCCGUCCCAACAGACACUUAAAAAAAGACUUGCCAAGAACAAAUCCAAGUAGUCAAAUUACAACAUGAUACGGUUUCCCUACCAUACCAGCCUCUCUUUCUUCUGUUGUCGUCAAUGUUUUGAAAAUCGGACCGGACAAGCCGGUUGACCGGUUAAAUUGCCAACUGUUCAUAGCAUCGAUCCGAUUCUAUAUUGCAGUUGACUUUGUCAGAAAAUCGGUCAAACCCUUAGAACCGGUGAAUGGGGGGGUCGAACCGAUGGUUUUCGAUUUUUAACUUUCCUUUUGAUUUUUUUUAAAUUUUGCAAAACACAGCUACCAAGGAUUGUCGGUUUUUUAGUUUUCCUUUUAAUAUUUUUUUAAGUUUUGCAAAACACAGCUACCAAUGAUUGAACUCAGGACCUUUGUGAUGAAAGACCAAUGUAGCAACCAUUGUACCAUUACAUCCUAUAAAUUUUUUAUGAUAACUCAUUUAUAUAAAACAAAUAUCCAUUUUUCUUUUCUCCGUUUUCUCUACAAAAUCUCAUUUUUUUAUGACUCUUUCUUUCUAAUUUUCAACUCUCUCUCUCUCUCCUCUCCUCUUUUGUCACACUCUUUUUAAUCAAACCUCUUUAGUUUUAAUUUAUUGAUGUUUUCUUCAAUCUUUUAAUUUUAUUUUUGUCCAUUAAAUUGAAAAAAAUUAAAAAGAAUUAUUUUUCUUAAACUUUAAAGACUAAUUAUUAAAUGCCACAACCACUCACUUUUUAUCUCAUUAUUUGUUUCUUAUCAAGUUUGUAUUUUUAUUUUCGAUUCUCCUGACUUCCUUUAAACUCCAAACUUCUUUUUUUUAAUUGUAAUUUCAAAAUUCCAAAAACGUAAAUUAAAAUUUAACUCACAAUCUAAAUUCCUAUAAACGUGAAUUUUGUAUAAUUUCAAAAUAUUGUGGUAUGUUUUGGAUUGAAUUUAAGAUUAUUUUUUGGUAAAUAUAAUUGAGAUUGAGAUGAAAUUUAUUUGUUUCAACUUAUAAUUUAAAAAUUUUAAUUUUGAAAAUCCAAGUUAUUUGAAAAUAUUAAACUUUUUAUCAUAUAAAGUUUUAGAUGAGUCCAUUACAUGUCUUAUUUUGUGCAUAUAUAUUUAUAUAAAUUAUUUUUAAAAAAAUCAUUGAACUACGGUCCGACCGGUUGAACUUUGACCCGAACACUUCACCGGUUCAAUUAACGGUCCGAGUUUUAAAACAUUGGUUGUCGUGGAAGGCCUCGUCUCACUUCCUAGUUUGUCUUUUUUUUUAUGCGGAGUCAGCAUGAACAUUUUAUUGCUUUAGUAUUAUGCAUGAACAUGAAAUAAGAUAACGAGUGAUUAAAUGAAAUAGAGUCACCAAUUGAGUUAUUGUUUCCCUAUUCAAGGGUUAAAAAACAAAAAAAAAAAAAAGAAGAAGAAUUGUCGAAGAAGAAGAAAAAGCACAACAUUUAUGGGAUGGAAUUCUUAGGUGUAAAUUAUCGGAGAUGGCAAAAACUUUAUUAGACAAAAAAAGCUGAAGAUGACUAGCGAUUGGGUUUCUGUGUCUAAAAGAAGGCCAACGCAAAUAAUUCAAUCCAUGAACCAAAACUAGACAUGCACCACAUAUAUAUAUAUCUCUUAAAUGAAAGAAAGCAGAUACAAAAACUGAAAAAAGUUUCUCCGCCACUACCCUGAUCUACCCCCGCCCCGCCAGCGAGAGGCGGUGGUGGUUCAGUUCUGGAACAUUUACUACUCCAUCAUUGAGUGUGUUUGGACAGCCAAUUAUUUGGCCAAAUAUAUUUGCUGACAUCACCAUUACAAUUUUCAAUACACCUUUUUAUCUUCCCAAUUACCUUUUUAUCUCACAUACAUCACAUCACAAAAAGUGCUACAGUAAAAAUAUUUCAAAUAACUUACAAUCCAAACACACUCAUUAUUAUUAUAUCCCUAACUUUGAGAGCGAAAUUUUACCUGGCAGAGUUGUGUGGUUAAGUGCUAACCUGACCUGUUCAAGCACCAGUAAAUGUUCCAUGGGGGCAGGGAGCCAGUGAAGACGCACCAAGUAUUCAAAUUAUCGUACUUUUGUACAAGAUGAUUAUUGGACAAUCGGUCCAAGGUGCAUUCGAAACGAGUAGCCCACUGCUAGAGGCUGAGUAGUGUACUGUACGAGUGUUAAAAUUAAAUUAGUGGUAGUAUUAUUAUUAAUACUACGACUCCCCUCCCCACUAUUUCUAUUAGUCGAGUCAAUGGUGCAGCCAAUGUCUAUCUCUACCACCAGUUCUACAACCAGAUGCAUAAUUAGUGCGUUUCAUUGCGUCGCCAAAUCCCUAACCUUUAGUACCAACCGUCCACCUUUUUUGUUUUUGUUGGUACUUUAUCUUUUACCACUUCAUUUUCCAAGCGGUGAGAUUUUAGAGGCUCUUAAACCAAAAACCCAUAAUGACAUGCCUUGGAAAAACACACUGAUAAACCCUGCAUUGGUUGGUUGGUUGGUUGAUUUUUCAAAUGCACCCAAAACCACUAACUACUCCCUCCCUUUUUUUAUAACUGACGUUUAAGGUUUUGCACACCAAUUAAGAAAAGUUUUUCAUUGCUUAAAUCUGUACACUACUUUCCUUUUGUACCCUCAUUAAUUAUCCAAUUCACCCAUGUUUUCUCGCACUAGAGUACUAAAUGGUGCUAUUUUACUCGGCCAAAAGCAAUGCAAACUAACUCCCACCAAACUAGGAGUAGUAAUUAAGAACCCUGUAUUGGAAAAGAGAGAUAAAAGGGUAAAAUUGUGAAAAAAUAAUUAAUAUUGUAUGGGGAUAAUAAAACGACAGAUAAAAGUACACUAGAGCAAAUUUCUUAAACGUCAGUUAUAAAAAAAUGGAGGGAGUAGUUAAUGGUAAUUAUUGUGCAAGUAUUCAAGCUAAGACUAGCAUUUGUUCCGAUUUCAGAAGACCGACGAAUUACACAUCAUUUUCGAGUCCCUGUCAGUGUCACACACACACACACACGAAUGAGUUGCCUGCGCACGCACACACACACACAUAUACAUGUGUGUGUGUGUGUGUGUGUGUGAGUUGUGGGGAGGAAGAGUGAUGGAUUGUGCAGCGUUAAUACCCACAAAGUUUGUUUCCGACUUUUCCCCAUAGAUAUUUAGGAGUAAGAUGAUAUAUCUGCGGAGGAAAGAGAUCAUGUUGUCGGAGGGACCAGUUAAGGCUAUGGUACAAAAUUCUCAGGAGCAACGAGACUGCAACUCCUGUUCCCGACUUAGGACGCAGCACAAACUUCACGGGCCUGCUAGGCAAAAAUAUGGCUUCUUCCUUCACUUUCAGUGAUCCAUGAAGCGCUUUUGGAUUUAGAGCUUUGGACUUUGCUCCCAACAGCAUGUUCAUUUGUGCUAGCUUGUAGGAAAAAGAUGUUGAUUCUGUCUUGAGCAGCUUAUUGGGAUAUGGACUGACAUUAUACAGUUAUAAAUGGAUAAUGUGUUUUUGAGUUAAACACCAUGAUAAUCUAGAUUAUUGUGUUUAAGAAGAAAACUAGAUUGUGUUUAAGUAGCUAGUAUCCUAAAGUGAGUUCCAUAUGGAUGAAUGAUUAUGCAAAAACUUCAGCAUUAGCAAUAAAAUUUGAAUAUUGCAAGCGUGACUCUUUCGCAAUCUCCAAACUCACAAAAUAAUCACUACUUCCUCACCCUUUUGUGUUCGAUGGACAACCAAGUAUUACAAUGGGAAGUUCGUUUUCCAUACUCCUAUAGUCCUAUAUAUGCUACCUUGAUACAUUUUUUAAGCUAAACCCUCACCCGUUUGAGGAAUUAAGUACUAAAAGUUACUCAAUCCGGUGAAACCAAAACUACAUAAACAGCAGCUGAGAAAGUACUUGGGAGUUUUUCGACUUGGUUUCGCGCCCACUGUCAAUGCAGCUUUAGGCUGGGUAGAGCAUGAGUAAGGUGGUCCAUCUUGCCGUCCAAACCCGGUGAUAACUUUUAAAUUAAGCAAUACUUAAGAGGUAUCAUUUCAGAGAACAUGCAUAACAUUAAAGUAAAACAAAGAGAGAAGAGUGGGAAAGUACUCUACAGUUGAGGGGCCAGAAAAAUUGGAAAAUCGUCUCCAGCAAGGCCAUUUCUUUUCUUUCUUUUUUUUUAAAAAUUAAAUUUUUGGAUAAAUCAAAAGAGCCAAGAGGGGCAAGUGCAUCAAUAAUCAUCUCUUAACCGUGAUUAUAAAAGUUUUAAUCGACUUUAAUUGUUUCAUUAAAGCAAAUAGGAGUAGCUGUUGCUUAGUCCGAAGAGAUAAGCUUGCCGCAUAAAAAGUGUAAUUGAACUAGAAUUCGACGUUGCUAGCCGCCCAUGAAAAUGAAAAGAAGAGCGCAUCAAGUGCCCAAAAAUUGCCAUUGAGGACGGGAUUAGUGUUGUCCCCAUCGAACCCCAUCAGUCCUCAAAUUUUGCAGCAGCUGACCCACCCCCAGUCCGCAACAGAGAACACCCCGUCUCGCUCGUGCCCAGUAUUUUGUAUUUACUUCCACUUUCAUUUUCACCAAGCCUAUAAAGUCUCUAGUGGGAUCCUGCCUCCCCCAGUUCUUUUCUUUUUUAUUUUUAUUUUAUUUCUGGGUGUUAAAGACUAAAGAAGAGAAGCUAAGUAUUAAUAGAAAUUAAUUCUCAUUCUCUUUCUUUUUUUUUUUUUUGUCAACACAGGGGUGUCCGGAUCAAGACCCGAAGGCGGCCCGACUAAUCCCCUGCGCCCAAGUACACCGCCACCCCAAGCGCACCGGGAGUUAAGUGGGAUUCGACCACUUGACCUUAGAGUUCCGGAAAAAUCCCAAGACGAUGGUCUAGCCCCGGGGGGGCUCCUAAUUAAUUCUCAUUCUCGUUAUCCCAUAUUCACCACUCCCCCAGCACUUCCCCUACCAAACACCCCAAAAAAAACAAAAAAGAGCCUUAUGAUGUGGCAAAAGCCCACAGCAUGAGCAUGAAUUAGCUCUAAUUAAUUAUGAAAGAUCUCGAAAACAUUAGCCUAAUCGUUUGAUAGGGUGGGCGAAGGUCGGGUAUCCGCCUCGUCCAUCAUUUGACUGAUCUGACCCGCAAGAUCCUUAUCUUGCCCAUCAGUUAUUUUUUUAUCCUUAUCUGCCUCGCAUAUUAGCGAGUACCUGCUAAGUUAGGGUUAGCUCAACAGGUAUUCGCUUUGUCCCACUUAUCAUUUAAUUUUUUUAAAAAAUAAUUUAUACUAAUUUAAUUUUAUAUUUUAAUAUUUAUCUAAAAUUUAAUAAAGACUUUGUUCUAAAAAAAAAAAGUCUCCCACUAAGAAACAAGCAUGUGAAGAAAAUACAAGAUAAAGGAAAAAAUUUAAAAGACUUCAAAAUCAAUAAAAAUUUGAAAUAAGUAACACAUUUUUUUAAAUAUAUGUUCCACAUUAAUUAAACUCUUUUCUAUAAAAUAUAAUAUCAUGACCUCGACAAAUGAAUCUUGUAAAUAAACUAUAGGCUCUCAAUUUGUAAUAUAAUUUGUUCAAUGAAAUUGCUCAUUUAACUCUAAAAAUAUUAUUUUAUAAUAUGUGUAUAAAAAUAAUAUAUAUAUAUAUAUAUAUAUAUAUAUACACGAGGGCGAGUCGAGUUCCCGUGAAUUUUUAAUUAUGCGGUCAUAAUUUAUCCUGCAUCUUAAACGGCGCCCGACACUCUUUUGAUCCAAUCAAAUAAUACAGAUCAUGUAUUCUAAUUUUCGAGUAUUGGAUACAAUGAAUUUUUGAGUUAAAGGAUAAUUUUACCCACCCUGAUGACAAAUGACAACACCAAUCCCCUUCCUCCUGGUCCGUGCUCGUGGUGCUGGGCUAGCGUGCGGCUUGUCACUCUCAUAAGGAAAUUACGAAAAAUCCCAAAUAAAAGCAUCCCUCUCUCAUUCUUUAAAAUUCUUUCUUCGUUGCUUCUUUUUGGUGAGUCCCCUCCCUUCCCCUUUUCUCAGUUUCUGAACAUCAGCUCUGUGAACUUCUACUAAUCCAAUAUAGACUAGAGCAAUUAGUCUAAUUACUUCCAUACAUUACAGCAAAUUGUACCCAUCUUCCCCUCCCACCUGUUGCCAACCUGCACUCAGAUAGUGCUACAAAAACGUCCCCCCAAGAAAAAAGAAUACUUUAGUAACUGCUAAGUAUAAUAGUGUCUUAUAUUUCUCCAAACGCAUUUUAGUGCCACCAGCCUCUAGCCCCCAACACAACACCCUCCACCCCCCCACAAAAAGAAUGGGUGUUUGGAGCAACACAAGAAUCCUGCUGCUGAUUAUCCUGCUAACGUGCGCCCUACUCCCGCCAUCAGAGCCAGAUCCAAACGACGAGUUAUGCUUAACCCACCUCAGUGAAUCCCUUCAAGACCCAUUAAAGAACCUCCAAAACUGGAGCAAAGCUACCUUCGCUAACCCUUGCCAAGGCUUCACCUCCUUCCUCCAAGGUGCCACCUGCAACAACGGCCGCAUUUACAAACUCUCCCUCUCCAACCUCUCCCUAAAGGGCUCCAUCUCCCCCAAUAUCUCCAGCUGUACUAAUCUUCAAGCACUCGACCUCUCCUCCAACGCCAUCUCCGGCUCCAUCCCCCCUGACCUCCAAUACCUCGUCAAUCUCGCUGUCCUGAACCUCUCCUCUAACCGCCUUUCCGGGCCAAUCCCGCAACAGCUCGCUCUCUGCGCCUACCUUAAUGUGAUCGAUCUCCACGAUAACCAACUUUCCGCGCUCAUCCCUCAGCAGCUGGGAUUGCUGGCCCGCCUCUCGGUUUUCGAUGUUUCGAAUAACAAGUUGUCGGGUCCGAUACCUUCGUCCUUAGGAAAUAGAAGCGGGAACCUGCCGAGGUUUAAUGCGAGCUCCUACGAGGGGAAUAAGGAUCUGUACGGGUACCCAUUGCCGCCGAUGAGGAGCAAAGGGCUAUCGGUUCUGGCCAUUGUGGGGAUCGGAUUGGGGAGUGGGUUGUUGAGUCUGGUGCUGAGCUUUACAGCUGUUUGCGUAUGGUUGAAAAUUUCGGAGCAGAAAAUGGCUGCUGAAGAAGGCAAAAUUAGUCAACUCAUGCCGGAUUACUGAUUCAGCCUCUUUUUUUUUUUUUCUUUUUUUGUUCUCUCUUGAAUUCUUCUUUUUUUAAAAAAAAAUAUAUUAUUAAUGGAGCUGCCACUAAGAAUCAAUGGCUGGAUAGGAUUGGAUGGAACUUACAGGUAUGUUUAGGGAGGUGGUGUUAGUAUUGGUAGUAGAUUAGCAGUAGUAGUAAAUUUUAGUGGCGAUGAUUGUGAUGGGCAUCUGGAUUGAAGUUCCAUGUUGUUGGCUUUUUGCUAAAAUUUGGGGGUAUUUUCCAACUUCAUUUUUGGGGGGGGGGGGGAUUUAGUUGCUCUUUUUUUUGUUUUUGUUUUGUUUGCGCCCCCUUUUCCGUCUUCGGUUGUGACCGUUUUCCUUCUUUUUUUUUUUCCCACCUUUUGUGCUAAAUUUUGGUUUCAUCCUUCUGAAACAUUUGACAAUGUAAAGAAUUAACGAAUUCAAUUACGAGUUAAGGCAAAUAUAUUACGUACAUUUUUUUUCUCAAAUUGUUUCUUUUAAUAUAGUGGCACUGUAUUUUUUUAGUGCUCUACAGCAUUAAUGUUAGAGUACUUGUUGAUUUUUUGCUUGUGCGUACGCUAAAAGUUGACUUGCGUACGGUUAUUUGUGGAGACAUCUCAUGUUUGCAGAGUUUGACUACUAAAAAAUUAUUAAUUGUGGAAUGGGAAACAUUCCAGCUGAUCACAAUCUAAUUUUUUUCUUUAGUUUGUAUACUCCUGUAUUAUACAGACUAAUUAGCUUUAAAUACUGUGGAUUAGUUGCUGGCGCGACUAGAAUAAAUUAUGGUAUUAGCAUUUAAUACGAUGUGGGAUUUGCUGAUUUCUAUUUCAAAUCGUCCAGUAUUUCUGAGACCUUAGUUAUGAUUGAUUUUGAUUGUCAAGAUUUUUUUUUCUUUUUUUGGGUGGUGUCGUGCCGGGUUGUUCGUGGUGUAAACACUAAACAAGGGUCGUGUUUUGUAUAAUUAGAGAGAAUUCGUGAUUAUGUUGAAUGAUCAAUCAACACUAAACAAGGGUCGUGUUUUGUAUAAUUAGAGAGAAUUCGUGAUUAUGUUGAAUGAUCGGAAGGAAAAGACACAAUAUGAGUCUCUUUGUAGAGCAAGAUGUCAACGGGGCAGGCAGGCGGGUAGUUAAAGUUUAUUCCAAGCUGUUGAAUCAUGGGCGAAAGGAACUCUUUUUCUUCGAAAUUAUUAUUAUGAUUAUGAACCUAACUAAGAAUUUAGACUCCCGCGUGAAGGGAGCUUAUCCAAUUAUUAAUAUAUGUUUGAACCACAGUUAGAGGGUGGUGUGUGUGUUUGAACCACAGUUAGUCAGCCAGUUUUUCAUACUACUAUUUCUGUUAAGCCAAAAUAAUGAAGCAUAUUAUUGAUGAUUUGAUACUACUACUUCACAAUUUUGAAGUUGGGCACAAUGUCAAGAUUGAUUCAAUUAGAUAUUUUUUCGCAAUUCUCCUGACCUGAUUAAUAGUGAUGGUGGUUUGACUUUGUGAUUUUGAUCGAUCUGUUGGCCAUAUGAAGCAGCGCCAACAUCCUAGGCCUAGCUUUCGUUUCAAACGUGCUCACAUGCUUUUUAGUAUUACUUUUUAGUAUUCUUUUUUAUUUUUUUUUUCCCGAAGGUAAUAAUUGUUGUACAAUUUAAUUUAUUCAGGAGUAAUUCGGAGGGGACUGAACCACCACCGGAUCAAACGAAUGCACUAUGCACCUGUCUGGAAUUUUGAAACCAAACCACUUUAAAUGUGAAUUUUUGAACUCUUGCAUUCGACUCCACCAAGCCUUAAUGGCUGGGUUUUGGCUACACAAGACAGACAUUCGUGAGAGAGAAAAGUUGCUUCCUCCGAAGCUGGGUGCGGUCUUCCUCCUGUUUCUACGCUUCUUCCUUUGUUGUGGAUUGUUUUCUCUAAUUUGCUUAUACGACGUUGGAAUUUCAGCUUGAACGACUGAAGUAAAAGUGCCAAAACUUUUGUGGUGAUUGCUGAUUAGGCUUAUCAACAUGAAAUAGAAGCCACUAGAGCCUGAACUUUUUUUUUUAGUCAAAAUCGUUGCCACGAUUUUUCCGUAAACCAAUCUUAUCGACUGCUAAAAAUUUACAAAUUUCUUCAUGUUAAUUUAAUCGGCUCUAAUUUUGUUUCCUUUUGGUAGAUGAAAAUACCAAAAGAAACGGAGGAGAUUGAUGACUGAAAUUAACCCGAUAUUCCUGUGAAUCACUUGACACCCGUGCUCGUCCUCCUCGUCAUAUUAAUUUCCCCGUAGAAAAUUCCCGAUGGGCUCGACAAAUUGAAAGGGCAGCACAGAGAAAAGAAAGUGAUGCAUGGCACCUUGUAUGUAUCAUCAGAUCAAAUGGAUCACAAGAUAUUCAACUUCGCACCGAAAGUAAAAGUUAAGUCAAAGUGUGCUUUAAUUCCUCUCAUUAAUGUAUCCCCCAAGAAUACCAUGCAUGUUAUGGACUCAUCAUUUUCUGGGCCCUCUUUGCCCAAAAUCCCUAAGAAAACUCUCAUGAGUCUUCAGACUUUCAGCGGCCGAUUCCAUUUCCGUCAACUCGGACCAAAUUGAUUUGGAUUUAGGUAUGCUUCCCAAAAUUCGGGACGAGUACAAUAUGAGAUAUUAUAUGCAUAUAUAUUAUAUAAUUUUUUAAAAAAUAAUACAAUUAAAAAAUUAGGCAUAAAAAUACUUGUUUGGCAGAAUAUUGCUUAUAAAAUCGUAAGUGAAUGGUACGAAUGUCUUUGAAAGUUAUGAAACUGAAAAUACAACAGUUAAAAUUACUAUAUUUUUUAAAAGAUCAUAUUAUAUUUAUGCUAAUUUUGACCUAUAUUCUUGUGUAUGAGACAUUAAAUUUAUUAAAAUCUUAUCAGCUUAUUAUUUUUAUAUGUAUAAAUCUAUAGAAUUAUGUUUUGUUAUGUACAUAAUUAUGUUAUAUGUCACUAUCAUGUUGUAUAUAACCAAGAGGAUGAAGUCAGUCUCCUUACUAAAAUUUUAAAAUUUUUUCAAAAAUUAUAGUAUAAUUCGUGAAGUAUAAUACGUCAAAAGUUUAUUAUGUGUUUUAUAUGGUCAAUUAAAAAGUAUAUAUACAUCUUUCAAAAUAUUUUGAAAAUGUACAAAUAUAAACGUUUUUUUAAAUUAUGCAUACGAACAUAUAGUAUACAAAUUUAAUACAAUGCAUAGUUUUCCUCUCUCUUCUAUCAACCUUGUUUGGACAACCUGAAAUCAAAAAUAAGUUCCUCUAUGUUUUCCAAAGCUCUUAGAGGAGAUUGUGAUCAAAACUUACUAAAUUAGUUUCAAUCAAGUUAUAAUAAAAUCAUUUUCUAGCUCAACCACGUUUUCUAUUAGUGAAAGAGGUUUAGCUUUUAUAUAGACAAAAAAGUUUCACUUUUAUAGAGAUUUUUUUUAAAAUAGAGAGUUUACUAUUUAGCAUGUUGAUUGAACUUGGAAUCAUCUAUCCAACUUUAUGUAGUCAUGAUAAAGAAAUCAUAGGAUAAAAAAAAAAUGGAAGCGAAAGGGCAAAAAUCAUACUAGAAAAGAAAUAAUCACAUUCAGAAUACCAUAUUUAGAAAUGAUUAUAUUUAGGGCUACAAUCCAUCUCAUCCUACCAUUCAAUCUAACCCAAUUCUCAAAAAAAAAAAAAAAAAAGGGCUCAUAAAGAAAUCACAGGACAAAAAAAGGGGAGAAGGGGAGCGAAAGGGGAAAAAUUCAUACUAGAAAAGAAAUAAUCAUAUUCAAAAUAUCAUAUUAAAAAAUAAUUAUAUACACGUCUACAAUCCCUCUCACUAGACCGUUUAACUCAACACUCAAAAAAUAAAAAGUUUUUUUGAGCAUUCAGAAUAUCAUCAUUAACUAAUGUAUUGAAAAUUCAUUCAAGCCAAAAAAAAGAAGAAGAAGAAGAGACCGACGUAUUCAAAAUUAAUAAGCCAGCGUUUCUACAAAUAUAUCAAUUAAUUGUUCCAAAAAAAAAAAAUGCACAGACAAAAAGCAAAUUUUUUUUUCUUUUUUGGGGAAGAGAUACUAAGAAAGACUGUAUAAGUCGUGAUUAUUUGAUCCGCGGUAAGAUACCACGCCUCUAACUGUGGGAUGCUGCACGCCUAAAGGCGUUUGAUUUAAUAUCACGAGGUACCACGCCCACUCAGUUCAUUGCAAAAGCUACGUAAUUCGACCCGAAUUACCCGUUUAUCGUCAUUUGGACUGCUUCCUUGUCAGCGGAAAGCAAAAGCCCUACCGGUGCAGUCUUAAACCCUCAGCCAUCGUUUCUUUCCCUCGAAUCCAAUGGCGAAGAAAAAACAGAAAUCAUCGCAAAAUAAGGAUAAGAAUCAAGAACUAAAGGAGCAGCCGGUAGUUGUAGAGGAUGAAGCAGCAGCAGCUAAACAAGAAAAAGAAGACGAGGAGAAGGAGGAGGAGGAAGAACGGAGUUUCGAAGACCUUGGAUUAGACCCUCGCCUAAUUCGAGCACUUAUCAAGAAAAACAUCGACAAACCUACACCUAUCCAGCGCGUCGCCAUUCCUCUCAUCCUUGUAACUGACUUGUUGAAUCAAUUUUGGUCAGUUUCUUGAUUUGUCUAAAAGUUACGAAUUCGUUUAACCUUUUUUUUUUCUUUUGUUGGUUGUCUAUCUAAAUUGUUGCAGGAAGGUAAAGACGUGGUUGCUCGGGCAAAGACUGGUUCAGGAAAGACCUUCGCCUAUCUCCUACCUUUACUUCAGAAGCUAUUUUCUGACUCGCCUUCUAAACAUAACCAAGCUCCUACCGCUUUCAUUUUAGCUCCUACUCGUGAGUUAUGCCAACAAGUAUGUAAUCUUGAUUAAUUUGAGCUAGUGUUGUGAAGAAAAAUCAAUCUUAUUGAGGAAUUAAUGGCUUAGUUAAUAGUAUUUUUGUUUUUUGCUCCUCAUUUUCUAGGUUUAUGCGGAGGUGAUGUCGCUAAUUGAGUUAUGUAGAGUGCAGCUGAAAGUUGUGCAAUUGACUAGCAGCAUGUCUAAUUCUGACUUGGUCAGAAUUUACCUUCUCUUGUUUUGGUGCCAUUUUAUAAUUAAUGAGCUUGGAGUUGUAUAAUUCAAUUGUUAAACAUGGGAUGUUGGUGGCUGCAGAGAACAGCAUUGGCUGGGCCACCUGAUAUUAUAGUGUCUACGCCUGCUUGUGUACAUACAUGCCUGUCAGAUGGUGUUCUUCAGCAGAAAGCUGUUCAGGAUUCCUUGUCCAUUAUUGUCCUCGAUGAGGUGUGAAUUCAAACUGUGCAAUAUACCUUAGUGAUGAUAUGGAUAAGAAAAAGGGUUGGUGCAUUUGCUACAACAUGAUUAUUGAAGAGGUUCAUUUAUCGAGUUUCUAAAUAGGUGUUAGCACCAGUUUAAUUAGUAUGGUUAUAAGAACCUCAAAUACUUUCGAGGAAAAAAUUUGUAAUUUUGAUGGUCUCAAGUUUGUGGAUGGCUUAGUGGUGAGAGAAACUCAUGAUAGUUGUAUUUGAUAUCAGGCAGAUCUUCUUUUGUCAUAUGGAUAUGAAGAUGAUCUUAAAGCUCUUACGGCGCAUGUCCCUAGACGUUGCCAGUGUCUUCUCAUGUCAGCAACCUCUAGGUUUGAUCCUGUUCUAUAAUGCUUUAGCAGGUUAUGCCUAUCUGUGUUGAAAUUAAAUCAUUAUCCUAAUAUUUUUGUUUAUAUUGCAUCGGGUCCAAUACUCUUUUCUGUCAGUUCUGAAAUUCAUUCUUUUGCUUGUGGUGGGGCAUACCACCGAUGGCAUUUUUGGCUCAUGCUCUUUUAGAAAGUGAUAUUUUGUUUUCUUUGACUUCAAUCUCUGCUUGUAAUACUGAAGCAUGUCAUGCAUGAAGCUUUGUGAGAAAUUUACUGCAUUCAGUCAUUUUAUUUUUCCUCGUAUGGAUCGGAUUAUGCCACUUGCCUCUCAUUGCUUAUUUGGCAAAUACCUUACACUGUUUUCUAUCAUGUGACAUUUUGCAGUGCUGAUGUUGAAAAGCUGAAAAGGCUUAUUUUACAUAAUCCCUACAUCUUAACUUUGCCUGAAGUAGGAGACCUUAAGGAUGACAUCAUCCCCAAGAAUGUUCAGCAGUUUUAUGUAAGAAAUUUUCUGCCUGCAGUUGUGAAUCUUGUCAACAUAUUCUUGGUGGCAGUUUUGCCCCUGCAAAUGAAAACUAGAAUUACCAUACUGGCCAAGAAGCCAGAAAAUCUGCUAUUGCUUCAAUUCUUAUAUUUUGUAUACUCUGUCAAGCUUCAUUACAGCUCUCCAAUGGAAUACAUACGUCAUACGCAACAUGCCUUGUUUAAAAUUUAAAAAUCAUACAGCAAUGGUUAUAAUUUUGCGAAAUUUGGUACAAUCUAGUUACCCUCUAAGUUUCUGGUCUGCAGCAUAUCCCAAGGUUAUAGUGGUUUACAACCUUUUACUGACAUAAUUGCUAAAGUAACAGAUGAUUUGCUUCUCUAGCCUAAUCAUGUCUGAAUAGGGUUGGAGCUUUGUCUAAUGAAUUUAUGCACAUAUAAGUGACUCUGUAGAUAUGCAUAACAGUACUGUAUUACAUUGGAAUAGUUGUUGUUAUUUCACAUUAACUACGUAAAAUUAUGUCUUGCUAUCAGAUAUCAUGCAGUGCCCGAGAUAAGCUUGUCCACAUCCUUGCCCUGUUGAAGCUCGAGCUUGUUCAGAAAAAAGUUUUGAUAUUCACCAAUGCAAUUGAUACAAGUUAUAGACUGAAGCUCUUCUUUGAACAGGUACUCUGACUCUUCUAAUUUGCUUUCAAUUAUUGCUUUGCUAUUGUCUUGACUUGCUAGUGCCAGUUAUUUGUGGGUUAUCAUCUAAUAUCUGCUGUUUCUGAUGUCGACUGGGGACUUCUGGCUUUAACCAAUUUAGAAGUAACACAGGGAAUAGUAAGAAGAUGUUCUGCGUUUCAAUUUUUCAUCCCCCUAAUUUGCAUAUAAGGACCUUUCAAUUUUUUCCUAUUUUUUAUUUUUAUUUUAUUAUGAUUUUUUUUUGGGUGAAAAUCUAAAGCUGUAGACAGAUGGAAAUGGGUAUCAGUGGUCUAGGAAUUAUGGUUAUCAGAUCUGGGGUUUAGAAAACUUGCAAGUUCAGCAAAGUGUUGAUCAAUUGUAUUGUUUCUUGAUGAAUUUCAAUCUGAUUGGUGAGGCAAGUAUGGUAAGCCUUUAUUUACAACUUCACCAAUUAAGUGUCCCUCUGUACAGUUUGGUAUAAAGUCUGCUGUUUUAAAUGCUGAGCUGCCCCAAAAUUCUCGUCUACAUAUCCUUGAGGUAACAGUUCUACUUGCUGGAUUGUAGUCAACAAGCAGCUAUCUUUAUGAUGAUAUGACUAGUCUUAUUACCACCGGUCUAAUUACUUGUUUCAUGUUCUGUCAGGAGUUCAAUGCUGGACUUUUUGAUUAUUUGAUUGCGACUGAUGACAGUCAGCCGCAAGAGAAAAAGAAGUUUGACAGUGGAAGUAAUGCUGUGCAGAAGAAAGCCAGAAAGCAUGCCAAGCAAAAACUAGAUGCAGAGUUUGGUGUUGUGAGAGGGAUAGAUUUCAAAAAUGUGCACACGGUAGGCUGCUUUUCUAAAAUACAUUUUUCUUGACACUUGAAUUUUUUUUUAAAAUUUUUGCACCACAUUCUAGACGUCAUAUUGCAGUAUCUUAUUCUUUGUUACAAUAUCUUUACUUUGAUGUAUGAUUUUUGCAAUAAGCGCAGGUAUCAUUAUGCAUAGGUUAUUAUAUAUUUGGAGAUACUCAGACAGCAUAUAUCUACUUAAUCUUCUUAUUACAAUCAAAGUGGAUGGUUGCACGAUUAGUAAUUAGUAUGUUACUAUUGAUUGAAAAUUUUGAGCUUUUCCAUGUAUGUUGUUUAUCCUACCCUUGAGCUUUCUUCCAUACAGGAAUUGCUUUGCGUAUCAUCUACUUGUCUGUGGCUGAUGAGGUUGUCAGUUUGAUAAUCGACUUGUAUUGAUUCUUUUCUUUCUUGCAGGUCCUAAAUUUUGAGAUGCCUCAAAGUGCUGCGGGAUAUGUACAUCGAAUUGGACGUACUGGAAGAGCGUAUAACACUGGUGCAUCUGUCUCUCUGGUAAUUUUCUAAAGACUAAAUUGGAAUUACUUUUGUAACUGAAUUUAUACCCUGACUUCCAGAUUGAAUUUGGUUGAUCUUCAUUUUUUUGCAAGCAGAACUGAUGAACAGUAUGAUUGCUUGAAUAUUGACUAGAAUCUUCGGUAAAUCAUUGGCUCAUAUAUAUCCAUGUUGUAGAAGUUCUGUCAUCCUUCGCAAUCAUGGUUUUGGUUUUCAGUUUUUUCUUUGUGUUUAUUGCAUACUGAAAUAUGCCUUUUAUUUUUUAUAUCAAAUAUUGGAUUGUGCUAUAGGUUUUGCCCCUAUUUUUUGCUGUUAUUUUUAUAUCAGAAUUCCUAAUAUAUGUUAGAACAUGAAUAAUGUCUCCCCUAAUAUGAUUAAAGUGAUUAUGGUAAUGAAUUUAAAAUUAUUGUGAUCAUUUUCUUAUAUGUUUCUUAUCUCCCUCUUACUUGAUCUUGAAUAGGUGUCCCCUGAGGAAAAUGACAUGUUUGAAGAUAUUAAAUCCAUCAUCGGUGAAAGUGAUAAUAUGGACUCCAAUUUUAUAGCUCCAUUUCCGUUGCUCACUAAGAAUGCUGUGGAGGGCUUGAGAUAUAGAGCUGAGGUAAAUAUUGCCUUCCUUUACUGCAUAGUAAGUUGUAACUUUUUGAACUUAUUAUGCAUUAAGCAUCUCUUUAUGCUUACUUUGCUUCUGUGCUUCUAUAUAUGCCAAACUUAAGUACUGCAUUUGUCAAAGUAUGAUAGAAGUGAUUAAUCUAUAUUCUAAGUAGAGUCCUUUCCAUUGUGUGAAUGCUCAUUUCGUAAAGGAACUAGGUAGAAACUCUUCAAUGGCUUUCUCUAAUUAUUCAUGUAUGUAUGUUUCUUCAAGGGUAAGUUGGUCAUCAACUCAGUCACCUUGGUUGCUGGACAUUUCUGAGAAAUUAAAAUAUUUACUUUUGUUAUGUUAGGAUGGUGAUUAUUAACAGCAAUUAAAUUGUGAUUUAUGUUUAGAACGGUCAUCUUUGGUGUUGUAAAAUCAGUACCGUGGAAGAUGUAAAUGGCUAUUUUUUCAGGAUGUGGCAAGGAGUGUGACAAAAGUUGCUGUGAGAGAAUCUCGGGCACAGGACCUUAGAAAUGAAAUUCUCAAUUCAGAAAAGUAAGUAGUUUUCUCACUUUAGCUUAUGAUUGGGUUGGCCUUAUUUUGCCUGCAAGCUUUCAGUUAAUUGCACCUUGGAAGUUGCGAUGCAGUUCACAUAUCUGUUUUAGAGUUUGUUGAAUUUGAUCCCUUUGUUGUCAUGUUAUGCAUUAAGAUGCAGAUGAUAAUUCUUCAUACUUUGCAUAUGAGCACUAGACAUGUUCCAUUGGAAGGAGAUGACAUCUCUGACUGUGACAUUGGACUUGGGAGUUGUUUAAGUGGAUGCGAAUUAAACGUUCCUCUACAUCUGAACACUAUAUUUGAUUGUCAGGGAGACAUUGAUUUUGACUUUUAUGUCUUUGAGGUAGUCAGUCACUAGCAUGAGUAGCCCGUGUGGCCAAAAAUUUAUGCUAGUCAUUUGUGAUCAUGUCUAUUGUUUUCAUUUUAGCUUUGAUAUUGUUUUGACAUGCUUAAUUUAUUUGGAUUUGCAUGCAUGUUAUGCUUUCUGCUUAUUCUUGCAUGGUCUUCUAUCUUGCUUUUGAGCUAAUUUAUAUAGUUUUGAUCAGGUUGAAGGCUCAUUUCCAAGAUAAUCCCAGGGACUUGGGUAAGAUGAAUUAUUAUUCGUGGAUAAUUACAUUGACUUUGCACAUGACUUCUCUUCAGCAAUUUGACAUGUAUAUUUGUUUCUGGGGAAAGAUCUUUUGAAACAUGACAAGCUUUUAAGUAAGAAGGAUCCGGCUCCCCAUCUACGUGAUGUGCCCGAAUACCUCUUGGACCCAACAACGCAGGAAGCCCGCAAAAUUGUAAAGCUUGCGAGAGCUGCAAUGGGCAAUAAUAACACUGCUCGCCGCAAAGGAUUUAAGGGCAAGUUUAGAAAAAGUAGAGACCCUUUGAAAACCUUUUCUGCUGAGGUACGUUUACAAUAUUUUUUCUGGUCUUCAUUUGCUCAAUGAUUGUACUAGCAAACAUGGGUGCACUCGGGGUGGGAUGCUUUUUAAUAUUUCAAAAUUGUAGAAUUUUCCUUUAUAAGUAUUAAAAUGUUCAGUUAGAUCCUUGUAAAAGUUAAUGCCCCCUCUAAUAUUUAUGACAAGUGAAAUUCACCCCUGUAAAUUUGCCAUCUAAACUCAUUUUUGUUCCCAAUUUCCUCGUAAAGAACAGAAGGUAAACUCAGUUUAUCAUCUUAGUUCAUGUUUAUCAUCAAAUUGGGUACAAAUUUUUGGUCGGUAACUUACAUAUAUCAUUUGUGUGACUAAAUAGAUAUUCAGCAUUUAGAAUUCAUGUAACAAAUAGAUAAAUUGUAGAAUUUACAUCACCUUUUUAAAAGUUAACUAUUGUAUCGAAUGUCAGUUUCACACCCCAGAAGGCAUGGGACAAUGGUUAAGUUCCAUUAAUGAUCUCAAAUUUAUUGUAUAAAAGUAGGUAUCCAAAUCAGUAAAUGUAUGAAAGAGAUGAUAGAUUGAAUCGGCGACCAUGUCUGAUAAUGCAAUGGGGCCAAAAACAAGUUUAGAUUGCAAGAUGGAAAAUCUACAAUUUCUAAAACUGUAAGAGGACCAAGCUCUCGCAUUCGCACAUGCUAGCAUAUUUUGCAAAAUAAUACAAAAAUUACUUUAUACAACUGCAUUACAUCAAAAUGUUGUUGAAUGGCUUGCAAUGGUGGUGGGUCGAAUAGCUUGCAAGGGCAGAUUUCUUAUGAAUUUAACGAAGCCUUGGUUUCAGGCAUCAAGACGACCUUCAAAAGGUGGGAUAAGGAGGAGGGGACCAGGGUGCGAUGCCGGUCAUAAGCGCAAAAGGAAAGAGACUGUCGAUUGAUUUGUUGCGCACUCGCUGGAAUAUUUCAGCUCGGGAGAGUCUCGGUCCCCAAAAGUUUUGUUUUAUAUUAUAUAUGAUUGUAAUGUUAAAUUUUGAUAUCCAGCAUGUCGUCCCGUUCUUGUCCAUGUCUCCAUGGAUCGUCACACAGCAUUUUGCGUGCUGGGGCGAUCCUGGGCCAAUUGCAGUGUCUGAACUUUCGGAAUUGAUUAGUCUUACAAGUAUAGAAUUCUUUUGGUGAUGGCGCAUGGCGUAGAUUGUAUCCGUCUAAACCCUGCGGAAAAAGUUGGCCGCCAAAAGCUGCAUGAUCCAUUCACUCCUCCUCGUGCAACGGCUUCCAGUCCCGUAGUGAGUAUCGUAACAAAGCCCAAUAACUUGUUUGUUUAAUUUUUCAAGAAUACGUUUGUGGAAAAGCGAAUGCUGCCUUAUUGAUGUCUAAAAAACAUGUAGUUGUUCCUACCCAAAAGGCAACUAAGGGAUGUCUUCCCUGUGUGUUGUCUAACUCUCUCUCUUAAAUAUAUAUAUAUUUAUUAUGUUGAGGUGGUGUCUAGUCCACGUUGGUAACUUCAUUAGUCUUUCCUUCUCACCAGUCGAUGUUAUCCGAGAGUCUGAUAGUCUGAAGCGGACUUGCGUAGCCUGUAGCUUGAUUGGUCGCCCAAACAAGACAGGAAGGAAUUCUCUGUCUGAGAAUAUCAAAUGUGGCGUAAAUCUAACGUUAGCAAAGAAGUUAUGUUUGGAAUAUUUAAAAUUCUUCCUGAACACCACUAGUGAUAUUAAGAGAUACUAUUAUAGCUCAUUAAAGAGGCCAUGUUAAUGACCAUGAUAGGCGUGUGUCUUUGAUCUUGGCAACCGACCCCCCGACCUUUUGUUUUCGAGACGGAAAGAGGAUCCUUCUAAAGCUAAUGUACCCCGUCCAAACAAAAAUUGACUAGAGAUGAUGUAAACAUCACUGGAAAGAACAAAAGCUCCUCCUAAGAUGUGACUGCCCCCACGGCCAGCCACGAUUCGUGAUUAAUAUAUUUUGACAGAAGCCUGGUCGUCGGUUUAGUAAAUAUGUAUCUUUCGUCUUUUCCGACUUAGCCCCACUGUCCCAGCGACGACUGAUGGUCCUCUUGUCUUUUGGCCUUCGAUGGGAGAUUGCUGGCGGGUACUACAGGGAUCUGUGGACAGUAACAUUUGAUGAUUGCUAUUUUUAAAAUUUUUUUUAUAAAAAAUAUAUUAUAGUGAUUUUAUGUAUGUAAAAUAGAAAAGUGAUUGAGAAAUGUGUUUAUAAAAAAUGUAAAAAAAUUUUUGGUAGAAAAAUCACAAUCCAAACAUAGUGUCAAAAGACUAUGCUGCCUUGUGGUCAUGUUUGAUGUGUUCGUGCAGGCCGUGAAGCAGACUUGAUGUGAUCCCAACCAACCGGUCCCGUUUUCAUAAUGCACUCGGCCACGCUUGAUGUAGAUCAACUUUGCCGUGUCCCAAAAGCCCAAAAAGAAUAUAUAUAUAUAUAUAUAUAUAUAUAUGUGUGUAUAUUAGAUUUAUACGUAGAUAUAUGAUUUUUUUUAAAAAAAAAAAUCUUUCUUUUAACCAGACAACAUAGUAGUAUACCAGUUAAAAUUAUUAAAUAUCCAUGUCCACUUUUAGGUUUCGAAAUGGUUUUCUAUCUUUAGACCCACCUAAGUACGAGUCUUCUUUUUGGUGCAAUCACUUUAUAUCAUACCAUAAAAACCCUUGUAAUUUAGUUUCCAGAUGAUCCAUAUCUCCCUUUUUAUUUUUCCACGAUUUUCUUUAAGAAUAAUUUCCUUAAGGAAAAAACAAAGAUAUGAGGAUAUUUAUUGGAAUAAAAAGCUUGAACUCGAAAACACUCUGAAGGCUAAUAAUGUUUAACCAAAAGUUGAGAUUACUGAUUACCUAUGGUCUCAACUUUUAGUAAAGUGAUUGUUGUGGGCACUGAUGACUGAUUAUCAAGAUUUCUUUUGAUAAAAUGCUAUGUCAAACUUGUACAGUUGGGGGUUACAAAGCUGGCCACAGAGCCCUUAACAUGGAAUAGUUCUGGCGGUAGCUGCCCUUAAAAUAUCCGCCCCCCAGAAGCUCCUACAGUGCCAUUGGAGGAUCAUCCAAGUAGAUGAAAUCUGCUUGUAUUGGGACCCCUGGUCUAGCUAGCCAAUCUGCACUCUUGUUACUCUCCCUCUUAAGCUUGUUGCGGGUUACAUUGCCAAUCUCUGCUGAUAAAUUCACGCAUCUGCUUCGUAAGAUUAAAAUGUGGCGAUGUGUUUCUUAGUGCUUCAUAAUCAGCCGUAUCUUCUGCAUUUAAUAAUCAGCCGUCUCUUCGCAAAUUGUAUUCGGGAAAUUGAGCAGCAACUUCAUCUUAAGUGGUCCAACUUUGUCCCCUGAUUUUGAGUUUAUCUUGUCUAAAUGUGGAUGAAGUUAGAUCAAGUGGUCCUAAAAAAAAAGGAUUUCUUAUGCAUUUGGAUAUCAAACAUACAUAAUUUACAUCAUCACCAAAAGAAAAGGCAUUAAGAUAAAUAAAACCUUCACAAGGUGGAAAUGACAGGCGCUCAAGGGUAGUAGUAUUGCAAUUUGGAUUAGAUCAAUAGCGAGAUAUAUUGCUCUUCGACAAGAUUUCGCAAAAUUAUACUUGAGUGAAGUAUGGGGAAAAGCUUGCGUUAAAAAAAAAAAUAUGUUUACGGAAAACAUAAAAAUUUUCCCGUGAAAAAUCACAAUCCAAACGAGGCAAUCGAUUUCGUUUAGUUUUAUGUUGUUUAUGCUUAAUUUUUCAGAUAAAUCAUCAGAAGCAUAUCUUUUUCUUGUACCACAGGGAGUCGCUCUUUUCUACGGCACCAUAGCGUUACGACUGCACGAGUUUCUGCUGCCUAAUUGCCUAACGUAUACCUGGAAAUUAUUGUGUUCGUAUGCCGAAGAAGCGACACUUGAAAUACAUAUAGAAUGUGGUAAUUGACCGGUUCGAGGAAACCUAAACAAAAACGACUUCAGCAUGUUUGUCGAUGGGGCACUUACAAGCACUUCGACAGCGAUCAUGAUAAUAUCAAGAAAGAAAAGACAACAAAAACUACUAGUUUUCUGUCUCUUUACUUUUUUAUUUGCCAAGAGGAAACAUCUUGAAAUCACGGGGUGAUUUUGUGGCUACCACCAAUCCAUAUGCCUCCGAUUUUUAUUGUGUUCUAUACCAUUCUAUUAACUCUCGAGUAUAGAAACGUGGCUGCCUGCACUGUAUAAUUUGGCAACCAGAUCUCAGUCCGGAUUACUUAGAUUUUGUACGUGGAUUGUCAUUUUCAAAGCCAAUGCACGAUCUUUGUCAAAUAGGUCCGUAGAAACAGUCGGCUAAUGCAGCUAAGUUCUUUAAAUUAGAACCCAAAAAAUUCGGGCUCGUUAUUCUUUUGGGAGAGCUGUGGGGACUGUAUCACCCCAAAAGAAAUAGGGGGAAAAAAAAACUUAUGUGUAAGUAUUGAUGCAGCCUUUGUACCUUCAGAAUGUAUCCUGGAUUUCUAAUUGCGCAAAUUAUUCGGGCUGCUACUAAAAUUUUGGAAUCAUCGAGUUUUGACCAUCGAACUAUUAAAAGUUUAGUUUUGCACGCUGAACUAUCUAAAGUCUAUAUUUCGACCUAUUCUAUCAAAUUUAAUCGUUCGAUAACUAUGUGAAAUUCCUACCCUUUUCUUGUCUUGUGAAUCGUGCGAGUACUCAUAUAUAACAUAGUUAACGAUUAAAUUUGACGGAAUAAUUUGAAAUCUAAAUUUUAGAUACUUCAAUAGUUAAAAUCCGCCUUUUAAUAGUUUAGUAGUCAAAAUUCAACGAUUCCAAAAGUUUAGCGACUAUUCUGAUAAGUUGCUCUUUCCAAUUCAUGCACGUGCAUGACUUUAAUCUAAAAGGCUCCUUAUCUUCACCAAUCCUCCCAUACACGAAAUGACCAAAGGAUUAACUCUAGGUGAUCUUAUUGGUAUAUCAACGUGCAAUUAACACCAUAGACAUGUUUUAUAUUCAUUUCAGUAUAAAUAAAAAGGGAUGUUUUAAAUUGAAAUUAACCAAUAAGGUUGUAGGCCCACAAUGCAGUCAAUAUUAGUUAUAUGCAUUUUUACUCUGAAUAUAUAAUGGUACCAAAUAUUUCCAAAAAAUAUAAAAGAGGUGGGCUGUUGGAGACGAAACAGAAAAUCAAGAUGGUGUCAUGGAAAUAAUCGCAACUCGAGCGCCAAAGAAUAUUCCAAAGCUCAGUCCGCAGUGAAAUGUACCUGGAAACGAAACGGAGGAAAAAAAUCGCUGGCCUUUUCUCUUUACCAGACAAAGUCGCACAAAAACGUACAACCAACACGUGUUUUUUUUUCCCCAACACAAGAAGGUUUUUGUUUUUUUUUUGGAGGCUACUUAUAAUUUUUUCCACUUUACUACCAAACCUAACUCUACCUCUACAACCCAACACAAGUUGGCACCUUAAUGAUAAUAGACGUUUGUACGUAUGUUUGACUUUCACUGUUAGAGCUGUAUUAAUAAAAAUUCUUAUAAACCACUAUGGUCCAUAUUCUAAUCCAUGGUGUGAUUGGAGUUGAAAUUAUGCAAAAAAUAAUAAUAAUAAUAAUCUCAAAAAAACACACAUGGAGACACACGAAUGUAGUAGUAUUAUGAUAAAUGUCAAACGUAUUUGUCGAACUACAUGCCUAUUGAUUCCCCCAUGUUGUAAGGGUGCUUUUUUUUUUGUUUUGAUCACUAAGGGUGGCUAAACUUCAGAAAAAAAAUCAACCAGUACGACAAAUGUCAAAUGUAUUUGUCGAACUAUAGACCUAUCUACUUCCCCAAGCUGUAGGAGUGCUUAAACUUCAGAAAAAAAAAAAAAAUCGGCCAGUCCAAUCUAAAUCGAAAUUUCGAUUGAAUUUUAGUAAAAUGAAAAUUGGUAAAAUAGAAGAAUAUUCAAUGUACAAUGUUUGGUAAAAUAAUUUAGAAAUGAAUAUUGAAAAUAAAUUUCCUAAUUCUUGAUUAUCGGCCGAACUUUCGAAAUUCUUAUAAUAUACACACACAGGAUAUAUAUAUUAUUACUUAUACAUGAUAUAGAUAUACAUAUUACGUAUUAUAUAAUAUUAAGAUCUACUAAUUCUUAGUGACUAGGGCCUACUACUAACUAGAACAGUAAUACUUUAAUGUUUUACAUACUAGUGAUUACUGAUUAGUUAACUUAUAAUAGGAAUUAUGAAUAAUAAUGAUGAUGGAUGAUUCUGAAUACUUAUGCUAUUUUUCUUUCUUUUCUUUCUGCUUGGAUUGAUCUUUUUUUAAAAAUAAAAUUUUCAAAUACAUGCUACAGUAAUACACAAUAACCAAAAAAAUAUCUCAUCCAUACAAUAUAUCAAAAUUUUCAAAAUAAUUUUAUAGUAAAAAAUUUUCGUAUAUAUUGCUACAGUAUGGAGUUGAUUUUUUGGCAUAUCAUGCUUGUUGGAGUUGAUUUCAUUGAAUUUUGUAGAGAAAGAACAAAUGGGAUCUAGUUUGGUGUAACAAUUUUUUUAGAGAAAAUUAAAAUUUUUUGCUUUACUAUAAUGAUAAUUCAUAUUUCGAAUAUUAUCAAAUUAUUGAUUCUUUGGCAUAAAUCCAAUUAUCAAAGACAGUAAAAAGAUGUUGGUUUCGGAAGUAAAAAACUGCAAAAAAUCAAAUUUUUUAGUCAAAUUUCCGAUCACCAGUGGAUGAGCAGGCCGUGUAGCAUUAUAAACAAAAGAGCAAAUUAUCCGAUUGGCCAUUAAACUUUUGCAAUCGUCGAGUUUUGGUCACUCAACUAUUAAAAAUCUGGUUUUGGUCACUAAAAUGUAUAAAGUUAAGAUGUGAGGCCAUUCUGUUAAAUUUAGCCGUUAAGUUUGCCGAUCUGUCUAUCCGUGCGAUUUCCAAGGCAAAAGACAGGGUCAAUUUAGGAAGUUCAACGUAACAUUGAAUGCUUCUCUCAAAAAUCGUCACUCUUCUUCCUCCCCUCAUCAAAUCUUCGUCAGACCCUUUUCAUCCACCGUAGGCAUCAGGACCAAACCCAGAACUUCCUCUCAAGCAACCCAAUCUCCCCGCCACUCGUCCCCAAAUUCUCCAUUUGCUAAAGUUCCUUCCUCCAGUCCCUCCACCAGCAGCACCUUUUAUUCAGGUUCUGCCCCGAAUACCGGCUCCGGUUCUGAUUUUCAACUAAAUUCGUCGGUUGGUACAACCUCCGCUUCAAGCCGUACAUCCCUCUCCAAGCCUCCAAGCCUCCAUCUCUCCCUCCCAGAACACGCCUAUAUUUAUGAUUUCUCCGAAAUCCGUUCUGCCACCAACAAUUUUUUCACCAAACGCUAAUCCACUUCCUCCUCCUCCUCCCAGUCCUGGCGCUGCGAGCUCAACGGAAAGGACGUCAUUAUUUUUCAAUGGAAAAUCCAUUAGACAAUCCACGAAUCUGAGCUGAGAUCCAAAUUAUCGGUUAUUUGUAAAAGCCAUCAUAAAUGCUUAAUCAAGCUCCUCGGAGCUUCCAUUUCAAACAUCACAUUUACUUAGUUUAUGAAUUUAUCAGCGGCUCGAAUCUUUCUACUUGUCUCCGAAAUCCAAGAAACCCUGAUUUCACCGUUCUUUCCACCUGGAUGUCGCGAAUGCAAAUCACCACGGAUUUAGCUAACGGCUUGAAUUAUAUCCACACCGCAGCCGGAUUCAACAUAAGUUUGGUCCAUAAGUACGUGAAGAGCAGCAAAAUUAUUAUCACUGGGCCUUCCUUGAAUGCCCAAAUUUGCCAUUUCGGAGCCGCCGAGCUAUGCUCUGAGACGGAGAGAUAUGAAUGAGGUGAGAUAACGGAAGAGGAGUUGCCGGAGCUGCGGAGGUCGAGGAGUAGGGGGAGGCAAUUUGAAGGAGUGAGAGGAUACAUGUCGCCGGAGUUUAAGUCGAUCGGCUUGGCGACGCAGAAGUCUGACAUGUACGCUUUUGGAGUGGUGAUUCUGGAGCUUUUGUCCGGGGAGGAGCCGCUGAAGUAUAAAUAUGAUAAUGCGAGUGGAGAUUAUAGGAAGAUUUCAAUUAUCAAUUCAGCGACGGAGGCGGCGGAAACUGACGGAGAGGGUAAUGAAACGGUGGAGGGAAGUUUUGAGGAUGAAAAGGGUCUGACAAAGAUUUGACGAGGGGAGGAAGAAAAGCGACGAUUUUUGAGAGAAGCAUUCAAUGUUAUGUUGAACUUCCUAAAUUGACCCAGUCUUUUACCUUGGAAAUCGCACGGAUGGACAGAUCGGCAAACUUAACGGCUAAAUCUAACAGAAUGGCCUCACAUCUUAACUUUAUACAUUUUAAUGGCUAAAAUCAGACUUUUAAUAGUUGAGUGACUAAAACUCGACUAUUGCAAAAGUUUAAUGGCCAACCGAAAAAUUUGCUCUAAACAAAAAGGCCAGCACGUCAAGACACCCAGCGGCCAACCUGCCGGUCACCGGACCUUUCCACUUAACAUACACCCCUCCCUUGUCCUCUCUCCACUGUGUACUCAAUUCAGCUCCAGAUCCCCAGAUGCAGAUGCUGGUACUACUUGCCAAACCUCAGCUGACCCCAACAGCGUUGUUACUCAUAUCAGUGGUCCAAAUUUUGUUGUCCUCUUAGGAACCACUCAAAUAUCUACUUACAAAAUCAACGGAAUGAUGCGGUUUAAUAGUUGUUUUAGGAGUAGUAUUUAUUCAUCAACUGCUGCCAAGCCGGCCCAUUCUACCUCCUCCUUCGUCCAUCGUCCUCUUCCAACACGCCACACCUUUCCUACUUCAGUUUCUUGGAAUUUACCAUCACCAACAGUAUCCCGACCCAACAGGCCUCUAUAUAUUCAGAUAACGAACCCCAAAACUAAAAUAACAACAACAACAUUCCCAGUUGUUUAUUGUACUGACAACAGCAAUACUACUAGUGCGACAACCCAAAACAGAGAACCAGAAGGUUCGAAACCCCGUUUGUUCUUUGGCCAACAAAUUCGGAUUGGUAUGCUGAUCAUGAUGACAAUAUUCAUGGAUAAGUACAUUGCCGGAACAUUCUUUGCCUCUGUUUUUGGUUUUCUCAUUCUCUGCAUUUUGCAACUUAGGAGUAAUAAACAAUAUAAGCAGAAACCGCACGCAGACCGGCCCUGCUUAGACAUUCGGAGCAACCAGAUGGCGGUUGAUGAAUGCCGGACCGGCUGGGACUCUGAUACCGAUGUUAUCAUAGUCGGUGCGGGCGUCGUUGGUGCAGCCUUAUCGUACACCCUUGGGAAGGUCGAACGCCAACGCCUGCCCUGCUCACCUCCACCCACAUACACUCCCCAAACACCCCCCCCCCCAAAAAAAAACAAAAAAAAUUCAUAUGAGCGUUUUCUCAAAGUACUAUUCCGUUUUAAAUUCUGUAAAAGAUUUUUUUUUUUUAAAUUUAAUGUUUCUGUAAGCCCAAAAAAGAUAAACCAAGAAAGAGUCUUCCUGGGAGUAUUUUGUAUAGGUGAAUUUGUUUGAAGGAAGGGUUUGCACCAAGAAUCUUAGCAUUAGAGAGAAAAGAGGAAGAGUCUAUAGGAAAGUUUUUUUUUUUAAUAAUUAUAUGUACUAAGAUGGGUGACUAUCAGUUCUCUAUUUACUCUUGGAUUGUUAACAGGUUUUCUUUGAUUAUGAUGUAUUGAGCAUUUAAUUUAUUUCCUUACAAAUAAAUAAAGGGAUGGUUUUCUGAACUGAGAGCUCUGAUGACUUGGAGCUCACCUUUCCUACAGUAAAAAUAAUAUCUGGCUAUUGUCAGCGAUGUUAUCUGGCAUGAAGUAGUUUUGGAGUUUUUCAGCAUUGUCACUUAUGUAAAAACAAUAUACGAAAAAAAUACUUUUUUGAAGUUCGGCUUGGUUUUAGUUUCUCCUUUCACUUCACCACAGUGGAGUUCUAUAAUAUACGAUGUAAUCUUUUAUUGCUGUUGCAGGAAGGAAGGAGAGUCCGUGUAAUCGAAAGAGACUUGAGUGAGCCUGACAGAAUUGUGGGUGAGCUGCUACAACCAGGUGGAUAUCUCAAGUUAAUUGAGCUGGGACUGGAAGGUAUGUUCUUAACGUUUUGCCAAUCUUCUUGUUUGGUGAAACAUCAGCUUUGUGGCUCUUUUUUUUUUUUUUUUUUUUUUCGGGUGGCAGAAGCUGAUUUUUAGUAGCCUGACGUGGUUUCCCAUUUACUACAGAUUGUGUAGUUCACAUUGAUGCUCAGCGAGUGCUUGGUUAUGCUCUUUUCAAGGACGGUAGAAGCACUAGAGUUUCUUAUCCCUUGGAAAAUUUCCAUUCAGAUGUCGCAGGCAGAAGCUUUCACCAUGGGCGAUUUAUUCAGAGGAUGAGAGAAAAAGCAGCUAGCCUUGCCAAGUAAAUUUUAUUUCCCACUUCUGUAGAGCACAAAUGUCUAUCUUGCUUCUUAUCUUAUGCCAGAACAAAUGAGGAACCAAAUUACUUUCCUGGAUGCUUACAAUUCAUUUUCAUGCAUUGAAUUUCACUACUUGCGUGCUAUUUUAACUGACCCUUAUCAAAUUCUGAUCACUACUUCCAACGCGCAUCUCUUUGAACAUGUUGAUAUAUUAAUUGCUCGAAUAUAGAUACCAAUUUAGUAAGCUGGAAAGAUCAAUUGGUAUCUAUAAGUUUUCUGAUAACUUCUGCUACAGAAUAAAAUGAAAAGAGCAAAGAGAAGAAAAUAAAAAAUAUAUAUAUAAUCUAUGGUUCCUUUUAGACUUGUUCGUGCCUUAGGAUGUCCAAUUUACUAAGACUUCCAGAUUAAGGAUCCAUAAAAAGUUUAUCUUUUGGACCAUGCACCACAUGUAUAACCAUCAUUUACAUUUCUGAUUUUCUAAAUAUCUAUUUUUCUUGAAUAUCUUCUUGGUUCAAUUUUCACUAGUGUACGACUGGAACAAGGCACUGUGACAUCCCUGCUUGAAGACGAUGGCACUGUAAAAGGUGUUGAGUACAAAACCAAAAGCGGCAAGCAGCUGAAAGCUUAUGCUCCUCUUACAAUAGUGUGUGAUGGGUGCUUUUCAAAUUUGCGACGAUCUCUCUGCAGCUCUAAGGUACAACCUCAAAAGCAAUGGCUUUGUGUACAAUUUCUUGUCUGCUGCAUUCAGAUCUGGAUCAAAUCAAAUUAAACUGAAGCUUGUCUCUUUAUCUUUAUUUAUUUUUAUUUUGUUAGAAUACUGUUUGAAAAAAAAAAAAGUUACAUUAAUAUCUCUGCUAUUUGCUCUUCACUCCCAAGUGGAAUGCUUAAAUCUUUGAAAGUUUGUCAGUAUAACCAUUAUGUUUCAUGUAGGUGGAGAUUCCCUCUUGCUUUGUUGGUUUGAUCUUAGAGAACUGUCAACUUCCGUUUCCAAAUCACGGGCAUGUCAUUCUGGCAGAUCCUUCACCCAUCUUGUUUUAUCCAAUUACUAGCACAGAGAUACGUUGCUUAGUUGAUAUACCAGGGCAAAAGCUUCCUUCCAUUGCUGAUGGUGAAAUGGCAAACUAUUUAAAGACCGUGGUGGCUCCACAGGUACUUAAAUAGUGUUAAGUUCAUCCUUCAAGUUUUUACAUAUAGAAUAUCCCCUGUGUAGCAUGUUUGUGUAUGCUUUAGCGCUUUUUUUUUAAAAAAAAAUUAAUUUUUUGGCAUAUGCUUUAGCUUUCUGCAUCUCAAUGUCCAUUUCUUUUCUUUUCUUUUCCCUGGUUUUGUUCUGGACAUGGGAGAGUUGUCGUGUUUUUGGACCAACUUCAAUUGAUUUAUAUGUUGCUUGACCUAGAUUCCUGCAGAGCUACAUGAUGCUUUCAUAUCUGCUAUUGACAAAGGAGACAUUAGAACAAUGCCAAACAGAAGCAUGCCAGCUGCUCCACAUCCUACUCCUGGAGCACUACUGCUGGGUGAUGCUUUCAACAUGCGUCAUCCUUUAACCGGUGGAGGAAUGACCGUAGCCCUUUCUGACAUUGUAGUGUUACGAGAUCUGCUUAAACCGUUGCAAAACAUGAAUGACGCAGAGUCCUUGUGUAAAUAUCUCCAGUCCUUUUACACAUUGCGCAAGGUAAGCUAACCUGCAGUUUGAAUUAGAAGAUGUUGAAGCGUUUAUUCAGAAAAUGAAGUUUUGGUAGAUAUUUAGUCUGACACAAGGAAUAGUUUCAUUUUUUUUUUCUUUGAUUUCCACGUUUAAAAUGCAAUUCUCAUAAAAGAGAAGAAAGAAUGCAAUUCUUACUUGCCAUAUACAUGUCUACCAUCUAGCUUCUGCAUGCUGUCUAUGAAGAAAAUUCCUCAUAAUAUUGACACCAUUCAUGGUCCUUAAUAUGCAGCCAGUGGCGUCUACGAUAAAUACGCUGGCUGCGGCCCUAUACAAGGUGUUCUGUGCUUCUUCUGAUCAAGCAAGAAAGGAAAUGCGCGAAGCAUGUUUUGAUUAUUUGAGCCUUGGUGGCGUUUGUUCGAAUGGACCUAUAGCUCUGCUCUCCGGUUUAAAUCCACGACCACUGAGCUUAGUUCUCCAUUUCUUUGCUGUUGCCACAUAUGGCGUGGGACGUUUAUUGACCCCUUUUCCUUCUCCCAAGAAAUUGUGGAUUGGAGCUAGAUUGAUUUCGGUAUGUAAAGAAAAUCCUUUUCCAACAAAUGAUUAGUGCAUCCCAAGGCAUUGAUUUCCUUCUUUUAGCACCAAAAUCCAGCUUCCCCAAUUUCUUUUUAGCCAACAUGUUAAAAGUCUGCCAAUAUGCAAACAAGGUUUUUGCAUACAACAGAGAGUGAUUCUACGAGACAGUUUGAGUUUCCUUGACCAUAAACCAUGCUUAGUAAUCACUUGUUAUUCAUAAACUCGUUUUCUCAUUUCUCACUGAUAUGGGCGACUUUUACCACGGAAUCCUUUCGGCAACAGCAACAAAUUGCACUUGUGACAUUUUAUCUUUCCUUCUCUGAGUUGUUAACUGACUUCCUCAUGCACUUUUAAUCAUUAAAUAGUACCCUUUUAAUUAUAAACGUCAAUUUCCCCACACAUUUUGGAAUGUCUUUGAGCAUUGGUCAUUUUCAUGACUUGGCAAACUUCCUGUCUCCAGGGUGCAUCAAGUAUCAUUUUUCCUAUCAUCAAGGCUGAAGGAGCGAGGCAAAUGUUUUUCCCUGCAAGUGUUCCUGCAUAUUAUAGAGACCCUCCUCAAGCAUGAAAAUACCGAGUUUAUCAGGCCUGAACACAAUUUAGCGACUUUCACCCGUCUCCUCUUACUAAAAAGCAAGGGACGUUAUGUGAAUUUUUGAUCUGCCAGGAGACAGAAGCUGUAGAGUAGACUAAAACUGUGAACAAAACUAAAAAUUUGAAGUUUAGGCAUCUGAUAAAACUGUAAAGCAUGAAUCUCCCAUAUUACAUUGGCUCAUAUUUUAAUAGAAAAACCAUCUUACUUCUAAACUUCUCGUACCGUCGCCAACAUCAACAUUGAACCUUCUUACUUUCAUGGCUUUUGGGUGCUCUUCAGCGAAAAUGGUAAUUUGCCACUACAAUAAAUUGUUCUGGUUCUCAAGUACAAUUUAGGCAGCACAUUAUAUUUCCUUAUCUAAAAAAUAUGCGAGGCCGCGUAUUAAAAAUAAGGUACACAUGUAAACUAGUUUAAUGGGUUCGUAGUAAUUAGCUGAUAAGGAUAUGGUACUUCUUUUAUGGUAGUUUUCUUAACUUCAACAAGGAAUGUCAAUGCAAACUCCUGUCUAAGAGACUUGUAAUAUAGGAAGAGUUAAAAUAGUAAAAAAUAGAAGUUAUGAUUCCAAUUUGUUCUGCCUUGGCCAUUGAUUUCCUUUGUAGCCUUUUAUAGGAAUGCACUACACAAACAGCGAAAACAGAGCUUUCCUCAGGUUAAUUAUGAUUAGUCAAGACAUAGGAGAAUGAGGUAACUCGAAAACUAGUCAAAGGUUGCCUCUCGAGUUUUCAAGCUAGCGUCUGCGUUUCAAGCACAUGGAUUUGGCACGGACUUCUUCGAGCUACGAGGCCAUGAUGUCCAAAGUUUUAAGUGCUUCACAUUUACUGCACGUCUCAUACUUGCUUUCAAAUAUAUCAUGGCAAUCAUGCCAACGUGACCAAUCUUUUAGUCCUAUGAUCUGAUCCAACUUCUUCCAGGUUGCUUCAUCACUCCCAAUUUCUUAAUCAAUUCCCGCACAUCAGCAGACUCUGUCCAUUUUCCUGCAUCUGCAUAGAUUUUUGAUAGAAGCACAUAAACUGCAGGAUCAUGCUUUUCAGUUUGAAGCAAGAAGCCAGCAACUACUCUUCCUAAUCUCAAGUUACCAUGAGCUGCACAGGAACUAAAUAAUGUCCACCAGACACCUGAAUUUAUGUCAACAUGCUUGCUGCUUAUUAAUCUUUCGGUCUCAUCAAGGUAACCUGCUCGACCUAGAAUGUCAAUGAGGCAAGAGAAGUGGUCUACAUCUGGUUCAAUACCAUAAGUACUGACCAUGGAGUUAAAAAUUCGGCAGCCAUCAUUGACUAAACCUGAAUGGCUACAAGCUGAAAGAACUGCAGUAAAGGUAGCCUCAUCAGGUUUAGUGUCAGAAUCUUGCAUCAGCUCAAAGCAACGGACACCUUCCCUACCUUCUCCAUUUUGUGCAUAUGCAGAUAUCAUGGAAUUCCAUGAAACUGUGUCUUUUGAAGUCAUUUUAUGGAAGAUCCUCAAAGAAGAACACAAAUCACCACACUUUGCAUAAAGAGUAAUGAAAGCAUUAUUCAAAGAUGUCUCCAAAGAAUAAUGAACUUUGAGUGUGUAGGCGUGCACCUGUUUUCCAUGCCGCAGAGCUGAAAUGCUGGCACAGAUGUUCAGAACAAUGCUGAGAGUAAAAAUGUUAGGAAUAAAUCCUGACAACACAAGCACUGAAAAUUGCUCCAAACCCUGGACAGGAAAUCCAUUCAAUUGAUACCCGGAUAUUAAAGUAUUCCAGGAUAUCAAAUUUUUGGUGUUCAUUGUAUAGAAUAAUCUGUAGGCCUGGUUAAUGUAACCAUGCCUGGAAAAUGCUGAAAGCAACGCAUUGGAAACUUCGACUUUCAAAAGUAGAGCGUUUUUCACAACAGCAGCAUGAAUCAUCUCAACAUUCACUACUGACUCUGAGCUUACUAGUAAGCUUCCAAUUGUGAACUCAUCUGGUUUCGCCCCUUCUCUCUGCAUAUGAGAAUAGACUAAGAUAGCCUCUCUGCCCAAAUUCUCAUUAGCAUAGCUUGUUAUCAUGGUGUUCCACGACACAUUAUCUUUCUCUAUUAGUCUCUCAAAAACCACACGAGCUGCAUUUAAGUUCCCACAGUUACUAUACAUUGUUAUUGCUGCAUUACUCACAGAAGUACAAUCUUCAAAACUCAUCUUUAUCGCUUGUGCAUGCACUUGAAUAGCAUCCCUUAAACAAUAAGAGGAACUCAUUAUACUAACAAAACUCAACUCUGUAGGCCAUAGACCAGCACUUUGCAUAUUCUUAAACAUUAGAAAUGCAUCCUCCUUUCUUUCCAUGCUGACUAGACCAGCUAUCAUUGCAUUAUAAGUUAUCUGAUCAUGCACAAUACCUUUUUCUUCUUCAAAAACUCCAUGAGCAUCACCAAUCCUUCCGCAUGCAAAAUACAUUGUAAGCAAAGCAUUAAUCACCGAAGUUUUAGCUAGAAGUCCAGACUUGAUAACCAAAGAAUGCACUUGCAAUCCAAAGUCCAACAACUCCAAAGAACAAAGACUCAAAACACUAGCCAAACUAUAAUUAUCACGUCCAACACCCAAAGAAUGCAUCUUCUGGAACAAUCUGAAUGCAAUCUCAUCAGACCCAUUUUCUGCACACCCUGUGAUCAUCGCAUUCCAAACAGCAACAUUUCGUUGUGGCAUUUUAUCAAACAUCUGACAAGCAUAUUCAACGUCCCCGAGCUUUGCACACGCAGAUAACAAUGUUGUCCAUGAAUAAUCAUCUGGGCUUUCAAUUUCAUUAAAAACCCUUUUCACUGAACUCAAGUCUUGUGAUUUUGCAUAAACCAAAAGAAGAGUAUUUGAAACGUGAGGAAAGAAAAUGAGCCCGGCCCGAAUGGCAUUAGCAUGGAGCUGGUUGCCAGUGCUCCUGUCCCGGAGGUUGGCGCAGGCUGUGAGGGCGGCGGAGAGGGUGUAAUGGUCAGGUCUGAGAUGUGGGGACGAAUUAAUUUGGCUGAAUAGUAGGAGGGCGCCAGCAUAUUGCUCGGAACGAGUGAGUUUUAUAAGCUGGCGGUUGAGUUUGAUUAGUUUGUUGGCGCAAUUCCCACUUAUGGUGGUAGUCAAGAAGCCUACUCCUCGUAACAUCUGACGUUCAUCUUCCCACUUGGAUUGAUGAAAUUAUGAAACACAAGUGACUUUUAGCAUAUUUUGUACACACAACGUAGGCUUAAUCUUUCCUAUAUACCAUCAGUGUAAGGUUGAUGUAUGUCAUAUCAAUUGAAUUUAAACAUCAAAUUUUAUAUAUGUGAAACGACGAAAUUUUGUAUAUGUGAUAUUCAUUUAGAUUUUUAUUUAUAUCUAUUAGUAUAUGGUAUUAUUAAUGCAUAAAAGAUUUAUCGUUAUUAAAUAAAAAAAGUCCUAUAUAUGUAUAUAUAUUAGGGAGAAGCUUGCGCUAAACGCGGGAGUUUUAACCUAUGUGAUAAAAUAUUUAUUCAAAUAAAUUUAAAAAAAAAAGAUACUAGUAUUAUAACUGUAUGGUAACUGGUUUAAUUGAAACAGUUGAAGUGCAUGAAAUUAUAAAUAAAUUGGUCAAAUCAACAAACUUAUAAAUAAAUUGGUCAAAUCAACAAACUUAUAAAGAAAAACAAAUUUAUAAGUAAAAGAAAUAGAAUUGUAAUAGAUAAGCAAAAACAUCAUUACCUUUCCAACAGUCAUGUAUAAAUUCCUUUAUACAUAUAUAUAUAAUACUUUUAAAUACCUUUCCAAAAAAAAAUCAUGUGAUCUUUUAUUUUUUACUAUUUUAGGAAAAAUGUCCAAUUUAAGAUCGACUCAACCUCUUUUUUUUUUCUAAAAAAUCAACAACCUUUUUUCUUUUUAAAAUCAACACAAACUUGAUUAUUGAAGUGUCAAUUAACUGUUGGAAAAUUUGUCAAAUUGGUCCCUAAUAUUUUUACAAAAAACUUUUUUAGUCUCCAACAUUUAAAAUCACCCAGAAUUGUCCCUAACAUAUAAAUUAUGAUCCAUUUUGAUCCUAAUGCUCGUAUUUGCUCAUUUUUCCGACUAAAAAUGGCACGCCUCUCUCACGUGGGCAUAUUUUUAAGGGCAAAACUGAAAAACACACUUCAUUCUCGGUUGAAAGCAAAAGUAUCCCUUUUCAUUUUCCCCCCUAACAUUACAGUCACAAAAAACCCUAAUUUUCCCCCUGAAUUUUGGGAUGAAGCAUAUGAAGAAGGCAUUGUGUACCUAAUGUUGAAUAGGGCUCCCUUUUUCUUUUGCUUUUGUGCCAACCAGACACUAAGCACCACAAGACCAAUUUCCAGAAAGCCCACGAAUCCAAUUGUCAUGACAACUCCGCCUUUCAUGCCCCCACCAUUUCUAGAUAUUGUGAUUGCAAUAAUAUUUAGAGCAGGUAUAGUUAAUCUUGCAGUGGGUUUCUUAGGGGCAAUUGCUGAUAAGGCUGAGCUAGUUGGAGCAUCAAUUUGGGAUGCAUUAUUUCGAGAGGCAGGGGGAGAAGGUAGAAUAAGAGAUGUGGUGAUGGGAGGAGGAGACACCACCGAAAGUAGAAGGGGAUUUAACAAGGAUAGAGCUUGGGAAGAAGCAGGUAAUGGUAGAGGAGGUAAUACAGGAGAUGGAGGGUUGUGAGCGGUGACUUUGGGCUUGUUUGGAAUCUCAAGUUUUUAGCAAGUUUGUAUAAUUCUAGUUUUUUAACAACUUUUGCUACAGGAAUCCCAAAAAAUUGAUCAAAGUUUUUAACAUACACACUUCAAAAUAAUACACAAAAAACUUUCCCUUCAACUUUUCUUCUUUUUCCCCCCCACCCACCUCACAACGUCUUCCGUCGCCGGCCACCACCUCCACCACCACUUUCGGCGCCGGUCACUAUUCCAGUUGUUAUUGCCGGCCUUUUUUUUUUUUUCUCUCCCUCUCCCUCACCUCUUUUCCCCUCCCCAUUUGACUGAUCUGUUGGUGUAUGUCUAUUUUUUCCUUUUUUUUCUUUCUCCCUCCCCCCUCCCUUCUGCCUCCCCUGCCACCAUCCCCUUCCUGCUAGCUGCGAUAUGGUCACGCGACCAGAUCGUAGCUAGGGGAGGGGGAGGAUGGCGGGAGAGGGGAGGAGAGAGGAAGAGACAAAGCUAAAAAAAAAAAAAUCCAUGGUUGCAACAACUCUGGUGUCGGAGGGGGAGGGGGAGGGGAGAUGAGAGGGAAAGGGAAGGGAAGAGGGCAAAGGUGCCGGGGGAGGGGGAAGGGAGAAGAAGAAGAAAGAAAAGAAAAGAAAAAAGUUUUUCAACCUAAAAAUUUUUCUUACAACUUCUACAAUAAUCUACAGUAAAAUUUUAGACAAACACUCAAAAAACUCACCUUAGGCCUUUAUAGCGGGAGGUGGUGGAAAAACUGAGGUAGGUGAUGCUGGGACUGCAAUUGGCCGAGGAGGAGAGAGUCAAAGAGCUGGAGAAGGAGGUGUUGUGCGAAAAGAAGGGGAAGGUGAUGGUUGUGGGGGAGGAAGGGGUGAUAAGUUUACAGAUGGAGGAGGGGCAGCAGGGAGUGGCGAUGGUGACACAGAUGGAAGGGGAGGAAGGGACGGAGAAGGUAAGGAAGGGAAAGUGGGCGGUGUUGAUAAUGGUAGUGGUGAUGAUUGGGGUUGGGGAGGAGGGGAAAGGUAAGUAAGGAAGUAUGUUUUUCAAUUUUGCUCUUAAAAAUAUAUCCACGUGAAAGAGACGUGCUAUUUUCAGUCGAAAAAAUGAGCAAAUACGAGCAUUAGGAUAAAAAUGGAUCAUAAUUUAUAUGUUAGGCACGAUUCUGGCUGAUUUUAAAUAUUGGAGAUUAAAAAAGUUUUUUAUAAAAAUAUUAUGGACCAAUUUGGCAAAUUUCCCUUAUCGUUUAUGGUUCACGUAUAAAAGAACAACUUACAAAAACAUGAAAACUCAAAUUCAAUUCAACUACACUAUUUGAACAGCUGCUCAAGCCUAACCAAAAUUUGAGUUGAGUUGAGCCAGAGCGCUCCUUUGUUUCGGCGGUCAACCAAAUCGCGAAGAGGAAAUACAAGAAAAAAAGAGAGGAAAAUAAAGAAGACAAAAAAGACCGAACCUUCUCCUUCCUAAGCUGCUUACUCCCUAUGCAGUAACCAGAGGCAGGCAAAGCCAUCUGCCAAAAAUAUGUUUAGAACCAUCUCUCGUAUUCGCCAUAUACAAUCAUUGCUCAGCCCCAAAUCCCUCGUUUAUACUACAUUAACCAACCAUAUCCCAGGCUAUGACACCCAUCCCAGUCUACUCAGCCCUUCAAAUUCCUUUUUCGAAAGCCCAAAGUUGCAUUCUUUUCUCUCAACCCUUUCUUUUCCAUUUUCAAGUUCUCAGAUUCUUCAGCGACGCCAUCAAGAUGGAGAGUCUAUUGAAAACAAUGAGCUUGUUAGCCGCCCUCCCAAGCUCUUCGUGGUUCAGCCGCGGUUUCGGCCUGAACCCGUUUUGCAAUGGAAGCUUGAAGAGGCUUUGAACCUCGCGAAUUCGCUGGAAGAACAGAGAGAUGGUUACUACGACACCGAGUUUUCGGAGAAAGAGUUGCCCCCUCAUGUUGUGGUGCAGAAUCCGAUUGACCGAUCACCUCGUGCUGGUCAGUUUUCCGGAUUUAUUUACUAGUAUCCCUUUGUGGAAUACAGCAGUAAAGUGAUGAACUUUCUGAUAAACUAGUGUUUGAUUAUUAGCUAAAUUUUAUAUCUUUUUUAUCCUUUUUAAAACAACAGUACACAGUAAGAUGUUGAGCUGAACCAAAAGUUGGAAGUAGCUUUAUCAGAUUGUGCUUUAUUGCAGAUACUUAUUUUAGGAAAGGAACAGUGGACACAGUUAAAUGCCAUCUAUAUGCCUUGGACUCGAAGGUAUGCUUUUGGGAUACUAGGUUGGCUUGCUAUUUCUUUGUCUUGAUUACUCAGCUGAAUUCUUUUAGUACGCAGAAGUUGUUAACAUUUUUCUGUCUUAAUAGGACGAGGUGGAUGCUAUAUUUGUGAAUGCAAGUCUUUCGGGCAUUCAACAGAGGAAUUUGGAGGUAAGUUUUAAUUUUAAUUGCCUUCUGCGGUCUGCGGUCUGUUUAGACAAAUCCACCUACUUAUCUACUCUAUAUAUUGUAUGAAUAUCAUUUGAUCAUUUUUACCCAUUUGUUUGUCUUUUUAUUCAAAUGACAGCGUAUUUGGGGCAAACCUGUUUUAGAUCGCGUGGGUCUGAUCAUAGAGAUCUUUAAUGCUCAUGCACAGACAAAGGAAGCAAAGCUACAAGUAUUGAGCGAAUAUUCUGCCUUCUACCAUUGUUACUAUUGUUGUUACCAUUAUUCGUACAAGUUUCAAAUAUUUCAUCUUUGAUCCAUCAUUGACCCACAGGCUGAGUUAGCAGCUCUUAUGUACAAGAGAUCAAGGCUUGUCCGUGUUCGUGGUCCUGGUGGGCGCUAUACAUUUGGCGGAGCUGGUGAAGCAGAAGUAGUCAGUGCCAGAGGGUAAGUACAUUGUUUGAAGUUCCUCAGUUACUGCUCAGCCAUGUGAUACAUCUUUAGUAAAAGUCCUCAAAAGGAACAAGAGAGAAAAAUUACCUAGUAUGGGAAUAUUCAUUCUUAUGAUAGACGUCUAUUGUUUAAAACCAAUUGAUGUCAGAUAGAGCCUUUUGCUUAUUUUGUAGCCUUUGUGGUUUUUGUUCCAAUCUUAUGCACUUCCUUGUGACUUGCAGGAGAGGAAGUGGGGGGCGUGGUUUCAUUAGUGGUGCAGGAGAAACUGAACUUCAACUCCAAAGACGGAGGUUUGAUCAUUGACUUUAAACCUUGCACUCAACUGAUUCUUAGAUUGCCAUUUUACAGGUAUCUUCUAAAUGUCUGUAUAUGCAAAAGAAAUAUGUAAGUCAAGGGGAUUGAGAUAGAAAUGGAUAUGAUGGUUGGUUCUCUACUUUAUUUGUAUUGAAGUACACUCCUAUUAAACGAAGGGUGGUAUGGGGUAACUGACUUAAAAGCAUGGUAUCCAGAAAGUCCUAGUUUGACUUCUAACUUUAUCAUGGCAAGUUAGUUGAGAGUUCUGUGUCUUUUUUUGACUUUGUCCUGGAAUGUGGUGUAAAAAGAAGCGAAGAGUUGAAUGUUGAGCGGGGACCUUUUUUCACUAGUGAAAACAUUUUGUUAACAGGAUCAGUUCAAAUGAAACUUCUCUUGACAGGAUGCUUUGUGUGUGAACCAUUUUACCUUCUGUGUUUUGGAUUUCUAUUACAGUUUACACUUCUGUGUUUAUCAAGUUCUCUCUCUCUCUCUCUCCCCCCCCCCUCUUCACCACCACGACCACCACUUGUUACAUGCCUUCAAUAGAAGUAUAUAUGUCUUGUAACUCUUCAAUUUCAGAAUACUGGAGCGGCGGAGUCAAUUGUUGUCUGAAAUUAAGGAGGUGCGACGGACACGAGCUGUGCAACGUGCUGCUCGUAAGAGGCAUGGAGGAUCAGAUGAUGAUGUCAUUGCUACUGUUGCUGUAGUUGGGUACACAAAUGCUGUAGGUGGUUAGAACACCUCUAAUUCCUUUUACAGUUCCCUAUUGUUUAAUUAGCCUAAUGCUGUUUGGCUUUUCUCUGUAGGGAAAAUCUACCCUAGUUGGUGAGCUUUCAGAGAGUUAUCUUUACUGUGAUGACCGGUAUAGCAAAUUGUUUAUGCAGUCAAUUGUCUUCUUUGUAUAUCUUGAUAACGUCAUUCACAUGAUAUGGAGGUCUCAUGGAUCUGGUAUCCAUUUCUUGUGUUCUUUUGGUUAAGGUUUGCGUGGCUCAUCGGAAUUUUGUAAUUAUGCAGAUUAUUUGCAACAGUUGACCCUAAAUUAAGAAGUGUAGUUCUUCCUUCUGGGUAAUAUAAACCACUUCAGAUUUUAAUUUUUAGUUUUCUGUAGUAAGCAACAACUUCUGAAUUUUGUUAUUGAAACGCUAAUAAUUUUUGUCAACUUUUAUGAUGAUAUAAAGUAGGAAGAUUUUUAUUAUCUGCUAAGCUUUAUGUCAUGGAGAUGAUCGUUAUUUCUCCCUUAUUUUCAGGAGGAAGGUGCUUCUUAGUGAUACAGUUGGUUUCAUAUCAGAUUUGCCCGUGCAGGUAACCAGGAAGCUGUGUUUUUCCAUUGGGCUUUAUUUGCAUGGUUCUUACUUCUCAUAUUUUGCACCUUGCAGUUGGUGGAAGCAUUUCAUGCAACCUUGGAAGAGGUUGUUGAGGCCGACCUCCUUGUGGUAUGAUGUAGUACUAUUUGAUUGUUGUCUGUUGACUUCGAUCUUGAACUUUGAUCUAUGCUCUGUAAAAGCACCUGAUACCUGGGGAAUCAAUUCUCCUUCCCAGAGGGAGCAAAGGAGUGCAUAAAAAUCUUGUGAAGUUGGGGCAUUAUUUCGAGAUGUCUCAUUCCUGCCUUCGACAAAUGGAUGGAGUGCUUUGAUUGUUUUAAUUGCUACACAAGAUAACUGGCAAUUUCUUUUGCAGCAUGUCCUAGACUCGAGUUCGCCAUUUCUCGAUGAGCAACGGAAGACUGUACUUCAAGUUCUUCGGCAAAUAGGAGUAUCUGAGGAGAAGCUUGCGAAUAUGAUUGAAGUUUGGAAUAAGGUAUUAUGGCCAGUUCCUUCCUUAAGUUGUGGACUACAGGCAAAAAAUUUGAGUAUCUGAGAAGGAGAUGCUUUUUUUUUUUUUGUUGGCAAAACAUUUUCAGAUUGAUCUUCAAGAUGAGGAAUUCCGGCGCGAUGAAUAUGGUGAGGAUGAAGAAGUUGGCGAUUUAUCAGAUGCAAAGGACGGUGAAAAUGUUUCUGACCAGUUGUCCGGACUGGAUGUUUCUGAAGCUGAUGAUGUAGAUGCAAAGGCUGAAUUGUCAGGGAAUUGUGAGGAGGGCCUGGAUGAUCAACAAGGUGAUUAUUCUGAUGGUUGGCUGUUAUCAGGAGAAGAACAAGAAUCACUGGUGGACUACGAAGGCUGUUCUGUGGGACAAGACACUCCGGAUAAUUUACGAAGUUUCACCUACAGGAGCUGGAGGAAUAGCAGAAAAGAUCCUCAAUUUGAUUUGGGACCCACUGCAUAUGUGAAAACAUCUGCCAUUAUGGGAGUUGGCUUGCAAGAGUUGCUGGAGCUGAUUGAUGAGAGGUUAAAGAUCCAGAACGAGAAAGUCGUGGAAAGGAGCAUCUUUGAUCGCAAAUGGAGGCCCCCUCGCUCAGAAGAUCCUAUAGCAGCUGAGCAAUAGCCAGUUGGCCAGGCAGGAUAGCUUCAUUUUGUCUUCCUGCAGCCGUAGCUGUGUUGCCAUUGGAUUAAUGCUACUAUGAUGAGUUCGGCCAGAUCAAAGAAAGCUGGGAAGCUGCAAGCUUAAAUCUUAAUUCAUGUGAUCCAGUUCUGGAAGAUAUAUAUAUAUAUAUAUAUGCAUGCUAAAGAAGAAUGACUUGGAGGAGGGGCACCAAAUCAAUGACGCUUAGCCUGCUGGAUUUCUUUCUACUUUGUUUUGGCCAUCAAAUCAGGAUCCAACAUCAAUUUUGGAUAGUAGCUAUCGCGGCAGCCAUAGAAACUCUCAUUGUGAAGAUUAUUAUACUUGUGUUGUUCCUCUCUUCACAGAUGAUGAUGUGCCAAUUCAUUAACAGAUACCAGGACGAAGUAGUAUAUACUCUACUUUGUUAUAUGGUAAAUAUUAAUAAAACUGAAAUCUGAAAUUUAAAGUCAUUAAUUUAUUGAAUUAAAAUCCCAACAUUUGAGCAUAUUUUUUAUUAAGUUGUGAACGGUUUAUUAUUUAUUUUUUGGAGUAAGUUUUGCCUAAAUAAUUCAGAGUCACUUAAUCAAUUAAUUAAGAUGUUUUUAUGUUUUGUCGUCAAACAUGUCUGAAUAUGUUAAAAUUUGAAUUCGUUAAAUUUAAGUUUUAAAUUGAAUUAUCAAACAAUUGUAGGAAUAAAUAUGAGUUGACUUGUUUGACUAAUUUGGCAUUCUUAGGUUUAACCUUCUUUUUUUUUUUAAGUUUCUUUUAAAGUCUUGAAUUAUAAUUUUCUUUUUCUUUCUCUCAAUUCUCAAAUCAAAUCUCAAGUGAAAAAUAUGCCAUGAGUUGUAUGUCUUGAAAAGCAAAUAUUUGUCUUUCUCUAUUUACCAAAUAGAGAAUGACCUGGUUAGAUAUUUUCACAUUGGGCUUAAAAAAUGUAGGAGGGCGAAUCACAUGGUUUAUUCCUUUAAACAACUUGAGCUGGAAGGGCGUAAGUUCAAUUAUUAUUAUUAUGGAAAAAUAGUUCAAAACGGCUUUCAUAUUUUGUAAAAUAGCAUUUUCAUCAUUUACUUUUAAAAGUAUAAUUUUACAUUCCUUAGAAAUUUACAUUGGUCAAAUUUGAUCUCUACCUAGAUUUUCAACUGGUUUUUGAUAGGAAUCUAUCAUGUGUCUUGCAUGUAAUCAUUUUUUAAGGGCAAAAUUAUCAAAUCAAAAUUUACAUAAUCCGAUCCAUAGUCUCUUAAAUUUCACAAAAUAAAUUGUUUCUUCCCUCACAUUUUACAAAAUGAAAUUUGUUUUAUCUUUCACAUUUUACAAAAUGAAAUUUUUCAUCCCUCAUUGACCAUGCAUAUGAAUAGUUUUUUUUUAAAAAAAAAAAACCCAUGUAUAUAUCUAUUUGAUAUCACUUGAGUUGUAGAAAUAGUAUAUAAUAUAUCUCUAUUUGAUUUCACCUAAACAAGCUAAUUGUAGUUAUAUAUAUGCUAUUCAAUAGAUAUAUACAUAGAUUAAAAACAAAAUUAUUUGUUUUAAAUCCAUGUAUAUAUCUAUAUGCUCUCACAAUGUAAACUUAUUCAAUAUUUGUGACCUUUUCUCUUUUGGUAAUAGUUCAUUUAUUGAGUUUAUAAUAAAGCCAUCAAACUAAUGGGUCAUAAUUCAAAUUCUAUAGUCAUGCUAACAAAUUAUAAUUUAAAUUUGAAAUUUCUACUCAUCAUCUUUAAGACUAAUAGUUGAAUUAUUUGCCUUGUGAUUGUUUUAAAAUUUAAAAGUGCCAAUCACUUAUUUAUUUUUGUCAUACUUUUCCUUUAUUUAUUUUUUGUCUAAAUUUAAUUCGAUAUAAACACUCGAUAAUGUUUAGAAUUAAAUUUUUUUGUUUUCAAUUUUCGAGUAAAAAGAAAUGAAUUUGAGUGAAAAACUAACAAUUUUUUUUAAACUCAUGUAUAUAUCUAUUUGAUUUUACUUGAGCAGUACAAAUAGCAUCUAAGAUAUCUCUAUUUGUCAAGCAAAAUCAAAUAGAGAUAUAUUAUAUACUAUUUGUAUUGUUCAAGUGAAAUGAAAUAGAUAUAUAUAUGGGUUUAAAAAAAAUCAUUCGUAUAUAUGAUCAUUGAGAGAUGAAAAAAUUCAUUUUAUAAAAUACGAUGGAUGGAAAAAUUCAUUUUGUAAAAUGUGAGAGAUAAAAUAAUUUAUUUUGUGAAAUAUGAGGGAUUGUGGAUCAAAUUAUGUAAAAUUUGAUUUGAUAAUUUUGCCCUUCAAAAAUAAUCACGUGCAAGGCACAUGGUAAAUUUCGCACAAAAACUAGUCAAAAAUUUAAGAAUGGACUAAAUUUGAUUAAUAUGAAAUUUAUAAAUGACAUAAAAUUACACUUCUAAAAAUAAAAAAUGAAAAAAUUAUUUUACAAAAUGUGAGAGGUGUUGUAAACGAUUUUCCCUAUUAUUAUUGUUAUAGGCUGGCAGGCCACCCGUAGUAUCCAAAAUCUAAUCAAGUAGUAGGAGCAGCAGCGCUAUUUAAACGCGGUUGAUCCGAUGGCGCGCCAAAUAACUAAAAUCUUUAGAUCCACAAUGCAGGCAACCCCACCCCAUCGCCCCGCCGCACCUCCACCGUAACCUCUUUUCUUCUUCUCAAAUUGAUUCCUUCAGGUUACGCUCCUCCUUAUCCCUUAAACUUCUCUUAAUUAUUAUCAUUUUUCGUUUUGAUGUCGAAUUAUUUUCUCAUCCUCUGGAGUUCAUGCAUGCACAUUAUGUAAUUAUAUAUUGCUGCGAUUGUAUUUUGAUCGAUAUGAUCAUCUGCCUGCAAGGUUUAAAUCUUUCUCGACCUUUAUGUGUCCUUUUGCAAAUACUAGCCUUGAUUUUUCAGCAUAAAUGGUUGUUUAAGAAAAAGAAAAGAAAAUAAUCUCAGAAGGGGAAGGAUAUGGACAGGAAGGAGAACGGGGGGCAUGAGAAAUAAGGUUAUAUUUGGAUCUGAAAAUGCUGGCACAACUGUUGGACUCUGGUAUUUCUUUGAAGAAUGGCACGUAAAAAUAGAUCACGGUCUUAACUUAGGCCGUCGCUGCAUUUCUCGUGAUUAUUAUUGUAAGCAAAGCAAUUGAAGAUCAUGAUUAUAGUAUGAUGCCCUUGACAUAGACAACGGGUUUGUAUGGGCUUAAUUUGUUUCCUUACUUUAACACUGUCUGCAAUUUGUGCGUAGAAUUAGUAGGGUCAUAUUUUAUCGUGCUUUGGCUGUCAUGAUGGUUAAAUUUUCGUCUUUGUUUUGGUCCAGUGUGGAUCACUACUAGAACAGUCAUGUCAAGAAGGCCUUCAAAUCCCGCAAGGCGCUCUACGGCCACUGGAAUUUCUGGGGCAAGUUUUCGUCCUAAAUCACGCCCUUCUUCUUUGUUAUCCGUGGUCCUUGGUGCCCUGGUACGUUAGACUACAACUCUUUUUUGUUGUUUGUGAAUGAAAUAUGCAGCUAGCUGUGUGAUGCAUUUCCUUCCUUUUAUUGCUCUAAAUUCCAAGUUCCAUGUUGCAACUUGAGUGUUCAUAUGCUGAAACUUUCUCGUCAUUCUUAAACUUUCAGGGUGUCAUCCUCGUUGUUGGCUAUUUGUUUCGGGGCUCAGGUAACUCUUUGUUUGCUGAGAUAUAGGUUGUCUGUUGGCUACUAAUCAUUUCAUGUAUGACUUCAAAAUGAGAAACAAUAGGUUAAUAAAAUUUCGCAUCGUAUUUUUUAGAAGUUUCAUGUUUUAAAUCUUUUUUUUGAUUUCUAAUAGGAUCUGAGAUCGAAUGUUUCUCCCUUCUCACCCUGAAAGAGAUUUUUGUUUGUAGGUUUAUCAGGGACUAGCAGGGAAGCGGUUGCUGGAAUUGAUGGUACAACUUCAGAUAUUUAAGUUUUAGAUGUAUAAACGUUGCCCAAAAGUUGCAAUUGAUUCCCUUUUCAUCUUUUUGUUUUAUUUUUUCAAAAGUUUUUUAUGUUAAAUCGUGAUUAAUAUGUAGCUAUAGAAUUGUCUAGAAAGCAUUGAAUAUGUUAGUUGAACAUCACUGUGAUCUAAUUUUUACGAGGACUUGGUAUGCCAAGGGCUGAUAGUUUGAGUUUUCAGCAUCUAUAGGCAACACAUGUACAUUGGAACUUUUGAGAGCAAUACCUAUCCUAAAGAAGGCAUAUGGUGCAAGCAUGCAAAAAGUUUUGCAUGUAGGACUUGAUACUUGUUCGGUGGUCUCCAAUUUGUUGAAAGACGAUGAUACUGAAGCCUGGGGUGUGGAGCCCUACGAUUUGGAGGAUCCCAGUGGGAGCUGCAAAAGCCUUGUGCACAGGGGCAUAGUACGCGUGGCAGAUAUCAAGUUUUCUCUUCCAUACAGGGAAAACUCAUUUUCUCUUGUUAUUGUGUCAGAUGCUGUGGAUUAUUUGUCCCCAAAAUACCUGAACAAGACUCUUUCUGAUUUGGCGAGGGUGUCAUCUGAUGGUCUCGUCAUAUUUACAGGUAAGCUCAAAACAAUAUGCAUACUGCUGUCUGGUAAUAUUUAGUUGUGUAUCUAAGUGAAAGAAUUUCAAACCUGCAAGACGCUUUCAUCCUUGCCCAGCAACACAUCAUGUAGAACUAGAAGUCAUUUACCUUCUUUUGCAAUAAAUUAGCAAACCAUAGAGCAGCCAAAUAUUUGUCUCCUAAAAUAGAGUUCUCUCUCUCUCUCUCUCACACACACACACACACAAACACAAACAUAAUAGUGCAUGCACAUGCACACAAACUCUCUCUCUAUCUCUCUCUCUCACUUGUACACACAUUGGCACAUCCUCAGAGCCAUGCUCCCAUCCACUUGUGCUGAUAUACUGGUCCAUCUACUUUGCAUGUAUUCUUUUACUUGAGUGAUCCACUUACAUGUGCAGUUCCAUGUACUUUGCAUGUAUUCUUUUACUUGAACAAUUUGGUCUGUUUUCCUUUGAAUGCAUGCUGAUUUUGGAACCCACCAACCAUUACUGGUACUGGUUCUCAACCUAAGCUAUUCAGUAUUCAUUUAACUAGUCCGACCCAAAAACAGUGAUUAGUUUGUAAACUCCUCAUUUUAUAUCUAGUUUAUUAACAAGAUGGAGAUUGAAUUCCCUGUUAUUUGGUCUAUAUCUUUUCCUAUUUAGGUUUUCCAGGUCAUUCUAGAGCUAAUGUUGCUGAGCUAUCCAAGUUUGGGCGCCCGGUAAGCUAUUAACUAGUUUGGCUUCAAGUGGUCUUACUGCUUUUUAGAUGUUUUUAUAGCUAGCAAUCGAAAAAUGAUGUAGGAAGAGUCAGCUAAUUGGCAUACCAACAGGAUAAAUAUGGGGGUUUCUUUUGCUGAAAUAGUAUGUCAGAGAAAAGUUGUAGCUUAUGUGGAAGGUCAAUGUGCUCUUUCUCUAGCCUUUUUCCAGGAGGAAUCCUGUCUCAGAUGCUGUAGUUUUGAUGCUUUCUGUCAAUAGUCAUUUAAUUUGGGGCCUAAGCCUUUUUUUUUCCUAUUUUCUUUUUUGGAUUGUUUUAGUGUCUAAAGCAUUGACCAUUAUUACAGUAGCUGAUCAUAGGCUACAAAUUUGUUACCUAUGGUUGCAUGUAUUUUUUUGAAUCUGUACCAGCCUGUUUGCCUCUCGAUUUUAGUUCUCUGCUUUUAGUCCGCCAAAAACAGACAACAAAAUAUACAAAAACUUCCACAAUCAAAGAGCAAAGGCCAAUCAUUUACAUCUGGUUCAAUUAUCAAAGCUUCUUUUAUACUUUUAGCAUGAAGAACUUAGAGUACGCAAAAUGAGACAUUACUGGUUGAGAUGCUCUGUUGUGGGAUAUUUGCUGCUUAUAUUUGCUGAAUGCAGAGGGCUUGUUUUGCCUGAAAAAUAACUACUCCAAAUUUCAUGUCCAGGCAAAAAUGCGCAGCUCUUCUUGGUGGGGUCGUUUUUUUGUCCAGACUAGUUUAAUGGAGAAUGAAGCUGCAGUAAAAAAGUUUGAACAGGUUGCAACCGAGAGCACAUACAUCCCAAGGUGCCAAGUUUUCCAUCUCAAGUCUUUUCGCUGACUUGCUUCAAUACUAGGACUGUCUUUAAAUUUUCACUUUAUUAAGCCACUGAAUCAAUAAUUAUUGAUUAGAUAAUUGGUAGGAUAGGAGUUAUUUAUUUAGUGCUUAUACAGUUUCCUUGCAUUAGAGAACAAUUUUUUGAACAGUUCAAAAGGCAAUAGGCACUAGUUUUUGGAAUUUGGCUAAUUAUCAGUUGCUGUGUCUAAUAUUGCAAGUCCUUGUUCUUGGUACCAUUGGAUUUUAAUUACUGUCUAUGAAUUUAAGUAUGCUAAAAACAUUCCAAAGCGAGGAGGCAGCAGAGGGAGAAAACAUAUACAAGAUUAUUCCAUGGUACAUCAGCAGAAUACAAUCAAAUUCGCUUCACUUCCAAUGUUAGCAUGCCAAUAACAAGUUACAAUAGAUGAAAAGAGUCUUUCUGAAUUUACAAAGUUUUAGCAACUUCACCAUCGGGGAUGGACUGCCAGAAUUGAGCCUUCUAAACUUACGGAAGUAUCCAGCACCAAUGUGAACUCAAUGGAGAGGUGACAUUGGAAAACAUGUCAUAGGGUCAUUUUAGCAAGAUUUGCAGUGUACUGUAUACAUGGAAUCCACCAAGUAAAUGUUUGCUUAGUAGAAUAGUAGCAGAUUUAAUCUCCUUGAACUCCUCACAACACUAGCUCUUCCAUCCUUGACAGAAAAGUAAUCACCAAAAGUCGGCACAUGAACAUUGCCCAUCCUUGAAGAAGUGAAACCUGUAACAAUCCCUAACAGUAAUCUCUCUCCCAGUUAUGGUAGAGAUAACUUUAAUUGCAUUGUGACAGUCCUCGCAUAUCCUCAAGUUUUUCACAACAAGUAUUGGAUCACCUUCUUUAGUUGUUAAUAAAGCAAAUCCAACUGCUAGCUUCUCACUGUGAUACCCCUGCCUAGCUGUUUCUUCACCUUUCCACCUCACAGUCGGCCAAUAACCUGCUUGCCUCAUCUUCUUUGACAUCUCUUCCCAAAAAUCAUAUAUCUCAUUUAUCAUUGGAUGCGAACUAUCGUCUGCUAGAAACACAUGGAUCCUCUUGUCCAACUCAAUCCAACUACACCCUGGUUUCUUCUUUAGUUGCUUAUCUCGCAUUAGUUUUCUAGCUUUGGCAACUUCUUCCCAUCUGCCAGCACUGGCAUACAUGUGCGCAAGCAUGACAUAUGGAACUGCAUUUGAAGAGUCCAGCUGAAGACACUUUUUAGCUGCUUUUUCUGCUAGCUCCAUGUCACCAUGUGUUCUACAGGCUCUGAGCAAUGAUCCCCAACCAAUGCUGCCAGGAUCAUGUGGCAUGGUCUCAAUCAGUUUCUCUGCUUCCUUGAGCUGGCCUGCUCGACCCAAAAGGUCAAUCAUGCAUGAAUAAUGUUCUGGCUCUGGUUCUAUCCUAAAUUUCUGAGUCAUCAUUUUGAAAUAUUUCUGCCCUUCUUCAACUUCUCCUGUAUGCGCGCAUGCACAAAGAACAGAUAUGAAAGUUAUGCUAGAAGCAGCCGUAUCACUUUCAAGCAUCUGUUCGAAAAGUAACAACGAUUCCUUUCCUAAACCAUGCUGAGCGUAUCCAGCAAUAAUUGAAUUGAAAGUGACACUGUUAUGCUCCGGCAUCUGAUUGAAUACCUUCCUUGCAUCUUGAAGAUUUCCAGAUUUGGAAUACAUAGCUAUCAGGGCAUUAUCUACCGCAACUAGGUUUGAUGGUAUAUCAGCUUUAACUACCAAAGCGUGAAUUUGCCUCCCUUGUGAAGGUGAUGCCAAGUUAGAACAAGCACUAAGCACACAAACAAAGCUGCAAUCAUCAGGACGGUGACCAGACAUUUGCAUCUCUUUGAAGCAAGCGACUGCCUCUUCAUAGAACUCCUCAUUCUGGGAACACGCAGAAAUCAUUGUAUUCCACAGGACCAAGUCGGGGUCAGGAAUUUCCUCAAAUACUUUUCUGCAGUCCAAGAUACUACCUCUGCAUUUUGCAUACAAAUCUACCAAACUACUUGCCACAUGAGGGUUCUGGUGGAACCCCAUUCUGAUCAAUUGAGCGUGAAACUGAAGCCCACCAAACAAAUCCUCCAUGCUUGUAAAGGCAGUCAAUACGCUUGCCAAAGUAAACAUGUCAACGCUAAAAUCCCUGCGAACCAUUUCUUGAUACAAAGAGAGCGCCUUUGAUCCCUCUUUGUGCUGCCCGUAAGCCACAAUCAUUGAAUUCCAAGACACCUCAUCUUUAAUUUCUUCCAUCCCAUAAAAUACCUUCUUGGCCUCAUCUAUGAAGCCAUUUUUACCGUACCACGUAAUUAAAGUAUUGUUUACAGAAGCAUAUGAAUCAAACCCACCCAAAACAGCCAAGCAGUGCAGCUGCUGAAUCAAACUGUUGUUAUCAGAAGCAGCAUUGACUGCCGCAGAGAAUGUGAAGCCAUCCAUAUCCAAACCCAUAAGCCUAAUACGCCUAAAGAGUUGAAGGGCAGGCAGGGUAUCCCCGCGGUCAGCAUAGGCAGAGAUGAGAGUAUUAUAGGAAACCAGAUCAGGCUGGGGAAUCUGGUCGAACAGUUGGUGGGCGAAGUGGGCCAGAAACUCUUUGGCAUAAGCAGCUAUAAUGGCGUUGAAGGAGAAAACAUUUGGGUUGGCGGUGGUGUCGAAAGCCUUGCGGGCGUCGGAGAGUAGGCCGCAUUUGGAGUAGAGGGUGAUGAAGUGAUUGGAUAGGUAGGUCGAAGGUGGUAUAAGGGACUUGAUGAAAAGAGCGUGGAGAGAUUUUCCCGUUAAGAGGUCUCUUUGAAUUAUGCAUGUCUUCAAAAGUUGGCGGAACUGUUGAACUAGGCUCCAUGACGUUUGGUUCAUCUAAGAAGCCAACACUAGCAUUGUAGCACUUUGUUUGUUUGUGACACUAUGAUGAUGGUUCUUCUUUUUUAUUAAGUAUUUUGUUUUUGUCAUAGAGAUAAAGGAGGGAAAAAAUAUCUUCUCUCUCUCUCUCUUCUAAUAAUUUUAUCGGGAGACUGUUCAAGUCUUGCAAAGAAGAAGGAGAAUAAUACUUGAAAAUCCAGUCACUAAUUUAAGCGGGGUUUUGGAGACAUAUUUCUUCACUCUUUUGGGCGUGAGUAAGACCAUGGUUCGAAGACUCGGCCGAGACCGAAACGACUCGGCCGAGACCGGUCGUCUCCGUCUCGGCUUAGCUCGAGACUAGACAGCGACGAAACGUCUCCGAGAUACGUGACAGGCCGAGACGUCACCGUGAAGGGUUGAAACGGCCGAGUCACUCCGAAUCAUCCCGAGUCAACUUGAAUUUUUAUUAUUUUUACUAAUUUUUAAUUAUUUUUAUUUAUCAUAUUUUUUACAAUUUUUAGAAUAUUAAAUAUUUCAAAAUUUCACGUCUCGCCGAAACCACGACCGAUAUGCCGAGACCGAUGUGAAACGAUCCAAGCCGCGACCGCGACCGCGACUUUGAACCAUGAGUAAGACCCUAACUGGAUUAAUCACAGGACAGGAAAAAUUCUACAUGUAGAAAGGUCUUUGUGCGAUCUAUGACCCAAAAAUGCUCUGACGAAAAAUGGGACCUUUUAGCUUAACAAGGACUUAGGCGAAGAAUAGAAUAGUCUUAGAACAGGCCCAAAACUAACGACCAAGUCCCUCUUUUGAACUCUGGGAACAUGGGAUAUUCUGAUUGCCCAUAACCCAAGAACUAAUUCCACCUUGCCGGGCUUAAGAGAUCUCAAUUCCAAUUUGGGUUUUGUAGCGAGCAUAUGUUUACAAGCUUACCUCCACGAAAUUGGGAAUUUAUGAUCUCCGCUUCGCCUGAUUAUAUAAAUGUAUGCAGAGACUCGGUGCUUGGUGGUGCUUGAUACGCUGUCGUCACAGUACUCUACUAAUAUAAAAUGUCUGUCGUCUAUUUGAGUAUCAGAUCUAUUAUUAUUAUUAUAGAAAUUAGAAAUAAAAGCAAGGUGCAAGUGUUGUAUUGGGACACCAAAAGGGGACGACUAGGGAGGCUGGUUUGGUUAGGCCUGUCAACGGGUCGGGUCUAGAUCCGGAUCCGGACCGGAUCCGUGAAAUUAUUGCGGGUAUGGGUAGGGAUUUAAUUCCGUUUCCCGGAUCCGGAUCCGGAUCCGUUUUGUCAAACAAAAAAACAGGUCGGAUACGGAAUAUAGUAUUCCGACCCGUAUUAGACCCGGAUCCGGAUAUAAAUGAAUUAAUAAUUUAAAAAAUAUAUAUUUAUCAAUAUAAUUUGAUUAGGGUGAUGUAUUUGAGUAAAAUCAAUUUGAUUUCUUUUCUUAUUUGGUUUUUUCUUUGCAUUAGUUAGAAAUUAGUUUACAAAUAUAUUUUUUUCUCAUUUUUAUUAGAAAUUAUAAAUUUUGCUAAAUUUGUUCGGGUAGACCCGACCCGGAUCCGGAUCCGGAACAUAGAAUAAAAGACCCGUCGGGUAAACGGGUCGGAUCCGGGUCCGAUAUAGUAAUUCGGGUCCGGAUCCGGAAUAAUGAAUUCCGGCCCGUUGAUAGCCCUAGGUUUGGUGGCUCACACUUGCUCUGUGGGGAGGCAUGUGAACAUGGGUUGGGGGGGAACAAUUCAUCAUUUGCUUAAUCAGUGCAUCUCAGGCUUCAGGUUGAUGACAAGUUUAAUUAGUCCCAGAUGAACGCUGGGCCUGAAAAUCUUAACGCGAAGCGGUUUUAAAGCAGGAUUUAGGUGGCAAUUUGGCUUUUAGCUACAACAUGCUAGCCCAAUUGGAUCUUUUUCGGCUCUGCUAGCUUUCACUGGGGAAACAGCAACAUGCUUCCCCAGCGCCAGCACAAAGAAACAUAUGCUUAUAGGGUGUCCUAAUUUCGUUGCACCUAUUGCUUACCCUCCCCCCAAAAAAAAAAAAAAAAUCAGAUCAUCUAUGGCACGAAUGAGUAAUCCGGUGACAAUGGUCAUUGCAUUUAUUCAGUACUCCAUAAUGAUAUAUAUAUAUAUGUGGGUGUGUGGGGGGGGGGGGGGGGAGAAAACAUAUGAGAACAAAGUUUGUCAGAUAUCGCAAUAAUAUUCUUCUGAGUAUGCUUAUUUCGCGCUACAAAUUUUUUCUCACUAACUAGCAAUAUGGCUGGCGGCUUUUGCAGUAAACUUGAGGUCAAUCAAUUGGUGAUGCUGAUGCUGGUGCCAAUGUCCUCUGCCUGCGGAGACCGCAACUCAUUUUCCAAAAUAGCAGGUCCAGCUCUUUGGUACCCAAUGACGUUGCAUCGGAGAAGUGACUGCGAAAUUAAUGAUUCAACAAUUUCACACUGACAAUAAUGAGCCAUCUUCUGAACAAAAUAGUUUGACUCGAAGCUCUUAAACGUGGCAUUGAAUAUAAGAAUGGAUGGACUACAGUACAUAAAGAGGCAUUGAGGUGGAGUAUUAUUUGAAUAGAGUCUGCGAAAUUAUCACUUUCUGUAGAACUCAGAAAUUAACCAAAAACUCAAAGAAUAUAUAUUUUAUAAAAUUCAUGCAUAUGCAUAUGGGGAGGCAAUUAACAUAUAUAAAAAUAUAUGUGGGAGAAAGGGAAUAAAUCAACAAUAUAUCAUUAAUUACACACACAUAAUAACAAGACUCUCAAAAUUUCACCAUUUUCAGCUGUAUACAAUAAUAAAAUUCCCCAUUUAUAAACUAGAUGAUUUGGUAAACACUCACAAGAAAUUUUCUAAUAAAAUAUUAAUUUUCAAAUAAUAAAACUUCUAUAACUUAAUUCUAAUAGAAUUACUAAAACCUUAACUUGACUACAACACUAUUAAAUACUAAUAUAGAAAUUUCUUUUUUUUUAUUUGAUUUAAUAUGCCAACAUUACUUUCUUUAAAUCAGGUUCUCUCUUAGAUUUGAUUCACCGCUAUCACAAACAAUAAUCUCUUUUCCAAAUUAUAUCAAUUUCAUUUUGUACCAUUUCUUUAUCAUUAACCACUUCUCUUGAUGCAAUAAUCCACACAUUUGGGUAGAAUGUUUUUGUUGUGCAAUUUGAUGUCAAUUUAUUGACAAAUCACUUUGUGAUUUUGAUAAUCACACCUUAACUAACAGGAUUCUUCUCUGAUCACUAUUAUAACACCGGCCGCAAUCUGACAAAUUUUGAACCAAUUUUAUGGUUCGAUCCUCACCAAUUGGAUACUACAUGACCAACUUUUUGAUCUAAUUCAAUCAACAGAUUUCUUCACAUCAAUUUCUACAGAUUAACUUUGACAACAGAAACGUCUAGGAUUAAUCUCGUAAUCUAGCCAAUUCUUCAAUGUUCACAAGCACUCCAAGAUUAAUUUUUUGGAUCUAGGGCUAGGUGUAGAACUCAAAAAUUAAUCAAAAACUUAUAGGAGAUAUAUUUCAUAAAAUUCAUGCAUAUAUGGAGACAAUUUACACACAUAAAUAAAUGUAUAUAUAUAUAUAUAUAUAUAUAUAUAGAAGAAGAGGAAUAAAUCAAUAAUAUAUUAUUAAUCACACAUAAUAAGAGAGUUCUCAAAGUUUCAAUCUUCCCAACCAUGUACAAUAAUAAUAUUUCUUAUUUAUAAACUAGAUGACUUGGUAAAUAAGUCAUAUAACCACAAUAAAAUACUAUUUUUCAAACAAUAAAACUAGUAGUAUAAUUUGAUUAUAAUAGAAUUACUAAAAUUUUAACUUGACUAAAAUACUACUAAAUAUUGGCUGGAGGAGUCCCAUAUACUACUAAAUAUAAUUUGAUAAUAAUAUAAAUAUUUCUAUUUUUUUGGACUUGAUUUAAUAUGCCAACACUUUCAAGAUUGGCUGGAGGAGUCCCAUCCAUCAAUAUUUAAAAGCAUUAAGGUAAUGACCGAAAACCAUCGAGCAUGGGCGCGCGCCGUUGUGAGUCCUGAGACUUACUUAAGAGAAAGCGAUAAAAUCUGAUUGUUAUUAUAUGUUGGCAUUUAAUGGCAUCAUCUCCAGCUCUUAACAUCCUUUGACGUGUGAAUAUGCUACACUACAUGCGUGAGUGUUACUUCAGACGGCCCACUAAGUGAGAGUGUCGACGAGAGAUUAACUGGUCUGAAAGAAACAUGCGAGACUGAGACUGCUUCUCUCGUCUCUUGUCCUCCAGUCAUAAACGAAACUCAAAGAUUGUUUCGGAAUGGAAUGUUAAUUAAUUUGUCAACACUAGCUCAAUUAUAAACGUAAAAUGCCUUCAAAACUUUACACCUUACUCAAGAUUUAUCUAAUUACGUCAAUAGGUAAGGUACAUCAUCCCUUCCUUUUCCGGUGUUGAUAACUUGUUUGGAUUAUAAUUUUUUUUUAGAAAAUUUUUUACGUUUUUUAUGAACACAUUUUUCAAUCACUUUUUUUUUUUAACUUACAUACAUCAAAUCGUUGCAGUACAUUUUUUAUAAAAACUCUCAAAAUAGCAAACCAAUCCGGUUCUUGUUUUGAUAUUGUCAAGGGGGGAAAAAAGGCUUUGGAUUUACAAAACACAUUUGAUGAAUUAUGUGAAAUAUAUAAUUGGGUUGUGGAAAGUUAUAUAGAUAAUCCUGCAUACUUCCUCCUUUCGACACCAGUAUUAUUCGUCAAUAUUGCUUGUCAGACAUGAUCGUUGAAAACCUGUCCGGGUGUCCACAUCAACCUGCAAAUUGAGCAGGGGAAUUCAAUUCCAAAUUACUUGUCUAUGACUUUAGCUCUUUGUGGAAAUUUAUCAUCUCAGCACGAGACUUCAUGAGAAGUAUAUUACAAUUCGGAAUUUUUUUUGGAAAAUUUGUCUUCAAACUUGAUGCGUACGUACGUUGAAGGGAGAAAAGAAAUAAGAGGUAUACACGGCACAUUUUUGAUGAAAAAAUGCGGCUAUUGCGUAUCUAAGUAUUAUGUUUGAAUAGCAACAUGAUAUAUGUUACUGAAACUUUCUUUCGGGGGCUUCAAACUUCUGAUGAACAAGUAGGAAAUGCUCAAACAACCAACUACUCCCACUUCCAGAGUAAUUGGCCGUCGAUAGAGUUUUAAAACUCUACUUGAGCGUAAAUCAAGAGAUUAAAUCUCUUGACUUAUAUUCUAAUAUCUAGAUUUUUGUGGAAAUAUUUCGCCAACGGUACAUAGGCACCCGUCUGGACCUGUUUAGGUUUCCCUUCCCCUAAUGUAGAGUAGGAAUAGUUGUAGCAUAGAUAGCCCUUCCUCUAAUGUAGAGUAUGAGUAGUUGUAAUAUAUAAUCUAUCGUGUCCAGUGAUGGUUCACCGGGUUCUCCUUGACCUGUUUAGAUCCCAUGUUCCUCUAGUGUAGAGUAGGAAUAAUUGUAAUAUACAAUCUAUCGUGUUGGAAAAAAAAGUAAAAAAAAAUGCUCAAACGCAAUUUCCAGCCCGAAGCUGCUUGAAAUCUUCAGCUGGGAGAAGACAGCAUACGUAUCUUAAACUGCAAAAUUGAGGAUGCAAAAUGCAUUGGAGAACGGUGAAAUGCUUAGCGGAUUGACACUUCACAUCUCGAUGGUUAUAUUUAGAAGAAACCAGUACUAGUAUUUUGUCCAAAGAAUGGACAGGUAGAAGAAAGUUGGUGGGGAUCCCUCAACUUCACCAUGGAGUUACGUGCGAUAAUCAAGAUUUAGAUAAAGCAAAAUUGGACUUGCAAACCAAAGAUAAAUUAAAUUACUCCACGAUGGUAGGAGAAUUACAAAUGUAACGCACUAAAGCAUCAGUUUUUCAUUUCCGUUAAGUGAAGUCCUAUUAAUGGAAUAACCAAUCGGUGUGUUUGGAUACGAGAUUAUUUAGAAUAAUAUUUUGAAAAAAUACUACAACUCUUCUUUUUUUUAUGUGAAAUAAAAUAUUGUUAUAAAAUUUGUUUGUGAUAUAAUAAAAUUUUUUUAAAUAAACCACUGUCCAAAUAAACUCGCUAAAAGCAUGUUUUUUUUCCUCCUCAUUUGAAGAAUGUAAGCUUGACCGUGUAAUUUUGUUUGGACAAGAAAGGAAAGGAGCAAGAAAAGAAGAGAACAUAAAAGUUCAAAAUGACAUUCUUCUUACCUUUCUUCAUGACACACUACGUUUCAUAGUUAGUCGCCAUUUUACUUGUUGGCUUCGUUGUUGACGAAAAUUUGUAAUGUGGAGAAACUUUAAAACCUCUAAUUUAUUUUUAUUAUCCUAUUUUACCCCUCACCAAACAAAAACCCUCCAAAGAGAGGGGGGAAAAACAGUAGUGUGAUCCUAAAUCCUUAUCUGGCUUUUAUAUUUUCUUAUAAUCAGUUACGGAAAUUUUCUGACAAGCUUGGUAGUGGAUUAAUCAUGACGAAAUACCAAUAUUAAUUGACAUAGAGUAUUAUUUGAGAUAUUAUUUGGAAUAAUUAUUGUAGUACUUUUUGUGAUGUGAUAUAUAUGAGAUAAAAAGGUGAAUUGGGAAUAUAAAAAGGUAGGUUAAGAAAUGUAUUUAUGAUACAAGCGAAAUAUUAUUUGAGAUAUUUUUGCUAUCCAAACACUCCCAAUUAAUGUUCGUAGCGUCGAAAGGACGUUUCGACGUGUAUUUCAAUCUUACAUGUUUACUCGUUUUUCUUCUUCCUUGGCAGUACUUCUAAACUAGUUUUCUAGCUUAUUAUCUUUGAGCCCUUUACUACAAAAUCUCUUCCAAAUUUUGAUUACUUUCAGAAAGAAAUGAUCAGAUCAGAUUGAAGCGGACCUAAUCAUUCUUCUCUAAACUUCUUCUAACACAAUCAGCAGUGCUUUGGUUGUACACAUAGUACGUGAAACAUACAUAGAGUGUUUUUUUUUUGGGGGUCAACCAAUAAUAUAGGUUCACUAAGAAAAAAGCAAACUCCUCGAGUCAAAAUAGAAUUGUUGUUUAAACUCUCUUUUAAACUCCAUUUGAAUUCUUAAUCAGUCUUGUGAAAGCAAUCGCAUAUAUUCAACGCAACGUGCAACUUCAAGCUUUGAACUUUCUUCAGUCAACAAGAAAAACAGUGGGAAAACAAAGAAUAAAAAGAAAAUGGAUAUGUCAAUACUUCCUUACCAAACUUAAGGAGCAAGAUUUGUCAACGAUGGAUUAUGGUCUUAUCUCCCACCGUUGCUCCUUGUAGCUUUCAGAGUGUAUACCACAUCCACAUGUAUGCAGCAUUGACUCUGCGCCCUAUAUGUGCCGAGAGUUUUCAGGAACGUCAUCUCCUAAACCUAAAGCCUUGACGCUUUGGAAAAAAAUAAGGAAUGCGAAGUUGCUAUAGAUAUUGCUGGAGUUUGAAGUCUUGACUACUGAAAUAAGUUCCCUUGCACGACUUUAAUUUAAGUCAACCAUUUGAUCCAGAACUUGAAAUUGUUUACUGAGGAGUCAGUCAGGACGACUUUGAGUUUCACUCUUGACAGCAUGCCGUUUACGUGUCCAUGUUUCAACUGUGAUAUACUAUAGUUGAAAUUUGAGGUCUCACCUAAUAAAGAAAAAAAAAUUUGUAUUUAGGUGUAAUUUGCGUUGACCUUGGGAUUUUAUCUUAUAUCUCAGCGUCGCCGGCCUUCAUAAAUACACAUCAUGCAUCUAUCAAGAACAAGUGCUGAUUGAGUUCAAAGAUGAACGGCCUUGGGCCUUUUUUUUUUGUUUUUGGGGUGGGGGGAGGCGGCGGCGAGAGAGAGAGACAGGAGCUGAUGCACUAGGGUCCUAAAUAAGGAGGGUCGGCCGGGGGCCUACACCAUUGAAGAGGGGGAUGAGGAAGCAAAUGGUCCUAUGACUAGUUGAUAGUGUCUCCUCUCCCCUGGGUAAGUCUGGGGAAGGAAUGGGACUUAAUGUGCUUGUCAUGUUGGUUGUCACCCUGGUUUUAGGCCUCUAUGGUCCUUACCUAUGCCCUUUCAAGGUAUGGGGUGGGGGCACUUAAACAAGGCUUUCACAUGCCCUAAUCACCCUUCUCCUACUACAAACCACGUGGUCCCCCUUCAAUCAUUUUUUUCUUAUCAUUUUGAGGGGCUAAGAAUCCAAUAUUCCCCCAAAAUUAUAGCCCUUAAUCCCCUAUAUAAAAAAGAAAAUAUUAAUAAUCUUUCCCAAUAUAAGUCAGUCCAGUGAAGGAGAGUUGGAUUUCACGGUUUAUAUCCCCUUUCCUAUAUUAAUCUUUCCUAGAAACAGUAGACAACAUUAGUUUGUAAUAACCAUGUCAGUCUAGAGUCGAGAUAAGAAUAUGUGUUCAUACGAAAAACAGACACAGGACCCUUCAUCCAAAGGUAAUGAACUUAUUUCCUAAUUAAUCAACUAUGAGAAAUCUUUUGCCUAUUAUUAUUAGCACAAAGAUGUUCUUAAAUGUACCCAACCUUGAAAAUUACUAUAAACAAAGUACCUAUAUAUAUAUAUACAGAAUGUUUUUUUUGGGUUGUGGGGAAGAAAAAUGUGGCAAAUCAGAGUAUGGGAACUUCUACAUAUACUUGUUAAGCACUGUGAGCCGGUGGGUGGUCCAGAAGCAUUAUAUUGUUGGUUGAAUUAAUUUUGUCAAGAGUGGAAAAUUUGAUUGAAGUUUUGUUCUCUCUGAUCGAAACACGAUUUGAACAAGUUGCGUAGGAGGUUGGCUGCACGAUUACCACUUCGCCCUCUGAGAGAAGAUCAUACGACGCCCAAAACCAGGAAGCAUGUGUUUUUCUCGUUCUACAAUACAACUUAAUGCACUUGAAAUUUGGGUACAAGAGAUUAGCAAUUGUGAUAUCUGGAAUAUUCAGAACUAGGGCUGCAAACGACUCGAGUCGAGUCGAGUUUUGGACUUAUCGAACCGAGCUCGACUUAAUAACAGGUGGGUUCGAGUUCAAACUCGAGCUUGACGAGCCAAGAAAAUUGAGUUAGAACUCGACUCGACCAAGGAAAAGUAAGGCUCGAGCUCGACUCGACAAGACUCGUGAGCUGUAGCUUGAUUUCUGGCUCACGAGCAGCUUGAAUUGUCAGCUCGUAACGUAGCUCGACUGUUUGACUCGUGAGUAGCUCAUUAGCUCGAGUUUCUGAAAAUUAAUCUAAUAAAAAUAACAAAUAAUUAUUUUUUUUGAUAAAUAAUAAAAUAUUAGGGAUAUAUAUGUAAUUUUACUAUUAAAAUAAAAAAAAUAAAAAAAUAUAUAUACUCGAACUCACGAGCUAACGAGGUUAAUAUUUUGAAUUCGAACUCGAGCUCGAGUUCGAUUUCGCUAGCUCGAACUCGACUCGAAUUCGAUAUUGAUUGAACUUGAGUCGCUCGCGAGCGGCUCGAUUCGUUUGCAGCGCUAUUCAGAACUCGAAAGAGUUGGUCAUUUUCUUGACAAAAUCGAACGAUUGCGUGGCAAACUGAUCUGUAACAUUUGUAUAAAAUUGAGGCCCGUAAAGAUAUCUCAGUAUGGGCACCUGUGACAAUUUCGUGUCAGGUGUAAAAAGAUAUAGACGGAUGCCUCUUUUUCAACCGCCUUCAAACCUUGUCUUCUACUCAUGCAUGUCAUUUUAUCAGCAGAAUUUUCCACGACCGGGUGAAAUUAUAUUGUUCGACCCGUCAUUUCUUGCCCCAGAGUGAAUCUUAACUUAAUAGUUCAAUCAAUCAAUCAAUGAGGUCUCGCCGAUUGAGAGACCAAAUUUUCAUCAUGUUUGAGUAGGACCAUAGCAACAACCUUAGAUGCAAGUAUUAGAUUAAGCUUAUUUUGUUCUUUCAAUUCGCUUCAAGAAGUGAAAACUUGUAUGCCAUGUCUCAUGGGAGAUGGGGUUUGGGCAAACCAUCCAAAUUCUUUUCCAGUCGAGACGAUAACAGAAAUCAUUUCGACAGCCCAUGAGUGGUUUAUGUGCUUCCCAGUCCUUAACCGUUUAAAACAAAAUGUUGGGGGAACAUAAUGGAAUAGGAAACAAUUAACUGCCCAAUUUGAAAUUGUUUUACAUGUAUACAUACUAAUAAGUAUUUAAUAAUAAUUCACUCAUUAAAAAAAAAGCAUAAAUUUUUCAAAGAACAUGACAUCUCCACCGUGCACCAGGCUAGAGAUAAAUUUGGGCUCUCAAAGAUUUAUCUGCGAAAACAUACGAGAUCGCAGAUUAUACUUUCGGAACGGAAUCAAAUCUCGGAAGCAAAAUAUUAAUCUCAGUUUAAACUCAUCAUGUCUCUUGUUUUUUUCCCUCCCAAUGCUCUUUCUGCCUCCGACUACCAAAUUUAGGUUCGAACUCUAAGCCCACGUUCUCGCUCGGAUAUAUUGAGCCAACCCUCCCUAGUAAUUAAACCAAUCGUGUCUUAAAUGAAUUCAUGACAAAAAGUCAAAAUUUGGUACAAUGGGACCCUUUUCCCAAACGAGUAAACCAAUUUGCAGAGUCAAAAUUGCUGGAAAAAAAUCAAAUGUACAUAUUAAUGUAUAUCACCACCUCGUUAAUUAAAAAAUUUGUCUAAAAGUCCUCAUAUUAAUUCAUUUUAACAUCCCGACUUUUGCACCGUCGGGAUGUAGCAACGUUAUCUUGAACUGCUCUGGGGUUACGACACCAUGAUGUGCUUGCUAUUCAUUUUAUUCAUGUGGCUCGUAAUUUGACCGGUCAGCGGUUCCGUCUCAAAAAUGCAAAGGUCUAUGGUACGACUGGUGGCGGGGUUGGUGUGGAAUGUGACUUUUUCGUCAAGCAACUUAGGGGAGUAUCGAAAUCCCAGUAUCCAUCUAAGUGUCAGACUAAAAAAAAAAAAAGAGAAGAAAUCAGACAAUUGCUGAAACCACGAUGGGCUGUCCCUCAACUUUUUCUUCCCUGAAGAAUUCUUUCGUGCAUACCCCAAAAAAGACAUGAAAAAGGCCUCUAAAUCUGGGAGCGCCAAGUCACCGCAGGUCACCCAUGACCUACCAUGAUGCCAAUAUAAUAUAUCUUUUUCUUUUUUUCGUUGUUCGAAAUUUGUGGAAUUAUAGAGAUCCCAGGUCACUUUUGAUCACUUUUUUUUUUUUUUUUUUUUACCUAAACGAGGCUGUCUUAUGACUUCAAUCGAACUCCGCAAUGAUUUUAAGUAUAAUUUUUUUUCACCCAAGUCUUAAAUGUGAUGAUGGUAUAACCAGUGACCACCAUCAUCGCUUUAGCCUUUGAGUCGUAAAUCAGUUGGCCAAUACAAACGGCGCACUUAGGUUAUGGGUGAGGGAUUCUAGGAACAAUUUCGUCGGUCGAAAGUUUCCGGUUGGUGCGGUUUUCUCGUUUCUGUUUUUUCACCCCACAUUACAUUCUUUUGUUACAGCCAAUCAAUCUACCGUGCCCUUCUGGAAACCUCGGUCAAGUUAUUAGGAAUUGUUGAAGUUACUACUACUUUUAUACAACUCAAAACCAGGUGGCACAUUUUCCACCCUUGUUCGCAAAUGUGAAUUUAUAUCUCUUUUCUCCACACGCAAUGGCACGGAGAGUGUUUCUUUUCUCGCUGGCUGCCGCCCCCCGGCAUAGUUUAGUGGAUAACGUGUGGGUUGAGGAGGGCAGAGGUUGACUCCUAAAUGAAGUGGUAACUCAGCUUUUCGUAUUAGCUUCAAUUUUCUCCCCUCCUCUCGAUAUUUGUUCAGGUGGAGUUCUUCGUUAAUAAUAGACCAUUCAUAUUCAUCACAAAUUUUAACAACCAAAUCGUGGUGAUUAAAUCAGGGAGUAACUCUUUUUAAAAAAAAAAAAAAAAAAAAAAAAAAAAUUUUUUGCAUCUAUUGAUAUACGGGUGUAGACUGGAGACUGUACAAGGAGAGUGAGUGGCCGACAUGGAAGUAAGAGAUGGGCCAUCGCGGUCGGGGAACAUGUGGACCAUGGCUUGGUUAAAGGUCCAAUUUUGGGUGGGCUUUGUUUCCUCAUGUCACUAUGUCCUGAGAUUUGUGUCGGUCUGGCUUUAAGUUUCUCGGCAAAUCACAAGCCUUUUCUCUACAUGUAUCCGUCUAAAAUCUAAUACUACACCAUUUUAUCAAAUUUUCAUACGAACUUUUUUAGUUUCCAACCAAUUGAAAUCAUCUGAGUUUGACGGAAAUGGCAUAAUGUUUACCUCAUAGAAUCGGCACCUAAUUCAAAGCGCAUCUCUCUCUCUUGCCCCCUGGUAGUAAUUAAGAAGGAAAACGUCAAGAAAAGUAAAUGAGUAAAACGUUAAAAAAUAUUAUUUUUUAAAAAAAAAAAAAAUCCGAAAUAGAUAUGCCUGCUGGAGAUUGUUGUACACUCACUUCCACUGAUUUUGCUACGCAUCUCUGACGCGGCGCAGUUGAGGUCUUGAAAGAGGAUGUAAUAAAAAGUUUUAGUAGCCGGAAAAGCGCGUGGAUUUAGCACACAUUGCGUGUUCGUACUCAAAAAAAAUUUCAUAAAUGAGCAAAAUCGGUGGAGAAACUAAUAAUGACAAGAAAGAAAAAAAAAAACCCAGAAGAUUUUUGAAAAGAAAGGGGGAGAAAAAUGUUGGUCUAUGCUGACCUUGGCAGCCAAAACUUCUAUAUAUAUGCAUAGAGAAUAUGCCAGAGAGCAACAUACCUGCCCAUUGCCCAAAACCCACUCCAUCGACGACUACUACUUUUCUCCUCCUUCCACAUUUCCACUGAAUCCCAAUUCUCUUCUCUUUCGUCUCUCCUUUUUGCUGGCUACAGAAUUUCCUGCUAGCUUUCGGCUGCUUCUUCUCUUUUUGCCUUUUGGCUCACACGAUUUUUCGAGGCUAACUUUUCCAAACAAAACCAGAAAUACAGAGUAAUUAAAAUGAAGCUGCUAUCUAGGAAAGCCACGUGCAAUUCCCACGGCCAAGAUUCAUCGUACUUCCUGGGAUGGCAGGAGUAUGAGAAGAACCCAUACGAUGAGGUUCGCAAUCCGACAGGCAUUAUUCAGAUGGGUCUUGCGGAGAGUCAGGUUUGUCAACAAAAUAUCUUUUCCCUCUUUUUCAACUCUUUUACUCCACAUAUGCAUGUGAUGGUUUUUUUUUUGGGGGUAAAUUUCGACUGUCAUUCUUCUUUUAUCUCAUACCGUCACUAUUACUUUUGGCAGCUCUCAUUUGAUCUGCUGGAGUCAUGGCUGGCUGAAAAUCCAGAUGCCAGUGGCUUCACGAGAAACGGGGAGUCCAUUUUCAGAGAACUAGCUCUUUUCCAAGAUUAUCACGGCCUUCCCGCUUUCAAGAAGGUUCGUUGAAAACGAUAAUUUAUGAAGUACCGUCACAAAUUUAUUUAAGUACUAUGCUCAGCUGGCUCUAUCUCUUAUGGAUGUUCAAUGCAGGCGUUGGCCGAAUUCAUGGAAGAAAUUAGAGGAAACAAAGUCACAUUUGAUCCCAGAAACCUAGUCCUAACUGCAGGAGCAACUUCGGCUAACGAGACCCUCGCGUUCUGCAUAGCUGAACCAGGCGAAGCAUUCCUCCUUCCAACUCCAUACUAUCCAGGGUACGCACGCAUACAUGCAGCGCCAUGCUACCCCGUACUUUUUUUUUCUUUUUUUUGUACACGGUAUAUAAACACUCUUAUAUGAUAUCACGUUGCCGGACCGGGUCUAAUGAUGAAACCGCAUGAAUAAUGCAGAUUUGAUAGAGAUCUCAAGUGGAGAACCGGAGUUGAAAUCGUUCCAAUUCAAUGCACGGGCUCAAACGGCUUUCGAAUUACCGAAUCUGCCCUUGAGGAUGCUUAUCAACUUGCUCGCAAGCAGAACCUCAGAGUCAAGGGCGUCCUGGUCACUAACCCUUCCAAUCCACUGGGAACGGCUCUGAGCCGUCAGGAAUUAAAUCUUCUAGUUAGCUUCAUUUCUGCCAAGAACAUUCAUCUCAUUAGCGACGAAAUCUAUUCUGGCACAGUUUUUAGCUCGCCGAGCUUCGUUAGUGUCAUGGAGGUUUUACUAGAAAGAAAUCUCGCCAACACUCAAGUUUGGAACAGAGUUCAUUUAGUAUAUAGUCUUUCCAAAGAUCUGGGACUUCCCGGUUUUCGAGUUGGAGCGAUUUACUCCAACGACAACACAGUCGUAGCUGCAGCCACAAAAAUGUCGAGCUUCGGAUUAGUUUCUUCCCAGACUCAGUAUUUGCUAUCCGCCAUGCUCGCCGACAAGAAAUUCACAAAGCAUUACAUUUUUGAGAAUCAAGUACGCCUUCAGAAGCGGCACGCAAUGCUCGUUAGAGGACUGAAGAAUGCUGGAAUCAGCUGCCUUGAUAGCAAUGCCGGAUUAUUCUGCUGGGUGGAUAUGAGGCAUCUUUUGACCUCCAAAAGUUUUGACGCGGAGAUGGAGCUUUGGAAGAAGAUAGUAUAUCAAGUCGGGCUUAACAUCUCCCCGGGAUCCUCAUGCCACUGUGCCGAACCCGGCUGGUUUCGUGUGUGCUUCGCCAACAUGUCGGAAGAAACGCUAGACCUGGCAAUGCAAAGGAUAAAGGAUUUUGUGGUAUCAACGGCCACCAAAUCCUCCAACACCGGUCGGAGUCAUCAUCUUUCCAGCAAGUAUUCAGCCCGAAAGUCUCUCAGCAAAUGGGUUUUUCGGUUAUCGUUUCAUCAUGACAGUGAAAACGAACGAUAGUCCUAGUGUGAACGUAUCGAAUAGUUGACUUUUUUUUUUUAACUAUUAUUCUUUUUUUUUUCCUCAAUAUUUAGAUGUUGAGUUCCAAAUUUUGUACUAUUAUUUCAUGCAAAGAGAGUGCACUCGGUCCAUGUGGAUUAGAAGUGGUUGAUUUCUGCUCUAUUAUUUUGUAAAAUCUCAUUUGUGAGGACUUCCACGAUAUCUUCUUGAAUUGUUCAAACCAUCACUAAUACAAUAAUGUACGUAUCACAUGAUCAGAUUCGGGAUUACAUAUUUAAUUGUAUGUUCUUUGACGCCCUUUUUUCUGCAUGAGUUUUUCCUUCUUAGAAGUAAGUAUGCAUGGCAUUAUCAAACUCAAUAUUGCAACGUCCUAAAAAUUAAAACCCAAAUGAAUACGAUUAACUAUCAAGUUAACAUGCCACUGUAGUACUGUGUCAACUACUUAGACUGCAUGUAAUGCCUACACUUGAUUACAUUGGAAUUUGGGAAUGCUUCAUGGUAGCGGCGGGAUUACCGGCAAGAUCCUGGUAGAACGAUGCCGACAUUAGACUUGCAUUGGCCGGUUUCCUAAACAGAUAUAUAACUGAUAUUUCCCCCCACCCCCACCCCCACCCCAAUGGAUUUUUUUUUUUUAGAAAUGGAAUACUGUAUAAGACGACGUUUUAGCCGUAUGAGCAGCUUUCUUGAUACGGGUCAGAAAUGGAAUGAGUCACAACAAUGAAUUCGUUCUCCACCUAGUGUUUUGGGGCAGGGUAGCGACACAAGUCAUUUUUUCCUAACAUAUAUCGAAUCGCUACAGUAUUUUUUUUUAUAAAAAAUCUAGAAAAAUGCAAUCCAAACACAAUCUAAGUUUUCUAACGCUUUUAAUCUUGGACACACAGAUAAGAAAAAGGACUAAACACAAAGGAAAAGAAAAAAGUUUAAAAAGAAAAUGAUCAUCCAUAUACCGUCACUAACUACGUAAUUGGUAGAGUUUCCUGCAAGAAAUUUUCAUGUUUAAAUCUUUUGAAAAUUUUGAAUGUAUUAUCAUCAUCGUCAUCAUUAUUAUUAUUAUUAAGAGAGGUGUGAGAUUUAAAAAGUGAGAGAGAGAGAGAAGAAAAUUUUGAACACCUCUAAAUUUUGGAGUUUCAAUUGUAGCACUAGACUAAGAGUCCAUUUGGAUCGGAGUUUUUGGAAGUUUUUAUUAAAAAAAUGCUAUAAUGAUAUGAUGUACGUGAGAUAAAAAAAUAAUUUAAGCAUAUGUUAUUUUAAAAAAUUUUCUUGAAAAGCUUGCAAUCUAAUGAGGACCUAAAGCACAUCAUGUACCCCAUUUGUCCUUAAAUGAUAGACUUGGGCAAUUGAAAAAUGAAAUGAUCAAAUUUUCAUAUACUUGGCUAGAUAUACGGAUCCUUUUUCUCCUUCCAACUGCAAUAAUAACAAAGGGUAGUAUUUGAAAAUUUUACUGUUAUUUAUAGAUAUGCUAGAAAAUUAUCUAAAAAUUUCUAAGCCAAAAGACUUUGGUGCUAUAUAUUUCAAUAACGCCAUUGUCUUUCUAAAACAACAAAGUGACAUUUUCCUCAUCCUAUCGUUUGUUGUUGCAUUUGUCUAAAGAUGGAGUAGCACUAACAUACCAACUAGUGUAGUCAUCCUAGGCUCUGAUCAUGGUACCUGCAUGUGAAGCCUUGAUUUCUAUUAUUGUUUUCCCGGAAUGUUGCAUGAGAAAUUGGUCCAUGUGAGGGUAUUGGUGGCCAAGGAAAAGAGUUAAACAUUACUGAGUAAAAAUAAACACACUAGAAUUUUGGUCCGUUUCCAUGUUCUUCUUGACUGCUAACAUGUGGCCUACAAUCUGCUAGGUUAUGCAGUAGAAUUCGGAGAGCUGAGAUGCUCCUUAAGAUUCUGGGGCUGUACUAUUAUAUUAACUUUAGGUUACGGAUCAUUGCUAUUUUCGACUAUGACUAAUCCCAUUCUGCAUUCUUUCCCGUAGCGAUGAUUCCGGCUGCUCCUAUCAACGUCGAGAAUUUUCAGUUCCAAAAUAUAAACAAACCUCGUUGUAUGAUUAUUUUGUGGUCAUUUUGGGCUUUGAGGUGGAACACAAAAGAAUUUUUACUGAUUAUGUAUUUACUUGCUGAAAUGAAGGAGACAUGUAUAGUAAAAAUAGUUUACUAAAACCAAUACUAAGUCACACAUGGAAUUGUAUGCCCAAGUUCCAAGUCUAAUUUCAUAGAAAAAAAAAUAUGUUACAUUUCAAAACUGAUUGACAAUGAGUAAAUUCGCCCAUAAUCUUAUUAACGUAGCUGAAAUUUCUUGAGAAAUAGAUGUAGCAAAUUUUGUCCCUCAACACUAUUGUUGCCUCAGCAUGAGAACAAAACAUCAGCUUGCUCAGCCUCCAACCCUUCAUAUAUAAAAAAAACUUCCAUCUGGACUAAGUAUUCAAUAUUGUAUUACUUGGAGUAAUUUCGACAAAUAAAAUUGUAAGUAACUUGAGCAUACUUCAACACGAAUUAUCCAAAACACUCAUCAAGUAGUGAGAUUGCAUAAACUUUCGGAAAACCUAGCAAGAUAGCAUUAUUAGAAUUGGCAGCUAAACCAUGCAUUCACAAGUUAUGCUGUCCAAGACAAUAAACUUUCUAAAUAGUUUACAAACGAGCUAUGAAAAAGACUGUAAGCAAAGAUCGGAAUUGAGAUGCCUUUCUAACUUUAAGAGAAUGAAUAUCACAAAUUCCAAAUUGGACUCACGAGCUUAGUCCCUUCGGACCAAGCAAUGCAUUUAUUCUUUUACUAUCAGAAAUUUUUGUUAAAAGUACAAUGAUUUGCAGGGGAAGCAGAUCAUGCUUUCUUGAGCAUGGUAUUUACAUAAAGAUUCGACAGUGACCCUUGAAAACUUCGUGCGUAUUGUAAAACUUUCUUUCUAAUGGUAAGUAACAACAGGGAAAAGCUAAAACUUGGAAAAACUUUUCAAGACAGAACCUUGAACAUCUUUCACCUUAGCUGAUCCAAAGUCAAUAAGCACGCAGUUGAAUAGAUUUGUUUGUAUGUCGACAUGGAAGACAAUAGCAGACAGGAAUAUUUUUGACUGAGGCUAUUGUUUCCUGCAACCUAGACACUCGGCAACGUAUAGCUACUGUUAAUAUUCCGAAUGACAAGCUAUCGACUAAACCCUACCCCAAAGUCGAGCUGGCCACAAGAAACUUGUUGUUACACAUACGUAUCGUGAUUGUUAAAAUUCUCAACCUUUACAGCAGUUGCCUCUUAUUGUUCAAAUUAACAUACUUUCAUGUCAUAAUAUUCAAGGAUUCGAUGGAAAAACCAAAGAAAAGAAUCUUCCAAAAUUCAACUGCGUACAACCUUGACCAUGGGAGCAACGUUGGUUCAUGAGUUGAAGGCAAGACAAGACCAUUUAUGUAAAUGUGGGAUGGAGUGUCAUGUGGGUUUCACAUGAAAUCAUCGAUCAAGGCACAUGGAGAGUAACAGAGAACAUCUGCAGUAUUCUUUCUUUUUUUUUUUUUGAGAGAAAGCGUGUGAGUUAAAGAGUUGAAGGUAGGGUUUAUCCGCGUGCUCUCAGCUAUGGAGCCAGGUGAGCCUGUGUGAGGUGGUGCCAUGGCUAUUCCUUGCUUGUGUCCUUAGCGAUAUCAAUAACUCGCUAUUAGUAUUACUCACCAACAUUGACGUGAACAUGAAUGGCCAAUUGAACGUGACCCCUUGUCUCAGGAGUACGAAACCGUGCCCCACAGCCCAUACCAUGGAUUUUUCAAUAACACGGACCCUCGUCCAUCUCGAACAGAUUGUUCCAGUCUCAGCAGUUUUUGUCUCGAUUCUCAAUGAUUGAAUGGACUGAUGGACCUAAAUUACUGUUACUUUAUCAGCAAAAUUGUAAUCAAAAGGGGGAGAAGGAAAAAAAAAAGGGUAUCGCCUCUUCCCUUCAAACCUCCUCUUGCAUUUUCUAUUACAGGGGUACUUCUAGAUGCAUUGAGCACAAGGAUAUUUUGGUAAACCAUGCAUGGACUCUCAUUGAUAUUAAAUGAUAUGGUACUUUUACGUCGGCAAAUUAAGAUGCAUUCGGAAAUGUAACAGCACUUGUGUAACAAAAUAUCAAUGGAUUGAUCAACCAUAUAUUACUCUUCCAAGUAGCCUUGUGUACUCUGGUGUUUUGCGGAUUGUUUACAUUUGCUAUUGCAUGGGCGGUAAAAGUUGAGACUAAAGAAUCUUGACAUACUACUUACGCAAUAAAUAUUAGCAAACGGAGAAAUGAUCUGUAUCACUUAAAAUUUGUCAACUAAACAAGGGGAAAAUAAUCUCCCAUGCGGACUGACGUGGAAAGAUGAUGCGGAAUUUUCUCAAUUUAAGCCAUCCAACUCACUUAAUUGAUCUAACAUCUUACUGUUUCUUUCUAAACCCUGGCUAUUGCCCAGCCACCACCUCCAAGAAACAGGAAACUUUAAAUUUUUUUUAAAAAAAAAGAAAAAAAAAAGGGUGGUGCAUCUUAUUCUUAUAUAAAGACAUGAAAAGGCAUCAUUGACUAAUGACGGCAAACAUCUGAGCGCAUGGCAUGGAUAUCAGCAAUGCUGUAGCAUUCUUCACUCUUUCGAUGGAGAAAUUAAAGAUUCUAGUUUAUGCGUGUUUUAACACGAAUGUAUAUCCUUGUACCAAGUCCCGACGGAUCUGUUCCCCCAAGAAACAGAGAAGAAGGAAAUUUAAAAAGAAAAAAAAGGGACACAGGAGGUAACAUAAUGCGUGACGAGGGAGUUAAUUUCCACAUUGUGAAGGCAACAAAGUCGUCCGCAUCGUGUGCAUAGGAGUCAAAUUGAAGGUCGGAAGCUUUCCCGUCCAGACCGGCUAAAAUCAGUGACGGGGGAUUUCCCUUGUCCAGGACGAAAAUUUCAAUGUCAUGUUGUCAACCAUAAAUUGGGCUUUGGACGAGUGCUUAUUGUCAAUGAAGACGUACACAUUACUCCUAUAUGAUUGGGGUCCAUUAUAGUUCUCUAUAGAUGUAGCCUACUAUUUCACAUGUAGAUGAUCAAAAUCUGGAAACGCCCAUGCAUGUUUCUUUAAACAUACAAUAGAAUAAAAUCGGCUAGAAAGGUUACCAUCAACUCUCAAGACGAUUAGGAACCAAAUAUGAGUUGCAGUCUUUUUCUUUUUCUUUUUCUUUUUCUUCUAAGUUUAAAUUUAGAAUUAAUCUUAUAUAUACUGUCAUUAUAUAUAUUAUUAUAGUUGAAUGCAUAACUAAUAUAUAAAAUUUAUAUUUUAAAUUUAAAUUAAAACUAAUUAUUAUAUAUCAAACGGACGGUGAUAUAUGUAUACACUGUCAGUACAUAAAAUAUUGAUCUUAAAUUUAAUAGAAGCAGCUUUUAAGGAAAAUGACUGCCUAUGGAACAGAUAAAUCACCAACGAUAGUAUGUUAAAUUCCUAAAGCCCAAGUGACACUGAAUGAGUCCAUCAGGCAGAUUUUCGGGCCUAUGUCGUUUCGUAAAUUUGGGCCAAGACUCCAAGUGUAUUUCAACUGUUAGUAACCCAGUUUAUGCAUGAUUGGCCCCGCUAAAAUGGCCCAAUCCAAUGAGGAUUCGAAGGAGAUAGGGUAAUGCACCAGUGAAAUUAAAGAAUAGGAAAUGAGUAAAAUGAGAAGUUAAUCUAUUGGAUUAACUUUGUAUACACUGACAAUGUAAUAAUGUAUUACGCUAUCAGUUUUGGAUGUAUGUUAUAUGUGUAUGAUUUGAAUUUUAAAUUUAAAUUUAUAAUAUGUGGUAUAAUCUAAGUAUGUUAGUGUAAAAAAGAAUUUUUAAACUAAGUAAUGAUCACUUAUCUUUUGGGUUACUAAUUAAAUGAGAAUAAAAUGCGGAUUGAGAAAGUUUUCUUUCUUUUUUUCUUUUCCAAGGUAAUGAUGAUGAUGGUUGAAAGUAUAGUUGCCAGGUUCCCCCUAGCCUCGAAUAAACUAAAAGUGUCAAAAGGGGUGAUUCGGAAAUUAAUGUUGAGAUACGUUUGGGCGGGACAUAAUGGAUAGUUGAUACAAUUGACUUAACUCAUUUAUACCCAUUCAAUAAAUGGGUCAAUAUGAUUCAACCCAUUUAAAUGCUAUAUCCAAUUAUUCGUUUAUGACUCAGUUGAAAUUCUAAUUUUUUUUUUAAAAAAAUUUUGCAUGCUAUUUGAUAAAAAAUAAUGAUAUUUUAUUAUUAUUCGAUUAAUUCAAAUUUAUAUGCUUAACACCCACUAAAAAUUAAGUUUAAAUAUAAAUUAUUUUUAAAUUGAUAUAAAUGGAUGAGUCAAAUAAAUCCACUAUCCACUAAUUAAAUGGGUUUAAUUGAGUACUCAUUUAGACCCAUUCAAAACUUAUUGCAUAUCCAAAUUUACUUAUUAGUGAACGGAAUUGAAUGAAUCAACAUAAUUUGAUUAUAAUUGACACCUCAGAGGUCUGGAUAUUCUCAAGGCAAUGGAUGGAUGCACUUUUGGCAUCACUUUUUUAGACUUAUUAGUUGAUGAUGAUCUUUUAAUUGAUAAAUUACUCAUAUUCUCAAUCAUCUCACUGUAAAGGAGUAGUAUUAUUUGUCGGGAAAGACUAUCAAAAGACUCUUUGGGAAAGAGUAGGGCCAGGUUUACGCGAGAAGACAGAAUCCGGGGGAGAUGAACACUGCGAUGAGAGGAAGCGGGAGUCUAGCAAAUUGAGCACCAAACAUCCCAACUAAGACCCGACUACGGCUGCAGAUCAAAUGUAACGUUUCAAGAAGUCAAAAGGAUGGCAUUAAUUUAACAUUUACUUUAACAAAAGGGUGUUGAAUUUAUUGCGAUUGCAGCACUAUAUUUACUUGUUGUUUACCAGUAAAUGAAGUAGACGAUUAAUCAAGAGAUUCACACGAAGUUUUCAACGCGGAAAAAUAGAAAAGUUGUCAUUGGUAGGGCUGUAGGCCACCAACAUAAAAUUUCCACUCACUGUCUUUUCCAGGGAAACCACACAUUAUUGACUCCUUUCUGGAGGACCUUUCUCAUUUUGCGUCUGAAUGUCACAAACUCUUCCUUGUGAUCUUCCAACCCCCCCCCCCCCCCCCCCCCGGCCCCCAAAGGCGCCGCCCCAGGAAAAAAAAAAUCCCAAAAAUCACUUAAAAACUACUCCGGCAUCUCCUGUUCAACUAAUUGAUAUCAUAAGCACAUAAGAACACAAGAUCUUUUUGUGUUAGCUAGCUGCAUGCAAGAACUCGCAGCUGUAAAAAUUAGGAUAGAUUUCAAGGAUGCCCGAAAUUAUGCGCUAUACCAUGUUGAGGAAUACGAAAACCUACCUGUAAUGUGUCAAACAAUACAAAUACUACUGCUAACUAAGAGAACUUUAUGUAUGUGUGCAAAUUUCAAAAGGUUACCUGUGUGUUCGCGAUACUACUAGAUGUUCUAAAUUAUGGCACGUGAAACAAUAUAGUGUCUGGUACAGGCACUUAGCAGAAAAAUUCAGCAGGACAAGACAGCUCUAUUUACUGACCAAAACAAAAGAAAAUAAAGGUUGUGGAAAUUUGGGUAUAGUUGUCUCUCUUUGAAGCUGAACCUUCUGGGGAAAGUUCCUAUUUCCACCAUAAUCUUCGAGAUAUCAGCGCUUGUUGGCUAAUGGUGGUGUUCGAUAAUUGCAUCACAUACAGCUAAAACAAAUGCUUUUUCUAUUUUUGCAACACGAAGUUUUCGAAUUAAAAUCUAAAUUCGGGGAUCCCAUUUCCACAGGCUGCAAGGGUGAAAAAGAUCAAUUUGGAUACGGCAUGAAAGACACAGUCAAAAUCCCUGUCCUCCAUUAGUGAGAUUUGAGGCUGUUGCGCUCUGUGAUAGGGGGUUUGUCGCGGGUCAACAGUAGUAUUAGUAAUUAGUUGAAACUUGUCCAUUUUCUCCAACAAGUUUCAAACCUUGUGCCACUUAUAAAAUCGUCAUCAUAAUCAAGAUUUGUCAAAAAUAUAUUCACUUGGGGAGACUUUGCUUGAUAUUAAAGGUGUUGAAAACUCUGGCAUCUACGAAAGUGCCAUAGCUGUCCUUCCUAUGAACUUCUCUAUCGCAAGCAUAAAUUAUCAAGUCAUGAGACCCACAAGCAAAAUGGUAAUGACUUUAAGGCGCAGAAAAAUAUAAGUUCUUCACUUAGUAAUUCUAAACAUAAACAAAGCUUAGGUAAAAGAUAUCAAAAUACUUGUGAUCAACUGAUCUCAUCAUGAAAUAUUCUGCACUUGGAUGUAUGACACAUGUGGUAAGUGUUAACAGCAUGUACGCGACCGACCGCAAUUCUUCUAGCGCGUCAUUUGUUCUAAAACGCCCAAAAACCAUGCCGCCGUUUCUGUGAUCUCAUCAUCGUCGGAAACAGUGAAAUCUUGGGUUUUCCUUUUCUCAACAUAUAUGCUUGGAUUAAAUGCCCAGCUUUGCCAUGGAAAGCAGGCUGCAAACUGCUAAGUCGCCAAGUUGUUGUCCAUCUGGUGGCGUCUGAAUUCCAUCCCCUUGUCGUCUUGUGGUCGUAGCCAAUAAUGUAUUUAUCUAUUAUUAAAUGCUUAAUAUCGACAACGUAAAAUUGAGCCGAUAAAAUGAUGUCCCUCCGCCAAUUUUUAGAUACUACUAUCCUUAAGCUCGAUUGAUUAUAGUUUUCAGGUUGAUGAGAUGAUAGGUGAAGUGUGAUGCAGCAGGGUCAGCAGUAUUGUGCUUUUCCGGGUCUCCACCGAAACAGUAGAGAAAUUAGCCAGGCAAAUGUCAAAUGAACGAUCAGGAUCAAGCUGGUACGUACUAUGUGUUAAAUAAGAUAGGGAGAGAGAUGGUGACAGUUAGCGUGUACGUUUGUGCGUGUCCGAGAGUGUGUUGUUUGGAGGUUUUAUAGAUGGAGACAGUCAAGAUGAAUGUCUGAAUUAUAUGCAUGAUGAUAGAGAGAGAUUCUGGACUAAGAAAGACAAUAAGAAAACUUCCCAAGUCUCCUCCUCUGGCAUUCAAAUUCCUCUAUUAUUUUAUGCAGAAAGCAGUUUCAUCUUUUCCCCAUUCCUCCUUUUUUGAAUUCAGGGGCUCAUUCCAUCCUAUGUCUCUCCUUCUCCAGCUAUUAUAUUCACCCCCCUUUCUCUAGCCUACCCAGCACUAUAUAAUUACUUAAAAACGUACAGCUGCAACCAUCACCAAUAGUGGGAAGCUUUGCAACAAAAGAUCAUCAGAGCAUAUAAUAAUUUCUCCAUCAUAAAACUGAAUAUGGGUAGAGCUCCUUGCUGUGACAAAGCCAACGUCAAGAGAGGACCGUGGUCGCCAGAAGAAGAUGCAAAACUCAAAGCCUACAUCGAACAGUACGGCACUGGCGGCAACUGGAUUGCCUUGCCACAGAAAAUAGGUAAUUGGGCUAAUACUUUUUGAGUUUUGACUAAUUCGUGCUCUCACUUUCCUUUUUCUUUUUUAACAGAAUAAAAUGAUUAAGAAAGAAAAAAGUAAAUUGAUAACACGGGCGUAAUUCUAACUGAUAAUGUUUUUGAGCUGAGCUAAAAAAUGAGUCGGUGGCAUGUUAUAGGUCUAAGGAGAUGUGGAAAGAGUUGUCGGCUCAGAUGGUUGAAUUAUCUGCGGCCAAAUAUCAAGCAUGGUGGAUUUUCAGAGGAAGAGGAUAGCAUCAUUUGCAGCCUCUAUAUGAAUAUCGGAAGCAGGUAAUCUAACUUAACCAACAACCAUUAAAAAUAUAGGGCUCGUCGUGAUCUCCAUAUACUUUUCCUUCGCAACUCAUAAACUCAGAGAUUGAGAGUGUCAAAUUUUUGGCGAUCUUCAAGGUGGUCUAUUAUCGCGGCACAGUUGCCUGGAAGGACAGACAAUGAUAUCAAGAACUACUGGAAUACAAAGCUGAAGAAAAAGUUGCUCGGCAAGCAACGUAAGGAUCAAAGGACUCGGGCAGCCAGCUCUCUCAAGCAAGAAAUGAAUAGGAAAAAAGAGAAUUUCAUGACUACAGAAGCCAUACAUGUGCUACACUCUCAUCAGCUGCAGCAACCACUGGCCUUUCCUGCAGUUAUUCCACAGCAACAAGCACAUGAUGUGGAGGACCAGGCGGUCAUCAUAGCAGGAAAGUUGUCUGCCGAUGAUCAACAAGCAAAUGGGAACAGCUUUAACAAUCACAACAGUUUAUACUCUUGUGACAUUUCCUUUGGUGAAGGACAGGCAUGUGAAAAUCCCCUCAGCAUGGCUUCAUGCUCACAACAGUGUUCGCCAAGCAGCUAUUAUCCCAUUCACGGGGUAAUUGCAAACAGCAACAUUCCAUGCUAUAGCAGCUUCCCUUUUCAUGAGCUUAAUGGGAUGGAAUACAUUAAUAAUUUCCAUCAGUCGGAUACUUUACAAAGUUUUUCGGGAACGGAUACGGUUAAUAGAAGCACAAUCACCGGCACUUCACCUGAAAGUACAAGCUGGGGAGAUACAAACUCUCUUGUUUAUUCUCCUAUCGUAUCCUGCUACGAAAUCUGCCAACAACCUAUCCAGCAAAGCUGCACACUUGAAAAAUCCAGCUACUUCAGGAUGCAACAAGAAACUGUACUUCAAUAAUAACAAAAAAAUAUAUUUAUCUUGGCCACAGUCAAAGAGGAGGGGCUAGUGUUCCAGCAUAAUUCCCCUCUGAACUUGGAUUCGUUAAUUUUGUAUUGCUUUAUAACUUUGAUAUUGACUCAGCACGUAGAGAGACUCUUCAUUGCUGCUAGAAAUAUGCACUUGUUUAUUCUCUUCCAUUUUUACCAUUUAUGUUCGGAAUUAGACUUCCAGUUGAUGGAUAGAUGCUGAAUUAAUACACUCCUCUCAUACCUUUACCAUUUACGUUUGGAAUUACAUUUGUUUGUUCUCUACAUUAUUAGGGCGGGUGAAAGUAUAUGCAUCUUUCACAGAACACCUCAGAAUCAUCCAUGAAAAGGCAGCACUGAUUGUUGAAGUUAGAAAGGUGCUUACAGUUUUUUGGCUACAAGUCAAUGGCUUUAGCAUGUAGGGUAUCCAGAACUGGCGGCAAGCUCUUAGUGCUUUCUUGAUUACUGUUUUUAAAUAAGAAGAGCUGUUGCAGCACUUAGCACAACACCAUAUGAUGUUAGUGGAAUUAAUAAAAUUAAAUUGCAUGGAAAUGACGAAUCAGGGCUGAUUUGUCGGCUGUAAUGGUAUCACAUCAAGGAAGCCUAUCCAUAUCGAGUAUUUGUUCCAUAUUUUCCCCUUUUGGAUUUUUGCCAUUUGGCAUAAUGGUUUUUAUCGAUACUAAUAGCCACUUUUGAGUUUUAUACGUUAAUUUCAAACAAAUUGUAUCUUCCUAUUUUGGACUACGGCUAGUGUAUAGAUUUCACACAGUCGAAAAGAAACUUUUUUAUUUUGUGCAACAAAUUCAAUACUCCAUUCUAUCCAUGCCAAGAUAAGAUAAACUAUAUAUCCCCAACUCAAACAUUAUCCCAUGGUUAGUCUUACUGGUGUGCAUAUGAUUGUUAAUUGAGUAACACAUGACAUAAUCAGUGGUAUCGAAUACAUAUAUACAUAUAUACAUAUACAUAUAUAUAUAUAUAAAGAGAGAGUAAAUAAUUAAGAUACGUUUAUCAAUCCUUAUAUGCACUUUUUUUAAUUUUGUUUAAACAGAAGAAAGGUGAAAUUUAAGAAACUCAAUGAACAUAAGGGAAUUAAAAAACUCAGAACCUCUACGUUCUGAGAUUUCAAUAUUAACCACUAGACAUUCUCGUACAUACUUGAAUCACUCUAUACAUGUACAAUUAGCAUAAACCUUGAGACCCUGGACCAUUAUACAGUACAUAUCUUGAAAAUGAAAUCAUGAGCUCCAAAGACCAUUUACUCAACUCCUUCGACUAAAAGUUCUUGUAUGUAAGGCUUUGUCCUUGUGUCUCAAGUUUCGAGGGAUAUGUUCACAAAUUUCGUUAGAUUUAAUGUAAAGUUGGAGGCAAAUUAAUGCCGUAUAAUACAACGAUAUAGGAUGUACAUAAAAGAGCCCAAAAAAUAGAUGAUAAUUGUCUCAAUUUUAGUGACGAGUAUUGGUGAUAUAAACUACAUUAAUUUUUCUUUUCUGCUUUCUUUUGUGCUCAUCUAGUUAUUUAUAUAUUUCCCGAUGAAGAAUUAUUAGUUGGGGAGCCAAAAUGCACCUUUUCUAUGCUUAAUUCAGUUUGAUCUGGUAAAAAGAAUUCUAGAAACAUGUUGUUUCAGAAAAGUGCAGGCUUGGCUAUGGAAUACCAGACAACCAGUAACCUCAUCGGAAAUUAAUUAGGGUAACGAAGUAACUCGACCACUAAUAAUAAAGGAAAAUUUUGGUUUCACGAUAUUUAAGAACAAGAUAUUUGACAUUAAUAGAUCAAGAAAAAUAAACUAGAAAGAGAUGAAACAGGGGUUGUGGGACACAGUGAGGAACAUACACAUCGAGUGGCAUCAAUAUGAGUAGAAUAUGAAGUCAAAAAAGCAGAUAAAGGGGCUGUGGCACAAAGCUUAAAAAAGGUUGACCAUUUCAUCAUGAAUUGGCUAUUAAUUCUAGCAUGAUAGUCUUCUAAGUUUUGAGUUACUAAUAUUCUAAUCCAAUGCAAAGAAAUAACUCAAAACAAUGAAAAUGGAUCCAUCUGUAUCUUAAGAAGAAGUGUACUUGUUCUUGCUAUUCAAAAUGUGUUGUGUACUUUGAUCAUUGACGCUGAUAGAUACCGGAAACGAAUCAUUUUUGUACAGGACUCCAACGUCGGCACGACUCAAAAUGUCAAAACUGGCACUGUUAUUAUUAUUAUUAUUAUUACUAUUUAUUUUAAGCAUAGCACUUUCGUCAGUUUUCCCUGAUCAUGAAAAACCAUACUCAGCAAUUUUUUUUCCCUUCUUUUUGAGAAAGGGUCAGUAGUUUGUCGAUCGAUUUCAAUGAUAUCUAGCUAAGCUGUGUUCUAUAAUUAAUCACGUGAUGGUGGCAGCCAUGGAAUUAAGGUCGACCAAAAUCACUCCCAAUACAUGUAAAUAGAAACAGAUAAAAUUUAACCAAAAUUGACGUCAAAUCAUUGCCAAAAUCUUUGUCGACCAAAUGAGCAGCUAGUUAAGGCCGGCUGCUCAUAAGUCAUGUGGGUCUUUGGUUAAUAAUAAUAACAAUAAUAAUAAAGGGUUUUGGUUGCCAGUCAAGCUGAGAAAAAACUAGCUAAUUAAUUAAUCUUUUUUUUUUUUUUGGACAAAGAUGGUGUUUGGGAACGUGGCACACCCUGCCUGGUGCUGACGCUUGUGACAUGCUCACUUGUUUUCUUUGUUACUUGUUCUUUCCUCUUGCAAUCACUCGCUUACGUUUUUCAUUUUUUCUUUCAGUCGGUGUGCUUCUCCAGUUUACUGCAGUGGAUAAAUUACUUCCUGAAUCAUGAGAAAAAGCUCUCCUGAAAUCCGUUGGCAAUCAAGCAGGAACAUUUGCAUUAAAGGUUCACCAGUUUCCUACUCUUUGACGGCCUUUAAAGUGCUUCUCUUGACAACACAAAUGAAAGCAAAUUGGCCCUGCGAUAAUAAAUAGAUACAGGGAAAAUAAAAUUCGUCUCCUGAAAAAUGUAAAACCAAUUUCUUGUUUGGAGUUCUGAACUCUGUCCCCAUCAACGUAAUUAUUCCCAGCCUUUGCAGAUAACCCUCUGCUUUCUUACAAAAAUCACGAGUCCAUGGAAUAACGGAUAAUUAGUAUGUUGAUGUUCACCUAAUAUGAUAAUAAUAAUAAUAAUAAUAAUAAUAAAGUGUAUAAAAAUAGAGACAGUUUUUUUUUUUUUUUUUGUAAUUCAAGUACAAAAGCGGAAGGGAAAAGGGGAAAAAUGGAUGUUUGAGUAUCGAAUCAGGACAUUAUGAUAAUGUAGUUAAUGCUCCUCUCAACUGAGUUGGAUCUUCGGAAUUGGUUUCUAAUCCUACAUUAGUGCAACUGGGCUGGCACAAAAUAUAGGAUAUAGAACCCCGGGUGGCUCACUUCUACCGACCAGUGACUACUGAGAAUGUCGAAGAUGGUGUACUGUUCAUGUCAUUUGGUUUCGGAAAAACAUGUAAAAUUUGAAGAUGCAAAGGAAAGACUGAUGAGAUUGAAGUGGAGGAGAUUAGAAGACGAGAGCACUAAAAUUCCCGCGUAUGGAGCACAAUAUUAAAGAAUGAAGGGAAAUGGAACUAUUAACAUGAAAUGACUAACGAGUGUCUUUAAAAUAGUUUUAUGUAUUAUUUUUUUUCUAAUUCGGGAAAGUAUCUAAAUGUAGAAGAAAAAUAAAUAUGAAUGUGUGUAUUUAGAUAGCAAAUUAAGUGUUGUAAUGAGUAGGCUGAUUGAAAAAAAACCCAAACUGAAAAAAUAAGCAUCAAAUUUAUCCCCGUGAUUGAGGCAUUAAGAUGGUGACAACCACUCCAAACAUCACUUUCUCCCAUAUCUUUACUCCUUUAUACCAAAUCAAAAAGUAUAAUAUGCUAUUGGAUAAAAGAUCCUUUUUUUUAUAAAUAUAUAUAUAUAUUUAUUUGGACCAAAUUCGAAGAGUCAUACCCAGGUCUUUAUAUUACAUGACCUCCUCACACGAGUUUUCCUGACGGAACUAAGACAGGAAAACAGGGAGAGGAGAAUUAUAUAUAUAUAUAUAUAUAAAUGUGUAUUGGGAUCUUUUUUGUCCCCCACAAACCAAAUUCCUGCCAAAUUUAAAAUAGAUCUCCACAAAUAACGUAAUAUAACUUUCCUGGAGGAUGGCAAAGCAGGUUGUAAUUUGGUCACUGUCAAAUCAACAGUACAGUCAUAGCAAGUUGGAUUGGUUAUUAGUACUAAACUAGCCACUAAUUAUUGUUUAAUUCUCUCAAGCUACUAGUCAUUUGGCUUUCGUAGCGAGUAAUUAAAUGACAAACUUAUUGGAAUUUGUUUCCGGUUAUUUGUAAAGAAAGUAUGAACAACUUGGGAUUAUUUUCCUAAUGGUUUUGUAGGUUUUUCAAAUUACUACUCAAAUUUGGUUACUAGUAACCAACCAAGUGACAACUAAUCUAGUAAAUUUUCAAUGUUACCAGUAACUUUCCUCAGCUUUACUAAUAAUUUAGGCUAUUAGUAGUCUUCCAAAUCACAACUGGUAACUAAGCUUUGACUGCUAAUAACCCUUUUUUUUAAACUUUUAAUUGAGUACGAUUUCAGCAUGGCCCUUUCGGCAUAUUUUCUAACGCCUCCUUUUUUUGUUUCAAUGCGACGAUGCCUGCUAAUCCUGCUUUUUUUUUUUUUUGACAAGAGGCCUCGAGUAAUCCUCUCCAUUAACUUUACCGGGUCCGGGGCCUCUACAGAUGCAGGGCCAACCAGCCCCCGCGUUGAAUGGCCCAAGAUCGCACAGGAACGAAUUUUGAAAUCAGUGACCCAGAUCAAGACGGGCCCCUCCAGCCUGAUCAUGGGCCAAUCACCUGGACCAGCCCCUCACCCAAGUUUGCCUCUCGAGGAUUUGUAGCCUUCGCCGCAAUUGACAAACAAAAAUACACGGAAGCCAGCAUGAGGGGCCGAAAAGCAAAGAAUUUAACAAUCCUUCUUGGUAACCAGUAUUGUAUUUUGUUAAAAGCUGAUGACUAAAAUGCAGUAUUUUCACAGUAACUUCCUUCAGCAUUAUCCAACAUAAAGGAACACUAUCUGGAUUCUAUAUUACACACUGAAAUUCGUCUUUAAACAAAGAUAUGUGAAAGCUAGUUCAUAAGUUUUCACAAUCAAAAAUGUAGACUAAGAUUAUCUUUACCAUGAACAGUAUCCUUGAGCAAAAAUCACUAACCAAGGGUUACUUAAGCUCAACGAUCCAAUCCAUUUUAUCCUCCGAGAUUCCCAUCUGCAAACUUGUUAGAGCAGAAUACAAUUGUUGCGCAACACGACCAACACCAUCUGCUCCGUAGGUCACCCUGCACAGUAAAGUAGGGAGGUGCCUUAGGGAACACAAAUAUUUUGAAGUCCACUUGGGAGUAAAGUAGUGGAAUAAUGAAAGGACGGGAAAAAUAACAUCUCCUGCUCACAAAAAUUAUCGACAAAUGGGGCGAUAUGUAGCACGUGCUAAAUGACUAAAAACAGGAUAAUAGACAAUGGGAAUGCUACUGGUAGAAAAGAAGUGAGUGAUAGCGGACAAAAUGAGUAACCUCCUAAAAUGCCCCUUUCCAAUCAUACCCUCAUUUUGUCAUCCUACCAGACCACUCCUAUUUUAGUUCUCAGCACCAUCUCCCUACUAUGUCUCUCAAAUCGCAUACUUAAAGAUAUGAACACAUGCAUAAUCAUAAAUAAAUACUUGAGAAAAUCAUCAUGAAGUAACAUCUUUGAAGUGAAAAACAAAGGUAAAACAAUUUCUCAUGGAUUUAUGUAUUGUGGCAAGCUUAGUGGUGAUGAUGCUUUGCCCGUACAGAGCAUAUUAAAAACUGUUCAAGUGAAGAUAAUUGGGUUUGCAACAGGGUUUGCUUAAUCCUUGAUUGUGAGGGUUUGGUGCAAGGCUUGUAUUGUUGGUGAUGAGAAAAAUGUAACUACUGUUUUUUUCCAAGCUAUUCAUGGCACAAUACAGGUGCAUUAUCAUGAAAGAGGAACAAGAAUUUGGGAGGAUCACACAAUCAAGAAGUGGAAAAUAAGGCAGGAAGAGAGUCUAGGGUGUUGUUUUAGCUUUUCAAAGUAGAGGCUGAUAGUGGCUAGAAAGAGGAAGGCAGAUAACUCGCCCUGAAUGCAGCAAUGGUUUUGCAAUUGAAUUUUCUGCCUUUGCCUUUCUCUGAAGAUGUGGAUGUUGACCAUAGCAGAACGUAUAAUCAGUAAGGUAACACACAGACGAGGGUACAUGUGAACCACAAAAACUAUUAAGUAACACCGAUAGUUACCUUUUACCCUGAUAAGUUAUGCUUCCAACAGGAGACACGACAACCGCUGUUCCUGUGCAGAAUACUUCAUCUGCAUCAAGCAAUUCAUCCACACUGACUGACCGUUCCUCAACCUACAUAUAUUAGCAAAUAAGCUUUCAAUAGCUUACAGCAGCUGUAUUGAAAAUCCAUGAGUCUAUCAGCAGCAAAGAACUCGAGUCUAUCAGCAGCAAAGAACUCCAGCUCAGCAAGGGACAUCAGUGGGAAAUUAUGGAAAGAAUUAAACAGGAACUAGUGUUGUUUUCGAUAAAAAAGAAACCGCAACAAAAUGUUUUGUCACACACGUUUCUAUCAAGCUAUAGUUUUAACGCUUGGGAAAUGUUCUAAUAUUUUUAUUAGCUGUAGAUCAAGCUGGAAUAUGAGUAUAAUGUCAAAUCACUGACCAAUCAGGCUCAUGAAUUGGCUUGAUCUGCAAAUUGCAGAAAAAAGCUAGCAUAAUAGUCUCCACAGUGCCAGAGGUUACCUGGAAGCCUUGGCUAAGAGCAACAUCAAGUAUGCUCUUUCGUGUAAUGCCAGGUAGGAUAGUUCCUUUUAUUGCAGGAGUUGAAAUGACAUUUCCCUAUAGGAAGAGAAUUUGAAUAGUAUCAAUAUGUAUCACUAAAAAAGGUUCCUUGGUAAAAGGUUCACAUAUUAUCCCGGUCAUGUAAUUAAAUAAUUGUUACGUGUUUUUUGGAAAUGUACAAAACCGGUUCUAUUUGUCCCAUCAUGAAUCAAGAAAGGCCACAAGGUAAUAUGCAUCUGACCAUGAACAGUGUACCUUCACAAGAAAAACAUUGCAAGACGAGACCUCUUCUAGAUAUCUCUUAUGAACGCUGUCAAGGUAGAGAACAUCAGAAUAGCCUUUGGCUUUUGCAGCACUCUGGGCCUUUAGGACCUACAAAUUGCAAGCCAGAAGAUCCUAAAGGUUUUAGCAAUUUCUAGGCUAAUCAAACACACAACAUCGCGAUCCACUCUUUUAGUGAAAAGGAAGAAUGUGGUUCUACAGGUAAUACAGCUUGAUGCUAUCAAAAUUACACCUUAUUGACAGACUGAAUAACAAAAAUACCAGAACCAGGAGAGUAGCUUACCGCAGCAUAAUUCCCAAUAGUCUUGACACCUCCAGUACCGCCUGGAGUUGCACGAUGCAUGUCAGUCUCAACUAUCAAGUUUAUUGGUGCCAAACCUUCCUGGGAAUAAAUUAAACAUAAAACCAUAGGGCAGUUAACAAAUCCACCAAUAAAAAAAGUUAACACACACCUCAACUAGGAUAUUUGCAAAUACAAGUACAUAGGAAUAGACAGUGUUAUAAUUUGAUUACCUGAAAAGCAAAUUUAAAUCAUUCUUGAGACAAAAGACUACCAUGGUAGAUCAGUUAACUGGCAUAAUAUAGUCAAGUUGACUAACAUAAUAUGAAAAGCUGGCUUUUGUUUCCAAUCUGUCCUAUUAGUUCGCCAUCCAACCCACUAUCCAUUUAGAAACCAUAUUCUUGUAACUUUUUUAUUACCCUACAUUCAUGUUACUUGUAUCUACCUAUUAUUAUUGCCUUUUUAGAAGUGAAUAUUAUGUAGUUCUCAAAAGAUAUCAUCAGCUUUCCAAUUACAACUAAUUCUGCAUUGAGAUGUUUAAGAAAAAAUCCAUCUUGACAUUCACAUUCUUCUUUGUUACACUAUACUAUAGUCAUGUUUUGUCUCAGUUACUUAAAAGUGAGUCCCACAAAUAUUGCAUUUUUUUGCCUAUAUUAUAGGUAUAGUGAUCAACAAAUUGUUCGAUAUCAUUCAAGAGCUUCUGGUUACUUCUCCCUGCCAGUCUCAGCAGAAACUUCCAGGGAUGUCAGCUUGAAAGCAAUAUAAAGUGCCAAAAAUCACCAUAGCAAAUGCAUAAUAGCCAACAGGCAAAAACUGAUACCUUAAAAUAGUUGCCUACAGGUGAUACAUAUAUUAGAAAUGUAUACUCUGGAGCUGGUGCCAGACCAAGAACAGCGCCACUCCCCAUCAGCAAUGGUCUGAUGUACAAGGAACCUUUACCUGGUGGAGGAAUCUGGAAAGAGGCGGAGCAACAAGCAAAGAAUUAACAUGAGAGACACAAGAGCUAGCCAUGGAGAAAGGUUACAUGCCACAUUACCCAUCUUUUAUUAGCCAAAACAGUGACUUUUACAGCUUCCACAAACUGUUCAACAGUUGGUGAAGGCAUGCACAUACGUUCUGCACCCAUCCGCAACCGCAAACCAUUCUCCUCAGGACGGAAAAGUAAAAUUUUGCCAUCAUGUUUUCUAUAAGCCUUUAGACCUUCAAAUAAACCCUACAGACAAAUUACAAUAAAACAUCCUCUAUACACUUCAAAGUAUGUGAACAAAACAACCAGAUCUUGAACAAAGAACAAAGAACAAAGUCUAUAAACUGUCUAAAAAUUUAAAAGGAAAACGAAAAACACGCUAGGCACUGUUUACGCUACAGAAAAACUAUGGAAUUAAACAAAAAACAGUAGUAGACAUUAUAAAGUUAUAUUAAACUCGUUCAUGCAACAACGAUAAAGCUCUUAAAGGAUUACCUGUCCGUAGUUUAAGAUACCAGCUGAUGGGCUCAACUCAAUGUUCCCAAAACGCUGCAAUUCGCCUUUUGUAAAGUUUUCACCUUGAGAACAUUUCAUGACAUACAUAUAAUCAGUAGACAUGAAGCCAAAGCCAAGGUUGUCCCAGUCGAUGUCAGCUAAUUCAGUGGUCACAUUGCUGUAAUUGAAAAAAUUCAACUUCACUAAAAUUGAUUUUUCAGCACUCAAAAUGAAAGUGUAUGAAUGAAGGUUCACUUGUAAGAUGUUAUCACAGACUAAACCUCAACAAAAGCAAGGAAAAAUCUCCUGAUCAUCAUUCACGCAUCACAUAUUUUAUUUUUAAUUUCAAUCAUCCAAACACACUCUCACUAGCUUAUCAACUCGUACUUCUGGAUCGCAGUGAUGGUGUGCUCAAAAUCAGAUUUAACAUCCAUUCCAUCUCAAUAAUCAAAAGCCAAACAUUCUGAUGAAGGAGUAGGAUUCUAAUGUUAUCGGUCCGCAAAACUUCACAUCUGCUUCUCGAUGGGCUUUAAUUGUAGAAAUAUUGAAUCUUUAAAAGUAAGGAAUGACAUGCAGUAAGAAACAAAUUGUGUCUUGCCAAAGUUUCUAGGUCCAACUUAACAGCACAUCUUGAAGAUUAAGCAGCACAACUAAUUCUGACCAAAAAAAAAGGAACAGCGUACCUUGUGGGAGAGGCCACGCGCGAAGUAGUACCAUUAUUGUUACUGGUAGUACGCAAUGCAAAAUGUGAUUGCUUUUGCAGCUGCAUUUCAUAAUAAAUAUACUAUCAAUUAGUCAAAACUCCCAUGCAAAAACAAGCAAAAAAAAACUAGCAUAGCAUAAAUAAAGGGGGCAAACCCAAGAAAGGGCAAAAAAUCUGCAUCGAUUAAUUACAGGGGGUUCAUUUUGAUUAGAAAGACAAUGCUCUGAUGAUGAUACCUUGAGAGGUAGGGAGAAAAGGUGUGUUUUUUCAGUGAAGAAAGGAGGGAGAAGCUUAAGAGCGCUUCUUGAUGGCCCCAAUAGUUGAUUUGGGGGAAUUGGGUGAAGCCCUGCAAAAACUGCGCAGUUUUCCAUUUCCUUCCCACUCCCUCGCUCUCUUUCCUUCGAUUCUCUCUCUCUCUCUGGUUUUCUUGGGUCGUCCUUGACCAAAAUGCUGCUCGGGAGAUGGAGGCUUAUAGUACCAAUUUGUCUACAGGGCAGUAAUAAAUAAGUACUUUGGUAUAGUUAUCAGUAUGGUCGUGUCGUGGGUUCGAAUCAGUAUAGUAAUAAUAGUAAUAAAAGACGUAAUUUGGUUGUCACGUAUGAGAUCUUUUGUCAGUUUUAUUUAGGGUAUUUGGUUUCCGUUUCAGGUUCAUUAGCUUCUUUUUCCUUCCUUUGGCCUGCGUCGUUGCCGCCGGCGGCCGUGUUAUAUUUUAUUUAAUCAAAGUCAUCCAGUCGUCUUAACUCUUAACACAUUGUACACAAGAAAAACUCUUAACACGUUAAUUGGGGACUGUUUGGCUUUGCCUACUGCAUGGGUGGUGGAAUCCCUAUCAUGGAACUUCCGUCUACUUAACAAUCACCUCUUUUAUUCUUGACACGUUUUUUACUCGAUUUUUUUUAUUUUUUAUUUCAUAUAAUCACAUUAUAAAAAUUAUUACAGUAAUUAUUUUACAUAAUAAUUCAAAUAAUCUCCUAUCCGAACACUCCCUGUUUACAUACCAAAACACUCCUACUAUCAAAACCAUAUUAGGUGCGUUUAUAUUGCCUUCUCAUAUUCGAUGAAGAAAACAACAUUUAUUUUAAGUUCAGAAAUAGGAAAUACUAUAGCACUACUUCUUGAGUUGAUUAAUAAAGCAGCUGUGAUAAUAUAGAAAAAUAAUUUUCUAGACUUGAAAUAGGUUUUACACUAAUCUCGCAUCAUCUCCUACUUAAACUUGUCAAUCGAGCCUAAUGAAUCGGUUUUUCAUGAGCUCGAGUUCGGUUUAUUUAAUUUGUAACAUUUUCGAGUUUCGGGUUAUGAGUUUCGAGUUAAUAAAAAUGAAACUCAUACUCAACUCAUAAUAUUUGGAUUGUGAAUCUCAUUCGGAUUUAGUCCAAACUCACUUAUUACUCCUUAAUUUUCUUAAUAUAAUUACUAUAACUAUUAAGUUGUAAAACUAAUUUAACAUUUACAAAAUUACAACAUUAAAAUUAAACAUGAACAAGUAAUAGUUUUUAAAAAGCAUAUAAACCAAAAAAAUUUCAUCAAUAUUUAUAUCUAAUUCAUUUAAAAUACAUGAAAAUAGUAACAAAACAUGCGAUCAUAAGCCAAUAUAUUUUCAAAGAUUGGAAUUUCUUUAUAGCCUUGUGAUUUGAAUCCAAACAUGCGUGAUGAUUUGUUCUUCUAGACCCAAAAGAAAUUGACCAAUAUUAUUCCAACACAAAAAUUUACUCAACUGAUAAGAAAACUUAGAGAUUCAGUUAUACAUUACUAAUAUUGGCUUUCAAAAAACUAGUAGAAAAAUCUUUAGAUGUAUUUUUGUGUUUUGUAAUUUAUAUGUAUUUAGUAUUUAGUAAUAAUAUAUUUGAAUAUAUAAUUAUAUAUAAUAUAUAUAAAUAUUAUAUAUAUAAGUAAUUAAAGAGCCGGACUUAUAUCGGAUUUGAGUUUAAUGAGGCUCAAACUCGACUCAUAUUUAAUUCAAGCCUAAUUUUUAAAUUCAAACUCGGACCGACUCACUAAAAAAUCGAGGUCAUUGGGCUUUUUCUCAGGCCGCAUAAAUCGAGCUCGAACUGGUUCGAUCUCGAACUGGUUCGAUUCCAUUGAUAGUCCUACUCCUACUCUCUUGAAAGAAAGACAAAAUGGACUAGUUAAAAAAGUAAUGGCAGUUUUUUUCCUUCCUACAAGAUUAGUUAAAGAAUAGUAGGUGUUUGGUUAUCUUUUUGAACUCCCAAGAGCAAAAAGGCAUUUAAAAAUCAUGUAACAAGAAAAUGACGUCAUUUUAUGUGGAAAUUUUUUUUGCCCUGACAAACUAGGGGAAAGAUCAAGUCCACUCUUUUUGUAAGUCAAACAUCAAUCGGCCAAACAGCCGCCCACUGCUCUCCCACUUCUGAGUGAUCUAAAUUACUGGGAAAAAAAUUUACUAAACUUUCUUUUUUGGCCGGUGAACUUGAUCGUUUUGUUGUUAUUAUUACUUAGUUGUAUCUCAACUUUAUAUCUUUUUCCGCUAGUAUCUUUAUAUCUUCUUCAUUAUGCUUUCUCAGUGCGAUGGUCCCACGAAGGCUCAAUUUUAUAGUGUCAGCAUGCUCAUGCAUACAACGUAUUUACUUACACACGCAUAUGAAGAAAAAGAUUGACGAGUUCAACUAACAAUCACAGCUCUAUAUGAUUCAGGGCAAGUACUUGGAAUUUCUAACCUGCAUUGAUUUGUUUCCUCCACAGAGCUGAGUCUUGCACUAAAUCACAGCCACGGGGUUGCCUGAUGAUUAAGGAGUCCGCUCUAGCUCCCAAGGAUGACCUAUAACUAACUACAUAUAAAUACUUUGUAUACCGUGGGAACAGAAUAUAUGCUCCCCACUAACUCCUUAAUGAAUGGCAGCAGGCUGUGAACGGCAAAAUAAAUUUACAAAAGAGUUGGCAGCAAAUCCAUAAAAAGAGGGCGAGGAAAAUAUAAACUAUACUAUUGUGCAAUGAGGUAUCCGAUUCUCAGAUAUCAAAUAUUGUAAAAACUAAACACCACGAAAUACCAAGGACCCCAGAGUUCCAAGACGGUUAAAUCCACAUCUAAGCACCACAUACUUCUCACUUGCAUGUCUACAUUACCAGCACAAGCACACACUGGUACAAAGUUAUGAGCUAAAAACCAGCACAACUAUACUAAAAACCUUCCUUUCAGCCAAGGAAUGCUAUCAAACACCUAUUAACAUCACCUACCUAACAAAAGCACGCAUGAUUAAAAGCUCACAUAAAGUAGCAUUUACAAGAUUAGUCAGCUUAGA
rnacentral:lncRNA from 1 species